rnacentral:lncRNA from 1 species
UCCUCUUCUCUCUCCCUAUUUUCUAGAUUACAACUAGAACGAACUAGAACUAGAACUAGAGGAACUAGAACUAGAACUAGAUGAACUAGGACUAGAUCUAGAUGAACUAGAGGUAGAACUAGAAGAACUAGAGGGAUCCUCUCUACUUGGAUGAAGAAUUGAAACCCUAACUUUGAUUCUGUAGAAGAGGUAUGAUCUCCAGGGGCCAGGGGGCCUUGCUUAUAUAGUCUUUUCAGAUGAAUCUGGGCCGUCGGAUCAAACCGACAUUAAUCACACGGUUUUCCUUGAUCCUUUAGGUCGGUGGAGCACGAUCCGCGAAACGGGUCCGAAUUGGACACUGUAGCUGGGCGGGCGCCCAGGAGAGUUGGGCGGGCGCCCUGCCUCCGAGCCCGAUUGCCUUUCCGUUCAUUCCCGUGGCUUCUGGAGUCUUCUAGAUGAUAGAAAAUUGCGCGACACGUUAAUAUCUCUAUGUAAACCCGACGUGUGGGCCUUUCUUCCGUAUUUCCUGAUAACCCCCUGUAGAUAUAGACAAACACCAAAACUCGUGGAAUUCUAUCAGAUAAAACCCUAAGUCUAGGUGUUGGUUGCAUAUAGGUCCUUUUCCAUAAUUAGUUGAUGGUUAAAUGUGAGCAUUAAGGACCGUCAACAAGCUCCCCCAAGCUUAACCUUUGCUCGUCCCUGAGCAAAGAUGAACUCAAGAGUUUCUGAAGUGGUUUCAUGCCUUAAAGAUACACAUGCGUUCAAACAAUAUCUCAUCUCUGGGUUAGGGUAAACUGUUAAGAUUUAAACUUACUCAUUUUACCUUCCACCAUGGGGCUUGCAACCGUCACUUGUGUCUUGAGUAGUUAAAAGAUAGAACGGUCUAAUCAAGCGCCAUGUCUCUUGUUCUUCGAUUAACUAUAGCUCUGGAGUUUUUGUAGAUUUUCAAAUAAAACUCAGAGCUUCCUUGUAUUACUCUCUCUAGUCUCUCUUUUGUGGUCUUUCUGUAUCCUUACCAAAGUAGUAAUGGUAUAUGCCCUCUCUCAAAGUAUGUAGUAUUUUUGGUAUGAGGCAUAGUGACAUUGCUUUCUCUCUCACCCUACUCUAAUAAGGCUUUUGAUAUCUGGAUUUCAUAAGUGGGAGACAGCUAAUACAUUCUUACAAGACAUUUAUUGCAUAGUCAAACCAUGGAUCCAGAGAAACAAGUCAAUAAGUCAAAUCAAGAUGUGCAUGUGUGGCGAAUGAAUGGUGUAUGGUGAUGAUGGUGAUGACAAUGGUGAAAGUCUAAUUCUGCUUUUGCACUUUUGAGGGGAUACAUACCUUUCUUGCUAUUUUGAAAUUUUUUUUGAAGAGAAUGACAUGCUCUAUAUUUUCUUUUUCUUUCCUCUCAGGUGGGUAUCUUGUACCCCUAAUUCUACUGUCGGACACUUGUCCAUUUUUACCUCUCGUCUCACUUUUUCUUUUCUUUCAAGGUUCCGGGCACUUGCCCCUUUUUAUUUCCUCGUAUUCUUUCUCUUCUUUUUUUCUUUAUUUUUUUAGAGCACUCAUUUCCUGAAAUAAUAUAGCAAGUGGUAGUAACAAGAUAACUUGAGCAUUUAUUUCACAGGGAAAAAAUAGAAAUAGGAGAAUGUUUUUGGUUAUUCUCUCCCGGAUUAGGAGUAGAAUAUUUUUGGGUCGUUCUGGAGAUGGAAAUGGAUGGAUAUAUGUGGAUGCGUACUUCCAAAGUAGAAGCAGCAUGUAUGAGUGAACGUGCAAAUGAAUCUUGACUUAACCACAUGACCAGCUCCUAAGGGUCUACACAGCUUGACCACACUCAAUGCUCAUAAGUAGUAAAAAGUAAAUGUGUGGCUCAUAGUCUAGCAAGCAUGUAUAUAUGACUGUGGUAGGAAUUUAAGCUCUCAUCAUACAGGAACUCAUCAUGCAACAUUUUAAAUAUUUUCAAAGAUAAAAUUCUCCAGAAUUCUAGCAUCUCUAGGAACAGAUAAACAACAGCUCAACCUUCCCAUAUCAUAUCCGUUAACGACGUAGACUUUAGAUCAAGUACUCUUCCCACAAGUUCAGGUUUUAGAGCAAAUCUUAAUUAAUAACAGUCAUGCCUAAACUUGAGAGAGAUUUCAAUUUUGAAAACUAGUCAUGGCAGAGCAACUAUUCAUCAUUUCCAAAAUUUUUAUUUGGGUUUUUAUGAUUAUGCAUCUUUUUAUUAUUAGAUUAAAGUAUAAAUGUGAGUACAAUACUUAGCUGGAUAAAUGGGGGUGCUCUCCCCCAAGCUGGAUUUUGACGUAAUUUCUUCUGAUGUAGCUAGUAGGUGGUGGAGGUGUAUUUGAAUGUCAGCAGCACCCUGAUAGUGAUUAGGAUGUCCUCCGUCUGCUAGUCUUCUUUGAUCCUUGAAUUCUGUGGAGCUCAAAUAGACAACAAAGCUUUGUGGAACUAGUUAAGUGUUAGCAUAAAUAUCUAGCCUUUAUCAUGUUGAGCCUCCUCUAAUAAAUAUUACUCUCUUUAGUAGGAUCAUAAAUUUAUUUUUAUAUUUUCAUUUUUAUAGGACAGGAAUAUAUAUUUAUUUUUACGCCACCACAGUGAAUGUACUUAUGGGUUUUAUGCCAUGAGCAUACUCACAAGGGGCUUACUAUUUUUAACAUUUUCAUUUUCUUUUCAAGAUAGCAUGAACCUAAUUAACUAAGCAAACUAUUUUAAAUAAUUGGAAGGAAAAGGAUAACUACCAAGUUUACCUCUUGGCAAGGCGUUCGGUGUUUUUAAGUCCUCCAAACGGAACUUUCCGUUUUCUCAGUCGUCCUGGGAUUUGCUGGAUGGCGUAGUCAGUGGUUCCGGCGACGCCUGCUCUUCUUGUAUAACUAUCUUCUCUCUCCACACCUGACUCGUUGCUACGGUCUCCUCAGGACAGUGUCUUUAGACCCUACCACUUCUCCUUCAUAGUCUGCCCAUCCGUCCUUAAUGAUUUGCCUUCUCUAGUUGCGGUUGCGUCAUCUUCUUCUUGUCCUGACCUGCUUAGAGUCUUCAGCUAUAUAGUUAGGGUCAGUAAAAUAGCGGCGUACCUUCUCAGAGGGGAAGUGCAUGUGGACUGCUCCGGUUCCAAUGUAAAUGAUUGCUUUAACAGUGCUGAGGAACGGUCUUCCAAGGAUGAUGGGUGGAUUGUAAUCGUCUUCUCCCAUGUCAAUAACCUUAAAAUCAUCUGGAGCUGAAUGUAUGUCGGUUUUAGGGGUAUGGUUCCGAACAGGAGCUGAUAGGUGACUGCAGCCAUUAUGUUGACGCCUGACCCAGUGUCGCAAAGCAUCUUUUGGAAGUUGUAUCUAUUAAUGGAGCACUGGAUGCUUGGCAUACUUGGGUCGUUCUUUUUGGUCAGGAACGGUAAUUUAAGUCGACGAUCUUGACCUCCUUGAACUGCAGUGACCAUCUUAGCUGACUUGGUCCAUAUUUGCUUGUUCCUGUUCAUCUUGUUGGUCCUCUUCCUUGGUUCAUGACGGGAAUGCUCUAAGAUUUGUGUAGUCUUGUUCUUGAAGGAAAACAUCUCCUUCCUCCCCUUGAUGUAGAAACUGAUCUUGGCAGCACUAGCGUAGAUGAUAGCUCCCGAGGUGUUCAGAAAUGGCCUCCCAAGGAUGAUGGGUGCCCUCCCAUUAGUACCAGUCUCUAUCACCACGAAGUCUGCUGGGGCGUACAAGGUACCAACUCGGACGCAGAGGUUCAUCAAAAUUCCCUUUGGGAAACUUAGCGUACGAUCUGCAAGCUGCAAACACAUGGCUGUUUCUAAUAAAGGAUGUGUAAAGAAUUUUUCAUAGAGUACCCUGGGCAUAAUGUUGACGCUGGAGCCAAAGUCGUAGAGUGCUUCUGGGAAGUCCACCAUGCCGAUGGAGAUCGGGAUGACGGGGCGCCCUAGAUUGUCUCUCUUGACCGGCAGAAGGUCAGUAAUUACUUCCACAACGGGGUUACUCCAGUAGUUACGUCCUCAAGCAUCUCAGGGCAGUGAUUGCCUGAGUGUCCAGUAUCUCCAGUGUGUUUGUGCUCGUAGAUCUAGGUUCUUCACUUGGUGGAGUCUAGGAGUUGUAAAACUCCUUCAUAUUUUGCUCGAAGUGUACCUGCUCAUAGAGACAAGGCAGAGAUCAAGUGCAUGGGCCCUGUUGGUGGAAAACACCAACAGAACUGAAAGUGUAUUUGUUCUUCUCUAACCUCAGGCAUAGUGAGCAAGACAAAGUUGAUGGAUAAUAAGAUCAUGAGUGUAGCAUUUAAAACAUUUGUCAGAUCAGAUCGCUCAACCUAAUGGAAAGAUAAUCUAUCUAUACUUAUGUUUUUUUUAUAUAUCUUCCAAAGAUUAUGUGUGCAACAUUUUAUCUCAUAUGAUUAGGAGUGUGGGAUCACGAAGGUAGAAGGACUAAACAUGUUGAAUCAGGUUGGUUAAUCUAGAGUUGUAAAUCAUACAUGUUUGUCUCUUUUGUUCAUGUGAACGCCAGAACCAAGGAGAAGCUUAUAAAAGUGAUAGAUAAGUACCUUAAGAUGUUACCUUACUUGAAGAGUGAUGGUACAAUAUCACCUUGUGGAAGCUUUCCUUUCUUAGCGGUUGUGCAUCAUGUUUGUGGCACCCUCCAUGGAUCAUCUCUUGUGAGCUAUGCCUUCCUUGUGUAAAUUGUUAAACUUCAUGUGUCUCUCUCUUUGUCUCCAAUGUGAGUUUAUCUCAGGACUUCCCAGGUCGAUAUUGAAAGUUUUCCUGUAGGGGUUAGUCCAACAAAAUAUCAAUAUCUACUAUAGCAUACUAUUGGCUCAAAAAAAACAACCUAGACACCAUGUCUAAUUUGAUUUAGGAGGGCAUUUUAACCUAAGCACCAAGCUUGAUUUAAAAACCCUUGGAAGUAAGAUCAUCAGCCCUAAACUAAGCACCAUGCUUAAUUAAGAAAUAAAUGAAACUACUCCAAACCUAGACAUAUACUAAAGAAAAUAAAGGUAGCAUGAGAGCAUUUAUAGACAUCUACUCAAAUGGAGAUGAAGUAGAAAGAUUAGUGUUUAACAAAUUGAGCAUGUCUCAAAGGUAGGGACAACCGACAUAGCAACAAGGCAAAGGAUGUUUUUAUGUAAAGUACUCCCCCAAGCUUGAAUUUUGCAAAAUUAAAGUUUGGAUGAGUUUAAUUCAAUGUUGUAUGAUGAUUGGUUGCACAUACCUUGUGCUUGUCAUUCAUCCGAUCUUCUUGCUCCAAUCCUGGAAAGGUUAGUGACAAGAAUACCCGAUGGAAUAUUUUUACAAUUAUCCUUAUAAGCUCAAUACACAAGGUAAUGUUGCAAAUAAUUAAAAGCUCAUGUUACGAUCUAAUCAGUGCUUAUUUUAGGAUAAUAAGCUUGUCCUUGGGAAACCAUCAAUUUAUGUCGGCAAAGUGGUUUCCCCUCCAACACCAACCUAUAUCAAGAUCAACUCAACGAGAUCUGCAAAAUUUAUUAUAGACAUAUGCAUCGACAACCGCCCUUUUGAAGUUUUUAUAAAUAGAAAGGAAGAGGGGGUUGGAGAUCUCGAAUGUGGUGAUGUUGGAGAGACCAAUGGACUGUGAAGAUGUUGCAUAUGAGCAUGAAGUAAAUGAAGUGGCUAUGAAAUAAAUUCCAUGCUCAUUAAUGCUUAGAGUGAAAUCCAUGUGGUAUGGUGAAAAUGAUAAGUUGAGUGUGGUAAAAAAAGGAAAAGAAAAAGGAUACACGGACGACUUGGUUCAAAAUUAGCACAGCUACCGUUCCCCGGCAACGGCGCCAGAAAGCUUGUUUGGUAUUUUAAAUGCAAACAGAAAAAUCCGCAAGCGCACGGAUACCGAUGUAGCCUUCACCCGGGAGUAUUCCAGAGUAUCGAUUUUCCACAGAGAACGUUAGUGUACUAAUUAAGAUCCAAGAUCGCCCAAGGAUAACUAUAUAAUUGUUUUUUGUGGGAAGAGAGGAAGUUUCCUGAGAGUUCUCUAGUUGAUCUAAGAAUCAAGAAUUACUUCAAGAUUAUCUAUUUCAGGACAUCAGAGCACUAACCACAGAAAGAGAUGAGAAGGGGGCUAGGAAGGUCUGACUACGGUCCUACAAACACCGAUCGGAACGUGGUGGAAUACGUCGACCGUUAGGGCUGUCACUACCCUAAGGCUACCACAACAAUCCGCAGGAUUGGGUGCAAUUCCAGGUAAUUGCAAGACUAAACACCACGUCUAAUCUAUUAAUUACUACUCUAGCGUUAUAAAGACUACAGCACUUGAUGCAAGCGGGAAUCCAAUAAAUAACUUGAAUGUAAAUAAAAGUAAUUAGAGAACUCAGGAAUUAUGAAUUGAAGAACCUGGAGAACGAUGAAGAACGAACCAGUUGAUGCAAAAGUACAAUGUAGAGGAAGAUCCGACAGAUCUGGCUCCUCCUCCGCUCUCCCCUUCUCUCUCCCUAUUUUCUAGAUUACGACUAGAACAAACUAGAACUAGAACUAGAACUAGAGGAACUAGAACUAGAACUAGAUGAACUAGGACUAGAUCUAGAUGAACUAGAGGUAGAACUAGAAGAACUAGAGGGAUCCUCUCUACUUGGAUGAAGAAUUGAAACCCUAACUUUGAUUCUGUAGAAGAGGUAUGAUCUCCAGGGGCCAGGGGGCCUUGCUUAUAUAGUCUUUUCAGAUGAACUGGGCCGUCGGAUCAAACCGACAUUAAUCGAACGGUUUUCCUUGAUCCUUUAGGUCGGUGGAGCACGAUCCGCGAAAUGGGUCCGAAUUGGACACUGUAGCUGGGCGGGCGCCCAAGAGAGUUGGGCGGGCGCCCUGCCUCCGAGCCCGAUUGCCUUCCCGUUCGUUCCUGUGGCUUCUGGAGUCUUCUAGAUGAUAGAAAAUUGCGCGACACGUUAAUAUCUCUAUGUAAACCCGACGUGUGGGCCUUUCUUCCAUAUUUCCUGAUAACCCCCUGCAGAAAUAGACAAACACCAAAACUCGUGGAAUUCUGUCAGAUAAAACCCUAAGUCUAGGUGUUGGUUGCAUAUAGGUCCUUUUCUAUGAUUAGUUGAUGGUUAAAUGUGAGCAUUAAAAACCGUCAACAGGGCGCGAUCAUGAAGACGAGGACGAGGACCAGGAUAGGGACCCACGACACUAGUAUGUCAGUCCCACCGACGUGGUCCACUCCAUCUUCGGGGGCAAGGUCUCCAUCGAGUCUAAGCGAGAAAGAAAGCUCUUAAAGAGAGCCUGCCUCAACAUAGACAACACGGAUGGCCUGAUCACCGAUCCGAAAUUUCCUCCCUGGUCGCACAGGGAAAUCUCCUUCAGCAGGAUGGAUCAGUGGGCCGCUAUCCCGGAGCCAGGACGUUUCCCUCUAAUCUUGGAUCCUUGCAUCAACAACAUCAGAUUCGAGCGCGUGCUCGUCGACAGGGGAAGCUCCAUCGACAUCCUCUUUCGCAAUAGCUUACCUGCCCUCAAGAUAACCCCAGCAUAGUUAAAGUCAUACGACGCUCAAUUCUGGGGAGUCUUGCCAGGUCAAAGUUCAGUGCCCCUCGGACAGAUAACACUGCCUGUCCAAUUCGGCACAUCCGACCACUUUCGAAUAGAGUUCGUCAACUUUGUGGUCGCCGACUUUGAUGGAACUUACCAUGCUAUACUGGGCCGACCAUCACUGACAAAGUUCAUGGCAGUUCCACAUUACUCAUAACUGGUCCUCAAAAUGCCUACAGAGAAGGGCGUCCUAACUGUCAGGGGCAAUGUCUACACUGCAUACACUUGCGAGGAGGAAAGCUUCAAGAUCACCGAAGCAAUUGAUCUUUCAAUUCGCAUGGCAGAAACAACAGCCCAAGCUGCAUAGCUCCCUCCCGACCAGCUCCGACUACCCGAGCAGGAGACCGCUAGGAAGAAUACAAAGUCCAAGGAAUACAAGGAAGUACAACAGGUCGAAGGCAGCCCCGAGAAGACGACCCUCAUCGGGGCCAACCUAGAUCUUAAAUAGGAAGACGCGCUCAUCAAGUUUCUAAGGGACAACGUGAGCAUUUUCGCAUGGAAAACCGUAGACAUGCCCGGCGUCCCACGAAACCUGAUCGAGCACUCCUUAAACGUCUCGAAGACCGCAAGACCCAUCAAGCAAAAGCUGCGACGGUUUGCUCGUGACAAAAAGGAGGCUAUUAGGAUAGAAAUAACACGGCUUCUAGCAGCCGGAUUUAUAAAAGAAAUGUAUGAUCCAGAUUGGCUCGCCAAUCCGGUCCUUGUACGCAAAAAGAAUAAUGAAUGGAGAAUGUGCGUUGAUUAUACUGAUCUCAAUAAACACUGUCCUAAAGAUCCUUUCGGUCUCCCUCGCAUCGACGAGGUGGUCGACUCAACGGCCGGAUGCGAACUCCUCUCUUUCUAGACUGCUACUCUGGUUAUCACCAGAUCUCGCUAAAGGAAGAUGACCAGAUCAAAACAUCUUUCAUUACUCCUUUCGGCGCAUAUUGCUACACGACCAUGUCCUUUGGACUCAAAAACGCCGGAGCCACCUAUCAAUGGGCCAUCCAACAAUGCCUCCAUGACGAGAUUCAUGAUGACCUCGUCGAGGCUUAUGUAGACGAUGUCGUCGUCAAAACAAGGCAUGCAAGCACUCUAAUCGAUAACUUAGACCGAACCAUUAAGGCACUAAACAAAUACAAGUGGAAGCUCAACCCCAAAAAGUGCAUCUUUGGGGUCCCCUCUGGACUACUACUUGGCAACAUCGUCAGCCGCGACGGCAUACGACCGAAACCUUCAAAGGUAAAAGCAGUGCUCGACAUGCGACCACCUAAGAAUGUCAAGGACAUUCAGAAGCUCACCGGAUGUAUGGCCACUCUCAGUCGCUUCAUCUCAAGACUGGGAGAAAAAGGCCUCCCGUUCUUCAAACUCCUGAAGGCAUCGGAAAAAUUCUCCUGGACAGAGGAAGCUGACGCCGCCUUCACCCAGCUCAAGACUUUCCUCACCUCACUGCCUGUUCUCACAGUGCCUCAGCCCAACGAGGACCUACUCCUCUACAAUGCAGCAACCGACAGGGUCGUUUCCACGGCAAUAGUGGUCGAGCGAGACGAGCCAGGUCACAUCUACAAGGUCCAGAGACCCGUUUAUUUCAUAAGCGAAGUCCUAAACGAGUCCAAGACCAAGUACCCACAGAUACAGAAGCUCAUAUACGCCAUCCUAAUAACGUCCAGGAAGCUUAAACACUACUUCGACGGCCACCGGGUCUUGGUAACCACCAGUUUCCCUCUGGGGGACAUUCUGCACAACAAGGACGCCAACGGCAGAAUUGUAAAAUGGGCAAUGGAAUUAUACCCAUUCUCCCUGGACUUCCAGAGCCGCACUACCGUCAAGUCACAGGCCCUGGUCGAUUUCAUCGCAGAAUGGACGGACCUCAACGAACCUUCCGUCUCCGACACCUCCGAUCACUGAUCAAUGUUCUUUGACGGAUCCUUAAACAUCAACGGCGCUGGCGCCGGGAUUCUCUUCGUGUCGCCUAACAAGGACAAACUGCGCUACGUCCUUAGGAUCCUCUUUCCCGCGUCAAACAACGUCGCUGAGUACGAAGCAUGCCUGCAUGGCAUACGACUAGCCGUUGAGUUGGGAGUCAAACGCCUCUACGUCCAUGGCGACUCCGCCCUAGUUAUCAACCAGCUCAACAAGGAAUGGGACACAACCCACGAGAAGAUGGACCUCUACUGCAAAGAAAUCCGCAAAUGGGAAUCCAACUUCUACGACAUAGAGUAUAUCCACGUGGUCCGGGAUAAAAACCAGGCAGCGGAUGCGCUGUCAAAGUUAGGGUCAUCUCGGGCCCAGAUCCCGCAAGGCAUUUUCGUUCAAGACAUCCACGCGCCAAGUGUGAGCAUAGACCUGGUCAAAAAGCAAGCUAAUGAGGCAAUGCUCAUAGACGACGCUACUCCGACAACCAGCAGCCGUGAUUGGCGCACCCCUUUCAUCAGGUAUAUAUCGGACGGGUCGGGUUUUCAGGAUAAAAUGGAGAACGAGCGCCUCAUUCGACGAUCAAAGAAUUACAUACUGGUGGACGGCAAACUUAUGCUAAAAAUGCAAGUUCUGAAGUGCUGCUCAAAUGCAUAUCCCAAGAUGAUGGCAUCAAGCUCUUGGACGACAUACACGUCGGAUCCUGCGGCAACCACGCGGCCUCCAGAACACUAGUCGGGAAGGCUUUCCGAGCAGGUUUUUACUGGCCAACCGCGGUCGCCGACGCAGAGAAACUGUCCGACAUUGUGAAGGAUGCCAGUUCUUCGCCAAGAGGACCCACGUACCUGCUCACGAGAUUCAAACUAUUCCGUCAUCCUGGCCUUUCGCCUGCUGGGGCCUCGACAUGAUCGGGCCAUUUAAACCGGCUCCCGGCAACUUCAAGUUCGUUUUCGUGUUAAUCGACAAAUUCUCGAAGUGGAUCGAAUACAUGCCACUGGUCAAAGCAACCUCCGAGAAAGUUGUGGAGUUCCUUAAUCAAAUCAUACACAGAUUUGGGAUCCCCAACAGUAUAAUCACCGACCUGGGCACUCAGUUCACUGGCACUACGUUCUGGGACUUCUGCGAUGAUAGAGGCAUAGUCAUAAAAUACGUGUCAGUAGCUCACCCACGAGCAAACGAUCAAGUAGAACGCACGAACGGAAUGAUUAUUGAUGCCCUAAAGAAAAGGUUGUACACCGAGAACGACAGAGCGCCUGGUCGAUGGAUGAAAGAGCUACCGGCCGUGGUCUGGGGUCUCCAAACACAGGCCAGUCGCAAUACAGGCGUAUCACCCUACUUCAUGGUUUAUGGCUCCGAGGCAGUGCUCCCAUCUGAUGUAACCUUCAGAUCUCCAAGAGUUGAAAACUUCGACCAAUCAACCGCUGACAACGCUAGGGAGCUCGAAAUCAACUGCAUGGAGGAAAAGCGUCUAAUUUUAUGUCUUCGAACAGCAAAGUAUCUCGAAGCCAUCAGGCGGUACCACAACAGGAACGUCAAAGACCGUUCCUUCAUGGUCGGUGAUCUGGUACUCAAGUGGAAAACAAGCCAGGAAGGGACGCACAAGUUAUCCACGCCUUGGGAAGGACCCUUUGUGGUCGCCGAAGUCACACGCCCUACAUCCUACAGACUGGUGUAUCCAGAUGGAACACGCGUGCCUAAUUCUUGGCACAUAGACAAACUGUGCCAUUUUUAUCCAUAAGUUCCAGUACCUUUUGCUUGUAAGUUUCUUAUAAUUAGCAAUAAUAAAAGCUUUCCUUUUUCGCUAUAUAUUGUUUACACGCAGAGCUUUCGACGAGCACAACAAUCUUCCUCUGCGGUGAAGAUUCUUAACGACUAUCAAUCAAACACAGUGAUACAUCACUCAGAUAACAUUACAGUGCUCAAAAUCAUGGUCAUGACAAAAUCAAACUUUAUUACAAACUUUACAUACAGAGUUUACAAUAAACACCCCGCCGGGCGGUUACUAGUCUACUCCUACAAACUAUCCUAUAGGCCUACUACUCGGGCUGAUCACCCACUUGGCCUUGCUGCCCAGACGGAGGGGUCGGGGCCACCGGCGCCUGGCUGGUCAAGACCGUAGGCGUCGACCGCCCAUCUCCGGCAAUGGACGCCCCCGACAACUCCCUGGCCGAUCUGUCUGACCCCGGCUGGUCGGGGGGAGUGGCCGUCCCGCAGAGGUUGAUGUCGCUGAUCACCGUCGACGACAAGUCAAGUAGGCCAGCUCGAAGGUCGUCUGCUCCUGCGGGCCAACUUCCUUGGGGUACCCCCUCUCUAGCCUGGACAGGUCGACCAGGGGAUAGUGGGCGCACACCAUGUCGAGGACAUGCGCGCCGGCGAACUCCCCGGCGUCCUUGACGAACUGCUGGAGCCAGUCCCACGCCCGUUGCGCCUUCUCGACUGGCGUCAGUCUUGGCGCGCGAGGCUGGUCUUUAGGGAGCUCGGGGCUGAUCAAGUCAAGAACCGGGGCCACUCCUUUCCAAAGUUUGAUGCAGUUGGUCUUCCAGGAGUCCCGGUCCUUGAUCAGCUCGUCUAAAUGCUUCUUGGUAUUCACCUUGAGCACUACAAAUCAAGCAGGAGGUCAGUUCGCAAAUAAAGAAAGGAACGUCGAGCAACCAAGUAAAAAAUGAGUGCCACGGUUGUUACCAGACAACUCCCAAUUCCUGUUGCUUAGCUCCUCGCCGGCUCGGCGCCCGGACUCCACCGCCCCGGCAAGCUCUUGGCCGAGCUGCUCCUUCUCCUGCCGGAGGCGUGCAACCUCCUCCUCCAAGUCUGUAGGUACAAUACCUGGUCAACAAAACUGACCACGUGGCCACAUACAACUGCUCGGAACAGGUGACUGACCUCUCCUUUGGUGGACCUGGUCGGCUAACUGCCGAUUGAGGUCGAGAAGGCGCCCUUCCUGAGCACUCAUCUCGGCCGCCUUCUCUCUGGCUUCCGACCGAAGCCGAUCCACCUCUGCGGACAGGGCCUUGUUCUCGGCCAUAACGCCCUCAAUAUGGUCGAAGCACCUUUUUCGGUACUUCGCCGUUUUCAUUGCACCCUGCACGAAGAGUACAUGUUGAACCCAGGAACAUCGCACAUAAGGAUCGAGCAGCGCAAAGGACCAUUUACCUUAACCUCGUCCACGAGACGUUUUGCCGCGUGCUCCACCCUUGCGGCCUCUUCCGUCUCCGCGAGCUCCUCGUGUCUGAUGAAGUGGUCCCCGCGUUGGCGCCACACGUAGACGUGCUGGCGGCCAUCACGGGGACGACCUUCAAUCUCCUCCACGUCAUCGUCAGAGGCCGCCUGGGUCUCCUCGUUCGCCGCACUGCCACCGGCUGUGGUCGCAGGCAUCACUAGCCCCUGGUCCAGUCCAGGGGAGCCUGCGGGCGAAGAGGCCCCUGCCCAGGGUGGUGUUGGGACUCCCCUCUCUUCGGCUGGUGGAGGAGUCGGGGCUUUGUCUUCCUCCUCGACGACGUUACUCGGGGGAGGCGUCCUCGUAGCCUCCUCGUCCCUCGUCGGGGUGCUCGCCGCAGCCUUUGCUGAGGCCGGAUGCUCCUCGGCGCUAUCAGCCGCGGUUGUCACCGCGGGCUACUCCGUGGUCUGCGGCGUGGCGUCCCCAGCGGCAGCAACGGGCUCGGCCACCCUCUGGCCAGCAACGUGGUCAGGAUCAACGUCCGACGCCGUGCUAACAAUAAGACGACAUUUAAACAAUGUCAAAACGCAGCAACAAAAUGCAAAACAUCGCAACACGAAAGUAAGAAUGAAAACUUACAGGUCAGAGCACCGGUGUGUUGCGGUGAACCUCCUCCUAGUCCUACCAGUCGGUACCUGCGCCCCCGUCUCUACGACGCGCGUCGGCUCGACAUGCGGUGCAGGCGGGUCACUGGUCACCCGAGCAGCGGUGGCCGGCGCAACGUCUGGACGACUACGCGGCCUCCGGACCAACGACGGCACGGCCUCCUCCUCGUCGUCGUCGUCAUCGGCGAUCCGGACGAGCUGACGGCGCUUUGGCGCCUGGCUGCUCUCUACCGGUAGCGUUGCCGCAGGGGAGCGGUCCGCCGCCAGUGGCCUUUUCCCCACCACUCUGUCCUCGAUGGUCGGGGCGGGAUGGUUUUGCUCCUCCUCACUGCUGGUGUACCGAGCACACCGAGCAGCGUCGUCUUCCGGCGGGUCUUCCCCCGCGGGAUUCUCCAUGCCAGGUGCCAGUGAUACGUACACUGUGCACCGGUCAACGUCUCCGAUCUGCAACAACAACAAAGACAAGUCAACAACUAGGAAGAACAAGAACUAAGGAGGUAACAUCAGUCAGUAACACUACCUUAGGAGCUGGUCGCCCCAGCUUGAAGGCCUGCACCCAAUCACCGCUUCGAACGAAGCUAUUGUAUGCAAAGUUGAACAGCUCGUUCAACAGCUGUUGCACUUCUGUCUUCUCUAGAACUUCAGGACUCAUCCUGGUCGGGUCCUGGCUUCCCGCGUACUCGUACGCCGAAUGUACCCUCUUCUGGCAGGGCAUCACCCGACGACAGAUGAAGUUGCCGACCACUCCUAGCCCGUCUAAACGCGACCAGUCGAUCAGCUUCAUCAGUUCUUCUACCUGACCGGCGAACUCUGGGCGGUCUAUCCAACUGACCCUCUUCUCGGGAAUGUACCCCACAUUGCAGAACGUGGAGCUGCCUGGCUCUUCCCUGACGUAGAACCACUUCUUGUACCACUCGGUGAGAGAAGUGUUCCACGGGCAGUUGAGAUACCGGUUCUUCAUCCCGUCACGAAGAUUGAGGUAUACUCCACCUCCAAUCUUGGAGCCUCCAACCGCUCCCUUCUUCCUCAAACAUGAAAAGGUAGCGGAAAAGAUCGAAGUGUGGCUCUAUCACAACAUAGGCCUCGCACAGAUGGAUAAAAGUGGAAAUAAGAAGAAUCGAGUUCGGGUGCAGAUUGCAGAUCCCGAUCUCAUAGUAAAGAAGAAGCCCCUGGAGAAAAGGAUGGACAGGAACCCCAAAACCCCUCUUGAAAUAAUCUUCGAAAACCACGAUCUCACCGGCACGGAGGUCGGGGUAGCUCUCCCCCUCUGGCGCCCUCCAGCCGCCGAGCUCUUGGCCGUGCAGUAGCCCCAUGCCGACGAGGUCGUUGAGGGACCUCACGCUGCUCCGGGACUUCUUCCACUCCUUAGCCAUCAGCUCGGCCCUCUUUUUGGAGUCGCUCUUCACCAUUGACGCUCCGGGAAUGGCUGCGAGUUGGGUGGACUGAUGGUGAUUGCAGAAGGCAAGAGUGGAAAGCUUGAAGGCAAUGGCAGGGUAAGCAAUAUGAGGGCAAUGUCAAGCUUUUAUAAGCAACAACUCCACCCCUCCCACUUCCCGCAUUCUUGGGAAGUGGGCGGGCCCAACGGCGGACGCGACGUUUCGGUUUUCAACAAUUACCGGCAAUUAAUACGGCAACCUUUUCGUAUAAUUGAUGGUUUCCUUUUCUCGAACCGCGCAAAGAGCGGCUGCACAGUUACCAGGUGCACCUUUUCACACAACCAUCUGAUAAUGCGUCAGGAGGUCUCGUCACGUCACUCAUUUAUGUGGUAAGAUGCUUUUUUUCAAAAUAACAGACAAAAAUUGGUGGAGGAUCAACAUUCCUGGGGACUGCACCGACCACCGAGCACUGUAUUCUCGGGGACUGUUCGUCCAGUCCACCAGUUUGGAGAUCUGGGGACUGCACCGACCACCGAGAACUGUAAGUUCGGGGACUGGUUGCCCAGUCCGCCAGUUCGGAGAUCUUGGGGCCGCACCGACCACCGAGCACUGUACGCUCGGGGACUGGUCGACCAGCCCGCCAGUUUGGAAGAAUUAGGGACUAUACCAAUCACCAAGGUGUUAUCAGCUCGAGACUGGUUGAUGAGUCUAUCCGAUGGCAAACGAGCAUGAGAUGCUCGGGGACUGGAUAAUUUUAAUUUUUUAGACCUUGCUACAAGGCUCAUACUUCGCCUUCCAGCAAGCUCGGGGACUACAUCAGUACGAUGCAUCUGGCGAUGCAUCUCAGUUUCAGAAUUUCUCUGAGGACUUUUCUUCUGACACUGGCACCACGUGCAAACGUCACCUACUACCAGGCUCGGGGACUAAGUGGGCACACUUCACCUUGCGGUGAACUUGUUUGCUUUUUGCUAGAGUACACUUUUUGAAAAAAGUAGAGUGGGCACACUUCACCGAGAAAAGAAAUAUUUUUUCUUAAGAGCACCAUGCAUUCUUCGAACAACCAGCUUUUUCGAUGCCAAUGUUGAUAAAAUAUUUUUGAGUUGGUCAAAAUACCAUUGCAACUGUUCAAGCGACUUUCCUGCCUAUUGAAGACGUCAAGUUUCACUGGUCGAAGAAGCUCAAGACGGCGUGUUACUUCACAAUACAUGGUGCUCGGGGACUAGCUGUGGGGGUAUAAACCCCUAUACCCUUACGGCUAGACUUGGGCCAGGAGGCUUGGCCCAUUACAAGACAAGUUCGAGGCUCGAUCCGAUCGCUCGGAGUUUCGCGCAAGGAAACAAGACGUGGAGAUCAAGCAUGAUUCUAGUCGGUUAGAAUAGGAAUUGAUAUCGAACUAUCUAUGGCAAUUGUAACCGACUAGUAUUAGUUUCUAGAUCUGUAACCCUGCCCUCCGGACUAUAUAAGGAGGGGCAAGGGACCCCUCUAGGACACAUUAUUCUCUCAAUCCAAUACAAUCAGAUGCAGGACGUAGGUGUUACGCCCACACGGCGGCCGAACCUGGAUAAAAACCUUGUCUGUGUCUUGCGUCACCAUCAAGUUCGCAGCUUGCGCACGGUCUACCGAUAAACUACUACCGUGGGCAUACCCCAAGGUAGACUGCCGACCAGCUUUCGUCGACACUCCACGUCCUCGUGUAGAGGUGGUGCAGCCGCGGCUGGUCCAUCUACCUCCAUGCCAUCGUCAUUGGCCACAAUCACCUGAGGUCCCACCUCCGGGUACAUGGGUACAGGGCGAGGAAUAGGGUGUAGCAAGUUGUUGAGACGGUGAAUCUCCACAAGACCAACCUUAAUCUGAACCUGCAGAUAGUUCUCCCGCUCAAGCGACUGAGUCCGGUGCAUCUCCCAUGCCCGGCACCUAUUCUCCAACACACGGAGCGCAGUAUCCCUCUCACGAGUGACCUGCACCAAGCGCUCCUGCACUGUCUCCCUCUCCCUAGCCAACUGACUCAUUUGAUCCUGCUUGUGAUCUCUCUCUCUAAUGGCCUUCACCCACUGCUACCUAUGGUACUCCGCAAUGUCUUCCCAGUCAUUGCGGUCCUUCUGAGCUUGCUCCAGGAGUCUAGCUUGCUUGCGAAACAUGCGAGCAUGCUUUUCAGCCUUCUGUUGCAUCUCCUGAGCCUGGCGAACAGCCACGAUCACCUGUGCAUAGGUGUGGGGGUAUAAACCCCUAUACCCUCACGACUAGACUUGGGCCAGGAGGUUUGGCCCAUUACGAGACAAGAUCGAUGCUUGAUCCGACCGCUCGGAGUUUCACGCAAGGAAACAAGAUGUGGAGAUCAAGCAGGAUUCUAGUCGGUUAGAAUAGGAAUUGAUAUCGAACUAUCUUUGGCAAUUGUAACCGACUAGGAUUAGUUUUCAGAUUUGUAACCCUGCCCUCCGGACUAUAUAAGGAGGGGCAAGGGACCCCCCUAGGACACAUUAUUCUCAAUCCAAUACAAUCAGACGCAGGACGUAGGUGUUACGCCCACACGGUGGCCGAACCUGGAUAAAAAGCUUGUCCGUGUCUUGCGUCACCAUCGAGUUCGUAGUUUGCGCACCGUCUACCGAUAAACUACUACCGUGGGCAUACCCCAAGGUAGACUGCCGACUAGAUUUCGUCGACAAUAGGUGUCCUCUCACUGACCGAACAGCUUGAGCACAGCCAUCAUAGCACUCAUAGCAGCACUAGAACUCUCAGCUCGCUCUCCUCGACCUCGGACCAACGCGCAACCAUCAGCCUGCUUCCACUCCACUGCUCCUGGGUGAGCAUGGGGAAUGGAGGUCGCCGGCCCUCCUGUCAGCUCAUCACCAAACCUCUAACAGAUGUUGAGCAGCAUACCAUGGGCUGCAACCUGAGCCACUUCCCAUGGAGUCUGCCCAUCAGAGUUGCAGGUCCACCCUGUCCAUGCAGGCCUGCCCCCAUGUGGUGGGACAACUCCCUGCACAGCAAACCACUACAACUCUCCUGUCAUAUCCACCUCCCACCAAGAAUACUGAGGUGGCUCAGUAUAUCCUACAGACUGCAGCACCCUCCAGAGCAAAGUAGGAGUGCCAAACUCGCUCAAAAAGGUAUCACUGGGGCGAGGUGAAGCGGGCAUGUCCAUCUGUGGAAAGGAAUAACCGUGGGUAAAAGUGGAUUAGUUGAAGCAACAUUUAUUUAAUUUAAAAGGGACGACAUUGUAAGGGAAGGAGUAGACAGAAUGUAUGCAUGAAUGCGACAUGAUGCAUGCACGAACCGUACGUCCUCACAAACUUAGAAAAUUAAUCUUCUAACGGAUAUUCGGUGGCAUACAUUCGUCUCUCAAUACGAUAACUAGCGAUUUACACAUGCGCUGUUAGAGUACCUACAGAAAACUUCAUUGCAGCCCAAUAGUUCCCAAUAUAUCACUCAAGAAAAGCAGUAAACUAAGUGCACAUUGCUUGUACAUGCCCAAUCAUGCACAAACAAUGACACCACAGCUACCCGAGAAAUUUAAAUGCUCCCCAAUUAAGUUUCUUUCGUGCUUCCAUGGUUAGACAUGUAACCACUCUAGAAAACCACCACGAACACUCCCCUAGUCCGCGGUUUGGACGAUCAUGCUCUCACAGCUCACACUUACCAGGGCGUAGGUGCGACGUUGCAUAAUUUAAAUCUAGCGACACAUGUGGCUAAUUCAUAUAUGAAGGCUACCUCUACCAUUAGACCACAGGGUAGCAUAGUGCGGUCAUCACACAUCCAUACCUGAGUACUGUCGGAGAUGCAUAAAUAAAACCACCCAAGUCAGUACUUAAAUAGCCACCUAUAGUCCUUAUAUGGGCAAGGAGGAUUCAACCACUGGCAUAACUUAAGUAUUGAUUUACACCAUUUUAUUUAAAAAAAACUCUUUUGUUUUUAAAUACACAAAUGCUGCAUUUAUAAUGCUGAACUUGCUCUGAUGCCAGUUGUCACAGAACUGACCAAAUUAUAAGAGUUCAAGUGUAGAAACGAUCGACUAGCAAUCAAGUUUCAAAACUUGAGCCCAUAUAAUCCCGGUAGUCAACUGAAAUCACGAAGGACUUCAAACCAACUUGCAACAAACCAAGAUCGUAAUAGUUCAACAUAACACAGCGAAUGUUACAUGGUCAUUCAUUGCCGUCGAAGCGGCACCACAUCGGAGUUACUUAGUUAUUACAACACAAGUUUGUAGUAGCGGAAGCAAAAUAGUUUACAACACAUAUUCCAAAGUUCAGUUCCCAAGUUCUUGUUACUGCCAGAGUCUCAUACCAUCCAUCCAAAAGCAACAGGUACGAAGUAGUUAGAGAGCUGUGCCCAACGGUUUAGUCCUCAUCCCCAGCGGGAUGGAGACAGGUCUUGCAGAAGCCAUCAUAAAAGAUAUCAUCUGCAACAGGUGGGAAUAAACCCUGAGUACGAGGAUGUACUCAGCUAGACUUACCCGUCUAGUAAAAUAUAAAAGACACCAAGGAUCAUGCAAGGCUAAGUAUAAAGUGUAGCUGGCUUGACUCAACAUUUGCCAAAAGCUUAAGUAGAGACUACACCAUUGUAAAAGCAUCAUAUUAAUCAUCAUUAGCCUACCACUAGAUUAGCACCUAUACUAAAACACUUCACUUGAUUAUUACAAGCAAUAAUAACCAUAUCAAGUUCAUCAUAUGUUCUUCCUUGCUAUCAUCAUUAUCACGAACCAAUGUUCUUUAGUGAAUGCUACGUUUGUCGCUGCUCUGUCAAGUUCUCACUAUCCGGGAGAGACGGCGAUUCGAAUCGAUUCCUAUCCAGCUGGAGGGUUAUUCCUAGCACUCACCCAAGCAUCCCCUGUCGGAGAGCAAGCGGGUCACCUUUGGUACGACUCAGGAAUUGCGGCUCCGAUCAGCGCCGCACUCCCAGGGCUACCACUCUGCCAGGGAGGUUAGGAAUUUUAGCUCACCUGCCUUUGGUCUUACGCCAAUGGUCCCCCGCACACCGCACUUCCUCCGGCAGUGCACACUUUAUACUUGCCGGUCUUCCGGCCUGUGUCAUACUACUAGGCUUUGCGGUCGGAAUGAGUUAUCCAGCAAACUAAGUGUUAGGCAUGCGUUCAACAUGACAAGAGGACGUACAACGAUCGGUCCUUAGCUGCCACAGAUGGAGUUACUACAACCUUGCAAAACUCCGCCUGGCUUAAGUCAAUUUAAUCAGGUUACUUUCACGAUAGCACAUAUAGACAAUCGUGAUCUGACACAACCCUAUCUCAUGCAGGUGACAGGAUAUCACCCGACUUCUACCGGUUAAAGCAUAGCUAAUCCGUUACUCGAUCCUAACUCUACAACCAGGUAGGGGUAAGAUAUCUUGGACAAGGAAUGAGUAUAAUGCAGCAAGGGUUUCAUCACAACUCCUAUAUGUAAUGCAUCAAUAGAUAUAACAUAAUCAAGUAAGCUUUCGAAAUUAAAGUGGGAGACUUAAGAUGCUCCGGAGCUUGCCUUUCACGAACGAUGCAGGCUCGUGGUUCGGGCACUCAAUCUCCUCUUCAGGCUCCUCGUGUCCGGCUUGCUGGACCUCUACCUCCGGGUUGAUCUCUUGGUCCUCGGGGUUCACUUGGAGCUCGAACGUAGCUGUCGCGUCUGGUGCACCUAUUGCAUGCACGAUAAGUAAGAAUGUGUGCAUACUAGAUGAGGAUGAAUGCUUGAUAACAUAACUAGAACUUCACUGGACACUCAUUUACUGAGCACUCUUCCAAGAUAAUUCUCAAAAGAUACUAACUUAACAAGAUUACCAAGUUAAACUGCAGCAGCAAUCAUCACAAAACAGAGCAGUUCAAGAAAUAAAUCAUAACUGGAGCUAUGCAGAUCCAACAAACAUAAAGGAGGAUAUUCUGGAAAGCUUAUGAAAGUGUAUACAUUUCAUUUUUAAACACGACAGCAAGAUUCCUAAGUUAAACAAGUCAAUUAAACAAAGUUCCAGGUUCUGUCCCAGAAAAACAGAAAGCACGUAUUUCUGGAACCUAACUUGGAAGAGCUAUAACUUUUAAACUAUUGGACCAAAUGAUCCCAAAAUUAAACCACAGCUAGUUCAUAAAGUUUAUAACAACUUUGAUUUAGACAAGUCUUCCAGCAAACCAAAUUAUCAUCAAGCAAAGGUUGGAUUACUCUCUUGCUGUCCAGGACAGCUAUAAACCUUCAAUUAAUUAUUUAAUGACAUAGCCAAAGCAUAAACAAUAUCAACCACAAGGCUUAUAAGCACAAACACACCACAAGAUUACCAGAACAUUAUAUGUUAACCUUUAAUUAUUUAUUAUCAUGGUACUUAUUAAUUUAAUUCCAUAAAGGGGCAUAGUUAUAUGAUACCAGCACAAGUGCUUAGAAAAAUCUACAACAAUUACACAAGCACAAGCAUAGCAUCUUGACACUACCACAAAAUUUUCAGAGCAAUUGCACAUGCCAAAUUCAAGAUAUGCAUUUAACAUGUGGCAAGGUGCUUAUUUCAUAAAUUAGGAAACCUAGCUUAGAUAGUGUCAAACAACAGAUUUCAGAUUAUUUACUUGUUACUAUUACCAUAAACAAGUUUGACACCAAAGUAGAGCACCAGCAUAAGCACCAAUUAAUUAUUAUGAUUUUAAAUAAGAAAACAAGCCAUAUCACAAACAUAAAUUACAUAUCAUAGAUAUAGUACUCCUAAAAUCAUGAACUAUUUAUCAUAGCAUUCCAAAGACACUCAGAGACUACCAUAAAAAUUCAUAGCAGAAGAAGCAAUAUAUCAAGAGAUAUGAAUUUACACAUAAAUAACAAGAUUAAAUUCUAAUAAUUAUUUUUCCCAGAAAACAUGGUACAUUUUAUAUUUUUAUUAAAAACUAGCCAUCUCAAGAAACAUCACAAAAUUUGUUUCACAAUUUUUGGAUCUCAGAAACUAGAGAUAUGAUUUUUACAAGAAAACCAAAAAUCUAGAUUUGAAUAAAAGAGAGGGGGAGACCGUUGAGUCACUGACAGCGGGACCCGCGCGUCAGCGACCCAGAGAACAGAGGACGCCUUCGCCAGCGAAUGCUCGCCGACGGUGAGCUUCUCCGGCAGAUCCAAGGGCACCAGCGUGCUCCUGGAGUGAUUCCGCAUCGAUGGAGGUAGGCUACACUAGGGUUACCGCAACGGAGAGGGGUCGCCGUCGGCCAUGGCGGCACGGCGGAGCUACCCCGGCUUACGCCGGCCAUCUCCGACUGGUAGAGUGUCGGGGAAGGGCGGCUUAAGCACCAGUGAGUUAGCGCGGAGCUUUCUAGGUAGAAACGCCUAACCCUAAUGGCUCCGGUGAGCCUGCUCACGUGCGAGGUGCUCGUCGGCGGUGAGCACGACGGUGCGGCGGCCGUGUUCCCGCACGAUGGUGGUACCAUGGCCUGAAUGGCGGGGCGUGAGCUGACACCAAGACCUAAGCGGACCUUAACGCGACUCAGAGGGAAGAGAGGAGGCGAGAACGGAGCAGCGGCGAGGUUCGCCGGAAUUAGGGUCGCGACGGCUGUGAACCCGACGACGACAAACUCGUGAAAUGCGGCUCACCUCAGGGAGAUCUCGUCCAACCGAGGGGUGGAGAAGAUGGAGGAGCUCGAGGCGAACUCGGAGACGCUCGGAGGCAAGGUGAGACGCAGAGAUGAGGACGCGAGGAGCUUGCGAAGCUCUCGGCGGCAAUGGCGAUGGCGCUUCCGCCGCGGAGUCGCGAGAGAGAGACAGGGAGAGAGUGGACGAGCGCUGACUGAGUGCGGUGUGUCGUGGCAUCCAUGACGACGCCGACGACCUGACGAGCGAGGCCAUCGCCAGCGUACGGGCGCCAAAUGGCGGACAGGUGUCGCGCUGGCGACCACGACGGCGAGCUCGGCUCUGAAUCAGGCAACACGAUCAACGACUGACAGAGCAACUUCGAUAGAGUUGAUCUCCCGAACCAUGGCGAAUUAGGUGAUGGUGUAGUUGACAAAGUUGGAGUGCUAGCUGAGUUCUUCAACAUUGUCAACUAGAGCAAAAGCUAGAUCAGCCUGGAUUGAGAGAUAGGAGGUUUCCAAAAUCGAUCGAGCAAACUGUUGCGUCCCCAGACUUGGAAAAUUUUUCUAAGCGUUGGAAACAGCCCCAAAUCUGCCUUGUGGGUCACUUUUGAGCUAGAUGUUCUCAUUUUCAUGAGAUGGCCAUAAAACAACUUUUGUUCCUUAUAAAAUUUUCUACAACUUUGAUGUAGAGAGUUUUGACAUGCAAACAUUUUAUGAAACACUUUUUAAAAGCUCAAGCAAAAGAGGUUUCUAGGGUCUAUACAUGGAAGCAUGACUUAAGUAAUUAUUUUGGAGAAGUGAUCAACAUGAACAUUGUUCCUAAGGUUGAGUUAAGCAUAGAUAAACUAUUUACCAAGGCAUAGCAUACAAGCAUGAGCAUGGUUCACACAAACACAAGCAUAGGAAGCAUGAUUAAACAAGCUAAAGCACAUUUAAGCAUAAAAUGACAUGGCUCAAGGUAGAUGAUGAUCAUGAUAUGCUUGAGUAGAUGAUGAUGCUCAUGUUAUGCAUGUGAUUGAUGCAACCAUAACACUGGGGUGUUACAGCCUCAGUGAGAUAUAUAAAAGAUAAUGAGUGACUUGAGAGAACCUAUGAGGAUAAAGGUAUGCUAAAUUUUUUUCAAAAAUAUACAAAAACUCCAAGUGAGAGGAUUGAGAAGAAAGGAUCUCUACUUUUGACCAUACAUUUCCCUUACUAUGGUACACAGUGAAUUUUUACAUCCUGCAGGUAUGAAGAGAAUGCGUUACAAUGUUUAACCCCAGAUAUUUUUCUUAACCAUCAUUUUCUCGAGGACGAGUAAAAGCCUAAGUAUGGGGGUAUUUGUUGACGGUUCUUAAGUAUCAAUUUUAAUUAUCAAAUAAACAAGAGAAAGGACCAAUAUGCAAACAACACCUAAAAUUAGGGUUUGAUCUGACAGAAUUCCACAAGUUUUGUUGUUUAUCUGUUUAUGCAGGGGGUUAUCAGGAAAUAAGGAAGAAAGGCCCACAUGUCGGGAUUACAUAGAGAUAUCAACGCACCGCGCAAUUUUCUACCAUCUAGAAGACUCCAGAAGCCACGGUAACAAAGCGGAGGCCGAACGGGGCCUGGCCCAGCGCGCCCGCCCUGAGGACCAUGGCGCCCGCCCCCUCUUGGACUCCAAUCGGGACUCUUUUCACGGACCAAGCUCCACCGACCUAAAGGAUCAAGAAUAAUCGUCCAAUCAAUGUCGGUUUGAUCCAACGGCUCACGUUCACUUGAGAGGACUAUAAAACCAGACCCCCUGGCCCCUGGAGGAGACAAGUUCAUCAUAGAGUUGAGAGGAGCCCUCGAAGGAAUACCUCUCCUCUAAAUAGACUUAGGGCUUAGCAUCCAAUGUGAGUAGAAUUAGAUCUUCUAGUUUCUACUAGAUUGAGAGAGAUAGAGUGGAGGUGUAGAUCAAAGGAAGCCUGGCCUGUCAGUGUCUACUCCGAGAUUGUACCUGCGGGAUCAAGUUCUCCUAACCAGAAGCUUGCUCCUAGGAUUCUUCAGUAUUUCGGCUUCUAAAUUCUAGUAAGUUCUUGUUUUAUUGUUCUUUGGUUUAUGAGUUUACUUUAAUCUCUUCGCGUAGAGUUUAGAGUAAUCAUCUCUAGCGUAGACAUGGUGUUUGGGCUAGGAUACUCAUAGAUAUUCCCUAACUAGCUAGACCAUGGUAGUAGCGAGGAACGUGACAUUUCCGAGUUACCUUUGCAAACCAUAUCUCGUUAGCAGAAAGGAUAGGGUUUAUAGGUGUAGGUUGAACAUCCUCUGUGGUGUCUAGAUUCCGUAAGCUUCCCCAAUAGAACAGUAGAUCAUCCUUACCAAGGUUGGAAAGAGAUUACGGUUGUAGUCUUCUCUAUUUAUCACUCACAUCGAGAAACAUUCUUUGUAGCUUAAAGGUUAGUAGUAAUAGACCAGGUUAGUCAGAUGCACUCUUUUCCUAGUGGUAAAAAAUACGAUACUCUGGAUAACCUCCCGGGUGAAGUGCUCACCGAUAUCCGUGCGCUUGCGGAUCCAUUCCUUAUUGCGUUCCCAAAUAUCAACAAGCAUUUCUGGCGCCGUUGCCGGGGAGAAAGACGGUUGCUGAGAUAACCUGUGUCUUGCUAUUAGCUUGUAUCUAUACUUUUAUCUUUUCUUAUCUUUUAUAUCCUUUAUUUAAUUUCUUUACUCUUACCCUAUGGAAAACCAAAACUCUAAAUCGAUCCAUGAGUCUGCAAUCCCUUUAGCAACUGACCUUUUACCAUGGGAAUCAUCACAACCUAUCCAAACAUCCCAGUAUAAGUUAAGUUCUAGGUUGAUUGCCAUGAUUCAAAACCUAUCUUUUUCGGGAAAGGAAGACGAAAACCCUUACCUUCAUAUUAGAGAUUUUGAGCAAACAUGUGAUUGUCUUCGCAUUGAAGGCAUUUCUGAUAAGACUUUACGUUGGAAGCUUUUUCCUUUUUCUCUAAGGGGAGAAGCUAGACAAUGGUACAGUCAGAAGGUAAGUCAACAACAAGGUGAAUGGGGAGUCUUACGAGCCAACUUUUGUCUAGAUUUCUAUUCCCUUGACCGUAUAGCCGACCUUAGACUCGAAGUCCUAUCUUUUAAACAAAAAGAUAAUGAAACUUUGGGAAAAUCCUGGAAACGUUUUUCUGAUCUUUUAGAAUCUGGUCCAAACCUUAAUCUUGAAGACCCUGUUCUUUUAUUUCACUUUUUUCGAGGUCUUCAGAAAAAUCACAAACAAAUGCUGCACACAAUGUCUAGAGGUUCUUUCUUUCGCAUCCCUGCUGAUAAAGCAAGAGUGAUCCUAGAUAGAAUCCUAGAAGCUGAGAUGGAUAAUACCCUUCAUGAUGAAACCUACGAAGCCGAAGUAGACACUCUGUCAAAUUCUUCAUCUACUUUAGCUAUCCCAAGUUGUGAGCCACAAGAGGAAGAAAUUUCACCACCGGACUUCAUGCUGGAUAUAGAAUCUGAUCUUUUUGCCGAUUUUGGAAAUAUUUCAAACUACCAUUCUAUUGACAAACCCCAAAACGGCCAGUUUAGCAUUUAUUUACCAAGUGAAUAUCAAUUGAGAGAGCUUAUCUCAGUAAUGAGUAGCGAAUGGUUGGAGGAAUCAGAGCUUUCCUCUGAUGUGAUCCGUUUGGACACACCCUCUAUAACUAUACGUUGUGCUUAUAAUUCUGAUCGAUUUAAUGCUCUUUAUAAUCCUGUUGUGGGGAUCAACAUUAUGUCUGAAUCUUUUGCACUUAAACUAUUUAAAAAUCUUGUCUUAACCCCCACAACAAAGAUCAUAAAGGAAUCUUCGGGACGAUUAGUCCCCAGUCUUGGAAUUAUUAAUGUCCUACCUCUUACGGUAGAAGGCUCCAUGGUUCAUUUGAACUUCUAUAUCUUUGAUACAUGGGACUUCGACCUGUUAAUAGGACAACCUUUUAGAAGACUCCUUUAUGAAGGUCAUACUGGAAAGCUACACAUUUCUUUUGGAAAAACUUUUCAAUUCCCUAUGAUAAUUUCACACUCCUUAAAUAAUAAGGCCGAGUCAUAUCUUUUGCCUGAUCCUAUGGAGGAAGUAAAGGCUGCAUCUCUAGAGCUUUUAGAUGAAUCAGACUUAGAAGACGAAACUCCUUUCUUCACAAAAGAAGAAGACAAACCUUCUGAGCCUGAACAAUUAAACGAGUUUGCAGAAACACCUAGACCCCCCAUAGAACUUAAAACUUUACCACCCGGUCUUACCUAUGCUUUCCUAAACAAUAAUCCAGAGUUCCCUGUGAUCAUUAGCGAUAAACUCACUCAGGAUCAAACUUUGCGAUUAAUGACCAUUCUUGAGAAACAUCACUCAGUAUUCGGCUACUCACUUCAAGAUCUUACAGGAAUCAGUCCUAUGAUUUGUACCCAUCGUAUUCCAAUAGAUCCUUCUGUUACACCCUCUCGAGAACCCCAACGUAGACUUAACAACACUAUGAGAGAGGUAGUUAAAAAGGAAGUUAUAAAGUUGCUGCAUGCAGGGAUUAUAUAUCCUGUGCCGCACAGUGAGUGGGUGAGCCCAGUCCAAGUUGUGCCCAAAAAGGGAGGCAUGACAGUUAUUAUGAAUGAAAAGAAUGAGCUAAUUCCGCAACGCACCGUCACAGGAUGGCGGAUGUGCAUAGACUAUAGAAAACUAAACAAAGCCACGAGAAAAGAUCACUUUCCUUUACCUUUUAUAGAUGAGAUGCUAGAGCGGUUAGCAAACCAUUCAUUCUUCUGUUUCUUAGAUGGAUAUUCAGGGUAUUAUCAAAUCCCGAUCCAUCCUGAUGAUCAAAGCAAAACCACUUUUACAUGCCCUUAUGGAACUUAUGCUUACCGUAGAAUGUCUUUCGGGUUAUGUAAUGCACCAGCUUCUUUUCAAAGAUGCAUGAUGUCUAUAUUUUCUGAUAUGAUUGAAGAGAUUAUGGAAGUUUUCAUGGAUGAUUUCUCUGUUUAUGGAAAAACUUUUGAUAGUUGUCUUGAAAACUUAGACAAGGUUUUGCAAAGAUGUGAAGAAAAGCACUUAAUCCUUAAUUGGGAAAAAUGUCAUUUUAUGGUUAGGGAAGGAAUAGUGCUAGGACACUUAGUGUCUGAAAGAGGUAUUGAGGUAGACAAAGCUAAAAUUGAAGUAAUUGAACAACUACCUCCACCUGUGAACAUAAAAGGAAUUCUAAGCUUUCUUGGCCAUGCUGGUUUUUAUCGUAGAUUCAUAAAAGAUUUUUCAUUUAUUGCUAGACUACUUACUCUUUUGCUAGCCAAGGAUGCUCCUUUCGAAUUUGAUGAUGCAUGUCUAACAUCUUUCAAUUUAUUAAAGAAAGCACUCAUCUCUGCACCAAUCAUUCAACCCCCUGAUUGGUCGUUGCCUUUUGAAAUUAUGUGUGAUGCUAGUGAUUAUGCUGUGGGGGCAGUAUUGGGGCAAACUAAAGAUAAGAAGCAUCAUGCAAUUGCUUAUGCUAGUAAAACUUUGACAGGAGCUCAAUUUAACUAUGCAACCACUGAAAAAGAGCUUCUGGCUGUUGUCUUUGCCAUAGAUAAAUUUAGAUCUUAUUUAGUUGGAGCUAAAAUAAUUGUUUACACUGAUCAUGCUGCACUAAAAUAUUUGCUCACUAAAAAAGAUGCUAAACCUCGCCUGAUUAGAUGGAUUUUAUUACUCCGAGAAUUUGACUUAGAAAUAAAAGAUAAAAAGGGAGUAGAAAAUUCUGUUGCUGAUCACCUAUCUAGAAUGUAUUUUAAGAGUCCACAGGAAACCCCAAUCAAUGAUUCACUCCGGGACGUCAUGCUCUACGGGAUUAACAGGUCUGACCCCUGGUAUGCAGAUAUUGUUAAUUUUAUGGUUUCAGGGUAUGUACCACCAGAAGCAAACAAGAAGAAGCUUAUUCAAGAAAGUCGUUCACAUAUAUGGGAUGAGCCAUAUCUCUUCCGAGUAUGCUCUGACGGCUUACUCAGGAGAUGUAUGACCACUGAAGAAGGAUGGAAGAUCAUCGACAGAUGUCAUUCAUCACCAUAUGGAGGUCACUAUGGAGCAUUCCGUACACAUUCAAAGAUCUGGCAGUGUGGAUUCUACUGGCCUACAAUGUAUGAAGACACGAAGCAAUAUAUCAGAAGAUGUGGGCCAUGUCAAAGGCACGGAAACAUAAAUACAAGGGAUGCAAUGCCACUCACCAACAACCUUCAGAUUGAGCUCUUUGAUGUCUGGGGAAUAGACUAUAUGGGUCCAUUUCCUCCAUCAAAGAAGUGUGAGUACAUUUUGGUGGCGGUUGACUAUGUCUCCAAGUGGGUAGAAGCAUUACCUUGCAAGCAUGCCGACAACGUCAGUUCAAAGAGGAUGUUUGAAGAAAUUAUAUUUCCAAGAUUUGGAGUCCCCAGAGUAGUGAUAAGUGAUGGAGGAGCACGCUUCAUCGACAAACGCUUCAAGCAAUAUCUAUCAAGACAUGGAAUCCGUCACAACAUCGCUACCCCUUAUCAUCCUCAGACAAGUGGCCAAGCAGAGACUUCCAACAAACAAAUCAAGAAUAUUCUUCAGAAGACAGUAAAUGAAAUGGGAACAGCGUGGAAAGACAAGUUACCCGAUGCACUCUGGGCAUACCGGACAGCAUACAAUACCCCAAUUGGAAUGUCUCCAUACCAAUUGGUGUACGGGAAGACUUGCCAUCUACCUGUUGAACUAGAAUUCAAAGCACACUGGGCCAUAAAGAGAUGGAAUAUGGACCUAGAUGUUGCUGGAGAUUAUAGAAGAAUGAAAUUAUCAGAAUUGGAAGAAUGGCGAGAGAAGGCAUAUCACAAUUCAAAGAUCUACAAAGAAAGAGUCAAGAGGUGGCAUGACAAGAGAAUCAAGAAGAAGAAGUUCACACCCGGAGAUAAGGUAUUACUUUUUAAUUCCAGGGUAUAGCUUUUUGGGCAUGGAAAACUCCGGAGCAAAUGGGAAGGACCAUUCAAGGUAAUCAAUUCAUCAUCCCACGGAGCUAUCACACUUCAAAACAGCGAAGGUACGUUAUUCAAGGUAAAUGGUCAACGUCUUAAAUUAUUUUUAGAGCCCAAUGAGGAAUUUGAAGAAAUAGACGUAGUCCAUUUUUACCUUCCCAUGGAGAAUUAGAGCCCGACACUUUUGGUCUGAUGGUUUUGGGGCAUAUAUAUAUUUUUCUAAAUAAUUUCGCAUCUAGAAACGUGCUCGGAGAAGUGGGCCCACAGAGGGGCCAGAGAGAGGGCGGGCGCCAAGGUCAAGUGGGCGGGCGCCCAGCCCCUGUUCCCCCUCGGUCCCGACUUUCUCUGUUAUGGAAAAUGCACUUAGGGUGAUCCGAAUAAUCCCUCGGAUGGAAAGUUUCGCACGCACAUCGACGGGAGCAACCCGAACAACCCAUAGAGGCAUCCUUUUGACCCCUAUAUAAACAGACCCCUGACCUCAGUUUUCAAACACCAAGCCACCAAGCUUUCUCUCCUUCAAUUAGAGCUUGAUUAGCUCUCCUUUAAUUAGAGCUUAAUUAGCUCUACUUCAAUUAAAAUUUUAUUAGUUCCUUGCUACUCCAAUGGCCGACAAGUACCACGACGAUUGGGAAGUCGUCCCCUUCAACCUCAACAUGGAGCCAGUGGAAGACCCCGAUGCCCGUGCUCUCGUCCCGGCCAACACAGAGCGUCAGCUAGAAGCCAUGCCAUUACGUCAACGCAGCUCCGCCCAAUCUUACCAUGCUCAACCAGUUCUCACCGCACCACCACAACCCCUACUCCUCAAAGGACCAUCAUCCAAGACGAAGACCCCUAUCAAGGUGCCAAUCGGCACAAGGAUCCUUCCACCUAGACCCAAUGAGAGGGUCGUUGGAGUCAAGACCAACCGGAGCGACGAGAUCAGCAGCGUACGCUACACUUCAGAGGAGGAAAGGCCUUACUUUGAAGGGAUUAGAGCAGCCAAAGUCCGUUUCAUCCCUCCAAAGGCAGCCCCGAAGCAUGCUCUCAACGCUUUUGAGACACCUCCCAAGCGUCGCAAGACUAUAAUGGAUAUUGAUGAGGAAGUUCGCAGGCUAGAUAGAAUUAUCAUAGACCUCCAGUCCUCAAUUAAUUCCCUCACUAGGCAGCUCUCUAACCACAACACCAUUAUACUAGGCCUUAGGCAGGAUCUUGCCAGUGCCAACAAGAAGAUCAAGGAAUUAGAGCGCCGCUAAGUUAUCUAGAUUAGACCUUGAGGCAAUGCAUCUUAGUCAUCUAUCUUUAAAUUCGGUUUAAGUUUGCUAUUAUUAUUAGUUUGCUAUCAGUUUGUUAUCAGUCUUUUGUACUAAAUGCCUCAAUAUCAAUAAAGAGUACUACUAUUAUUAUUAUUAUGUCUUGUGUGUCUCUACUUUAUUUUUGUGCAAGAAAGCAGAAAACAAGUAUGGGGGAGAUCCCUCAACAUGCCAAACACACUCCGACUACACCACUCCACGAUUCAGGUACACACUCUGCACACUUUACUUCAUACAUACAUUUAUUUUGAAUUAUGCAGAUUACUGUUUCCGACAUGAUAAAAUAAAAAGAUUAAAAUAUUUCUAAUCAUGAUUAAUCUCAAUCUGUGAUAUUUCCUGAAAACUUACAAUUAUUAUAAAAUCAUUUUAAAACCCUGUGUUACUUAAGUCAAUAUGGAAUAUGUGAUGGUAGAGUAUGAGUUUCUUAUUCUUGAUAUCAUUGUUGCUUGGAGAAUUUAUUUCAAAAUAUUCAAAAUUCUAGCUGCCAUCCUCAGUGUUUUAUAUGCCUGAUAAAAAUAAAAAUAUUAAUUAUGAUUAUAAAAGCUAUCUACUCUGUAUUGAGUUUGUUCAAAAUGAGUUAGACCCUUGUUGAGAGAUUUAUCAUGCUCCCAAGAUCAAGACACUAUUUCAGUAAGAUUCACUCUUCCGAAGUAUUAUUGCAUUAGAGGCAUGGGCUAUGCAAAAAUAAAAAUAUUUCGAGGAAAUAAAAAGGAGCAAGUGCUCGACAACCUCGCAGAAAAAAAUGGACAAGUGUCCGGUAGUAGAAUUAGGGGUACCUCGGUAUCCACUUAAAAAAAUGAUAGCCCAUGGUCCCUCUAAUAAGCAAUAUGCCAGCAAGAGUUGACAAAGUUUUUAAUUUUCAAAGUCUUUGAUCUAAGAGUAUGACAUUCCCCUCCUCGGAUUCCGUUUUGAUCAGGCAAUAAAUGCAAAGUAAGUAUGCUUGAGAAUUUUUGCAAAAUAAAACAGCCUCAGUGAGAUCUAUAUAAAAGAUAACGAGUGAUCUGAGAGAACCUAUGAGGAUAAAAAGGUAUGCUAACUUUCUUUCAAAAAUAUACAAAAACUCCAAGUGACAGGAUCGAGAAGAAAGGAUCUUUACUCUUAAUCAUAAACUUCCCUGACUAUGGUACACAGUGGAAUUUUAACACCCUGCAAUUAUAUAAAGAGAAUGCUUUAAAAUGUUUACCCCAGAUAUUGUUCUUAACCAUCCUUUUCUCGAGGACGAGUAAAAGCCUAAGUAUGGGGGUAUUUGUUGACGGUUCUUAAGUAUCAAUUUUAAUUAUCAAAUAAACAAGAGAAUGGACCAAUAUGCAACCAUCACCUAGAAUUAGGGUUUGAUCUGAAAGAAUUCCACGAGUUUUGUGGUUUAUCUAUUUCUGCAGGGGGUUAUCAGGAAAUAAGGAAGAAAGGCCCACAUGUCGGGAUUAAAUAGAGAUAUCAACGCACCGCGCAAUUUUACUUCAUCUAGAAGACUCCAGAAGCCACGAGACCGAAGCGGAGGCAAAACUGGGCCAGGCCCAGGGCGCCCGCCCUGGAAGGCUGGGCGCCCGCCCCCUGCUGGAGCCAAAUCAGGACUCUUUUGUUCGGGAUAUUCCACCGACCUAUUGGAUCAAGAAAAACAUAGUACCACCUCGGCUAUCGACCCAAAAACGCAUAGAAGGGGAGGACUAUAUAAGCAAGGCCCCCCUGGCCCCUGGAGAAGACAUGAAGAAAUUAUCAUAGAGACUGAGGGGUGCCCUCGAAGGAAAAGCUCUUCUCUAAUUAAUAUUUCUUUUUAGGCUUAGCAAUCAAUGUAAGGUAGAAAUAGAUCUUCUAGUUUCUACUAGAUUGAGAGAGAUAGAGUGGAGGUGUAGAGUGGAGGAUGCCCGGCCUGUCAAUGUCUACUCCAAGCUUGUACCUGCGGUAUCAAGUUCUCCUAACCCGAAGCUUGCUCCUAGGAUUCUUCAGUAAUUCGACUUCUAAAUUCUAGUAAGUUCUUGUUUUAUUGUUCUUAUGGUUUAUGAGUUUACUUUAAUCUCUUCGCGUAGAGUUUAGAGUAAUCAUUGCUAGCGUAAACGUGGUGUUUAGGCUGGGGUACUCAUAGAUAUUCCCUGACUAGCUGGACCGUGGUAGUAGUGAGGAACGUGACAAUUCCGAGCUACCUUUGUAGAUCACAUCUCGUUAGCAGGAAGGAUAGGGUUUAUAGGUGUGGGUUGAACAUCCUCUGUGGUGUCUAGAUUCCGUUAGCCUCCCCAUUAGAAUAGUAGAUCAUCCUUACCAAGGUUAGAAGGAGACUACGGUUGCAGUCUUCUCUAUUUAUCACUCACAUCGAAAGACAUUCUUUGUGCCUAAAGGUUAGUCGUAAUAGACCGGUUAGUCAGAUGCACUCUUUCUCCUAGCGGUAAAAAAAUAAAUACGAUACUCUGGAUAACCUCCCGGGUGAAGUGCUCACCGAUAUCCGUGCGCUUGCGGAUCAAUUCCUUAUUGCGUUCCCAAAUAUCAACAACGUCAACUCUUAUUAGAACUUUAGACAUGAAAGGAUACAUGAAUACCCGCUAGUCUAGGGUUUUAACUGACAAUUUCUAUAAGUUUUGCAUGUUUCGUAUUUCCCAGAGAUUAUUCCAGAAAAACGUAAAAGAAGGAUUAGAGUGCAUAAUUAUCACGAAACUUAUCUGCGAUGGAAAAUAUCGUCAUCAGGCUCACGAAGGGUCUAGAAGUCACCCAAAGGAACGAGACCCACAGAGGAGAGGUGGGGCCGGCCGGCCCCACCCUAGGGCCGGUCGGUGCCCUAUUUCGCCCGAUGGCCGCCGCCUUAUGGAGUCUUCCUCCUACGCCUCCUUGGAAGCCAAGCAAAAAGUAUCCCUCCAUCGAUUUUAAGUUAGUUUGAACCGACGGUGCACACAAGUUGAAGACCCGGAUCGCUGACGUGGCAGUUCCUUGCCCCCUACUUGUGGGGGUAUAAACCCCUAUACCCUUACGGCUAGACUUCGGCCAGAAGGCUUGGUCCAUUACGAGACGAGUUCAAGGCUUGAUCCGACAACCUGGAGUUUCGCGCAAGGAAACAAGAUGUGGAGAUCAAGCAGGAUUCUAGUCGGUUAGAAUAGGAAUUGACAUCGAAUUAUCCAUGGCAAUUGUAACCGACUAGGAUUAGUUUCCAGAUCUGUAACCCUGCCCUCCAGACUAUAUAAGGAGGGGCAAGGGACCCCCCUAGGACAUCAUAUUCUCUCAACACAAAUCAAUACAACCAGACGCAGGACGUAGGUAUUACGCCAACUCGGCGGCCGAACCUGGAUAAAAAGCUUGUCCGAGUCUUGCGUCACCAUCGAGUUCGUAGUUUGCGCACCGUCUACCGAUAAACUACUACCGUGGGUAUACCCCAAGGUAGACUGCCAACUAGCUUUCGUCGACAGUGGCGCGCCAGGUAGGGGGUGUGCGUGCAACUUUUCCGGCGAACAAGAUGGUCACGAUCCCAGCUUCUGCGACCGUGCCCGAAGGCCUCACGUUCACCGUUGGCCAGAUCACGUGGACGACGUGCAGCGGCGGCUUCGCGACCACGGUUCCGAAAGAGAUCCAGAUCCAAUCUGAGAUCACGCCGUCUUCGACCACACGCAUGACGGCACCAAGCUCCCGACCACCGUUCCCACUCUACAAGGGAAAGGAGAUCGACUGCUCGGACCUCCUCCAAGCGCUCGAUCGCGCUGACUCCAAGCUACUCGAAGUCUCCCAACUAAUAGAUGGAGUUCUGCGCCGGCCCGACCAAGCUGCUCGAGCGGAUUUUUCGAAAUCCCGCCGGCCAACUCGUGUCGCCACACACGAACGGCUGGGAACGUCCCUGACGAUAACCUCAAGCCCCUCAAGACGAUCCGUCGAGCUCAAAAAGGAAGACUAUCCUUGCGGCCUGAACAACUCGGCCUCUGUUUACUCACAGCAUGUCCAAUCCGUUUUCAGCAAGGCGGGUUGGUCGCCGACAAGGGACAAUCGUCACCAUGUCAACAUGGUGACAAUCCAAGAGCUACGGGACGGCCAGGUUUCCAGCACCAACUCAAGCACCGGCUCCGUCCCCACCGAGGUUAUAAACACCGAAGACGAGGGCUACGACCUGGAUUUUCCUUCACACCCUCCGGGUUUCGACCGAUUCCCGAUAUUCCCCCCCCCGGCGAGGGGAUAUUGUGUUCAAUGUCAGCGCCGACGAACCGGCUGUUGACGGAGAAACAGAUGACCAGAGGCAACUCCGCGAACAGCGUAACGCCGAUCGCGCCCGACGGCGUGCGGACGAGCAACAACAGAUGCCACCAAGUAACCUCAACGAUGCCUUUGACAUGGUCGGGGACCAGCCGGUCUACAAAACGCCAAGCGCCAACGUGGCUGUCGCCAUGGCCAACCUGGAUCGGCUUCCUGACACCCCCGAAUGCCAGGGAGUCCGGACCAGCAUCCGAGCACACCUGAUCGCUGCAAUGGGACAGACAGCCACUCUGCUCAAGAGAGUCCAGGACGUCUCUUAUACGGAAGCCGCCUCCGACCAGACUAAUCGUAGCCAGGUCUCACCCAGCAGGCGUCACCGCAGCCGCUCCCCCGACAACCGUCGAGGGGACUCGCGGCGCGACGAUGGUGGUCGGGACGCCGAUGGCCGCCGCAAGCAAAUUCAUGGCGUACGCGGCCAAGAAGAAGAUCAACACAGGGAUCUCCGCCACAACAUCCCUCCCAAAGAUGCCCGGGACCGCAUCAACAGGCGCGCCGCAGAGAGAGCAGUCCACGAAAACCUGCGCCGCAUCGAGUACGAUGCGACCCACGGUCCUCCGGGCCUAAGGCAGUUCUCCUCACACCUCCGCCAGGUCGUGUGGCCCCGCAAUUUCAAGCUCGAAAAACUUAAAAAAUACGACGACAAGGAAAAUCCAGAGAACUGGAUCACUCUCUAUGAAAUCGCCGUCCGAUCAGCGGCAGGAGAUGAGCACGUCAUGGCUGACUACUUCCCCGUAGUCCUUGACCAGGCUGGUCAUCAGUGGCUUCUCGGCUUGCCCGAGGACUCCUUCGACUCUUGGGAAGAGCUACGACAGGCUUUCAUCGACAACUUCAUUGCCACAUGCGAGCAGCCCGGAAACAAGUAUGACCUUGAAAGGAUAAGAGACAGGAAGAAUGAACCUCUGCGCGAUUACAUCCGACGAUUCUCGGAUAUGCGCCUCAAAAUCCCGAAGAUUUCUCAUGACGAGGCCAUAUCAGCCUUUAUCAAGGGCUUGCGUUUCCAUGAAGCGCUGAGGAACAAGCUGCUGCGUAAGCGCCCAUCAACGGUAGCAGAGCUCCUCGCCACGGCUAAAAAUUACGCCGAUGCUGAUGACGCAGAAAAACUAAUCCGAGACGAUGCGAGAGGCCCCGACCAGCCUUCCCGGCGAGAUGACGGUCGUGGUCGCUACGACAACAGAAAUCACCACCGCUCCGACAACCGCGAUCACCGAGAGGGUUGGGAUCGGCGGCGCGACAGCCGCGACGACUUCAGAGGAAAGCGCCCUCGCGAAUACGACCACGAAGUAAAUACGGUCAAACGUCCCAAUGGACGACGGGACUACCAAGACGACUACAACAAAACGUUGAAGGGACCGUGCCAGCUACACCCAAAGUCUAACCAUACCAUGGAAGAGUGCCGCGUCCUCAAAAGUAUCUAUACACGGCGGGCCGCCCAAGAGGACUCCGCCAAGAAAAAUAACAAGCGCGACGGGCACGACCACGAAGAUGAGGAUGAGGACCAAGACAGGGACCCCCGACACCAAUACGUCAGCCCCACUGACGUGGUCCACUCCAUUUUCGGGGGCAAGGUCUCCACUGAGUCCAAGCGAGAAAGAAAGCUGUUAAAGAGAGCCUGCCUCAACAUAGACAGCACGGACGGGCUGAUCGCAGAUCCGAAAUUUCCCGCAUGGUCCCACAGGGAGAUCUCGUUCAGUAGGAAGGACCAGUGGGCCGCUAUCCCAGAGCCGGGUCGUUUCCCACUGAUUCUUGAUCCCUGCAUCAAUAGCAUCAGAUUCGAGCGCGUGCUCGUGGACGGGGGAAGCUCCAUCGACAUCCUCUUCCGCAACAGCCUGCCCGCCCUCAAGAUAUCACCGGCACAACUAAAACCUUACGACGCCCAAUUCUGGGGGGUUUUGCCAGGUCAAAGUUCGGUGCCCCUCGGACUGAUAACAUUGCCUGUCCAAUUCGGCACACCCGAUCACUUCCGGACGGAGUUCAUCAACUUCGUAGUCGCGGAUUUUGACGGGACCUAUCACGCCAUACUGGGCCGCCCAUCGCUGACAAAGUUCAUGGCAGUCCCGCACUACUCAUACCUAGUCCUUAAGAUGCCCACGGAGAAGGGUGUCCUAACCGUCAGAGGCAACGUCUACACCGCGUACACCUGCGAAGAAGAAAGCUUCAAGAUCACCGAGGCAAUCAACCUCUCAAUCCGCAUGGCGGAAACAGCAAACCAGGCCGCACAGCUGCCUCCCGACCAGCUCCGAUUACCUGAGCAGGAGACAGCCAGAAAGAACUCGAAAUCCAAGGAGUACAAAGAAGUGCAGCUGGUCGAAGGCAACCCCGAGAAGACAGCCCUCAUCGGGGCUAACCUGGAUCCAAAAUAGGAAGACGCGCUCGUCAGGUUUCUAAGGGACAACGUGAGCGUUUUCGCAUGGAAACCCGCAGACAUGCCCGGUGUCCCACGAAACCUGAUCGAGCACUCCUUAAAUGUCUCGAAGACCGCAAGACCAAUCAAGCAAAAACUGCGACGGUUCGCUCGUGACAAAAAGGAGGCUAUUAGGACAGAAAUAACACGGCUUCUAGCAGCCGGAUUCAUAAAAGAAGUGUAUCACCCCGAUUGGCUCGCCAAUCCGGUUCUUGUACGCAAAAAGAAUAAUGAAUGGAGAAUGUGCGUUGAUUACACCGAUCUCAACAAACACUGUCCUAAAGAUCCUUUUGGUCUUCCUCGCAUCGACGAGGUGGUCGACUCAACGGCCGGAUGCGAACUCCUCUCCUUUCUAGACUGCUACUCUGGUUAUCACUAGAUCUCGCUAAAGGAAGAAGAUCAGAUCAAAACAUCCUUCAUCACACCCAUCGGCGCAUACUGCUACACUACCAUGUCUUUCGGACUUAAAAACGCCGGGGCCACUUAUCAAAGGGCCAUCCAGCAAUGCCUCCACGACGAGAUUCGCGACGACCUCGUCGAGGCCUAUGUGGACGACGUGGUCGUAAAAACAAGGGACGCGAGCACCCUAAUUGAUAACUUAGACCGAACCUUCAAGGCACUCAAUAGGUACAAGUGGAAGCUCAACCCCAAGAAAUGCAUUUUCGGCGUUCCUUCCGGUCUACUGCUCGGCAACGUCGUCAGUCGCGACGGCAUACGACCAAACCCUUCAAAAGUCAAAGCCGUACUCGACAUGCGACCACCGAAAAACGUCAAGGAUAUUCAGAAGCUAACCGGAUGCAUGGCCGCCCUCAGUCGUUUCAUCUCAAGGCUAGGAGAAAAAGGCCUCCCUUUCUUCAAACUAUUGAAAGCGUCAGAAAAAUUUUCUUGGACAGAGGAAGCCGACGCUGCGUUCACUCAGCUUAAGACCUUCCUCACUUCACCACCUGUCCUCACAGCGCCUCAGCCCAAUGAAGACCUACUCCUUUACAUUGCUGCAACCGACAGGGUUGUCUCCACGGCAAUAGUGGUCGAGCGAGAUGAACCAGGUCACGUCUUCAAGGUCCAGAGACCCGUUUACUUCAUAAGCGAAGUCUUAAACGAGUCCAAGGCCAGGUACCCACAAAUACAGAAGCUUAUAUACGCCAUCCUGAUAACGUCAAGAAAGCUGAAGCACUACUUCGAUGGCCAUCGAGUCCUGGUGACAACCAGCUUUCCUCUCGGGGACAUCCUGCGCAAUAAAGACGCCAAUGGCAGAAUCGUGAAAUGGGCAAUGGAAUUAUGUCCAUUUUCCCUGGAGUUCCAGAGUCGCACCACUGUCAAGUCUCAAGCCCUGGUCGAUUUCAUUGUCGAAUGGACGGAUCUCAACGAGCCUUCCGUUCCCGAUGUCUCAGACCACUGGUCAAUGUUCUUUGACGGGUCCCUGAACAUCAACGGUGCAGGCGCUGGGAUAUUGUUCGUAUCACCCAACAAGGACAAACUCCGUUACGUCCUUCGGAUCCUUUUUCCGGCGUCAAACAACGUCGCCGAAUACGAAGCAUGCUUGCAUGGCAUACGACUAGCCGUUGAACUGGGGGUCAAGCGCCUCUAUGUCUAUGGCGACUCCGCUUUGGUCAUCAACCAGCUCAACAAGGAGUGGGACGCAACCCACGAGAAGAUGGAUCUCUACUGCAAAGAAAUUCGCAAAUGGGAAACUAACUUCUAUGGCAUAGAGUACAUCCACGUGGUCCGGGAUAAGAACCAAGCAGCAGAUGCGUUGUCAAAGUUAGGCUCAUCUCGGGCCCAAAUCCCGCGGGGCAUUUUCGUCCAGGACAUCCAUGAGCCGAGCGUGAGCUCCCCCCUGGUCGACAUGCAACCCGCCGAGGCAAUGCUCAUAUAUGAUGCCACUCCGACAAACGGUGGGCGUGAUUGGCGUACCCCGUUCAUCAAAUACAUAUCAGACGGGACUGGCUUUCAGGACAAAACAGAGAACGAGCGCCUCAUCCGACGAUCAAAGAACUACAUCCUGGUCGACGGAAAACUCAUGCGGAAAAACGCAAGCUCCGAAGUACUGCUCAAGUGCAUACCCCAAGAUGAUGGUAUCAAGCUCUUGGAGGACAUACACGCUGGAUCCUGCGGCAAUCACGCCGCAUCUAGAACGCUGGUCGGAAAGGCUUUCCGAGCAGGUUUUUAUUGGCCAACCGCGGUCGGCGACGCAGAAAAACUGGUUCGGCAUUGUGAAGGAUGUCAGUUUUUCGCUAAGAGGACCCACGUACCUGCCCAUGAAAUUCAAACCAUCCCGUCGUCUUGGCCCUUUGCUUGCUGGGGGCUUGACAUGAUCGGACCAUUUAAACCAGCCCCGGGCAAUUUCAAGUUUGUCUUCGUGUUAAUCGACAAGUUCUCCAAGUGGAUUGAAUACAUGCCCCUGGUCAAGGCAACCUCCGAGAAGGCUGUGGAGUUCCUCAAUCAAAUCAUGCACAGAUUCGGCAUCCCGAACAGCAUAAUCACCGACCUGGGCACUCAGUUUACUGGCACCACUUUUUGGGAUUUCUGCGAUGACAGAGGCAUAGUCAUAAAAUAUGUGUCAGUGGCACAUCCACGUGCCAACGGUCAAGUCGAACGUGCUAACGGAAUGAUCGUUGACGCCCUAAAGAAAAGGCUGUACACCGAAAACGACAGAGCACCCGGUCGAUGGAUGAAAGAAUUGCCGGCAGUGGUUUGGGGCCUCCGAACCCAGACCAGUCGAAACACAGGGGUGUCUCCUUACUUCAUGGUGUACGGUGCAGAGGCGGUCCUGCCGUCUGACAUACACUUCGGAUCUCCUAGAAUCGAGCACUUCGACCAGGCGACCGCCGACAACGCCAGAGAACUUGAAAUCAAUUGCAUGGAGGAAAAGCGUUUAGUUUCAUGUCUCCGAACAGCAAAAUAUCUCGCGGCAGUCAGGCGAUACUACAACAGGAACGUCAAGGACCGUUCCUUCGUGGUCGGCGAUCUGGUGCUUCGAUGGAAAACAAGCCAGGAGGGAAUGCACAAGCUAUCCACUCCCUGGGAAGGACCCUUCGUGGUGACCGAGGUCACACGACCUACGUCCUACAGAUUGGCAUACCCAGACGGAACACGAGUGCCUAACUCUUGGCACAUCGACAAACUGCGACGUUUCUAUCCAUAAAGUUUUAAUGACUUUCUUUUGUAAGUAUCUUAUAAUUUUUGAUAAUGAAAUUCUCUAUUUUUUGCCUAUACCUUGUCACACACAGCACUCGGCAAAACUCCUGCAAUGGAUGCUCUUAGCGACAACCAAGACAAAUACGGUGACACGUCACUCAGAUAUUCUUACAGCGCUCAAAACAACAGUCAUGACAAAAAGUAAACUUUAUUACAAACUUUACAUACAAAGUUUACAAUAAAUACCCUGACGGGCAGACACUAGUCUAUUCCUACAGACUACUUUAUUGGCCUAGCUGCUCGGGCUGAUCACCCGCCUGGCCCUGCUGCCCGGACGAAGGGGUCGGGGCCACCGGCGCCUGGCUGGUCGAGACCGCAGGCGUCGACCGCCCAUCUCCCGCAAAGGACGCGCCCGACAACUCCCUGGCCGACCUAUCUGAACUCGGCUGGUCUGGAGGAGUGGCCGUUCCGCACAGAUUGAUGUCGCCGAUCACCGUCGACGACAAGUCCAGCAGACUACCCCGAAGCUCGUCCGCGUCCUGCGGGCCGACUUCCUUCGGGUACCCCUUCUCCAGCCUGCUCAAGUCGACUAGGGGGUAGUGGGCGCGCACCAUGCUGAGGACGUGCGCGCCGGCAAACUCCCCGGCGUCCUUCACGAACUGCUGGAGCCAGUCCCACGCCCGUUGCGCCUUCUCGACCGGGGUCAACUGCGGCGCGCGGGGCUGGCUCUCCGGGAGCUCGGGACUGAUCAGGUCUAGGACCGGGGACACUCCUUUCCAGAUCCUGCAACAGUUGACCUUCCAGGAGUCCCGGUCCUUGAUCAGAUCAUCCAGGUGCUUUUUGGCGUUCACCUUGAGCACUGCAAACGAAACGAAGCGUUAUUUUCGGCAUAAAAAAGGGGCAGGUAGCAACCAACAAGGCGGCACCCAUUACCAGAUAGCUCCUGGUCUUUUCGACCCAAUUCCUCUUCUGCUCGCCGCCCGGACUCCAGCGCACCGGCGAGCUGUUGGCUGAGCUGCUCCUUCUCUUGUCGGAGGCUCGCCACCUCCUCCUCCAAGUCUGCGUGAAUCCUAAACUGGUCAGCAAAGCAAACUAUACAAGUACGCGAAGCUGCUCGGAGCGUGUGACUAACCUUCUUGUAGCCGGUACUGGUCGGCCAAGCGACGAGCGAGGUCGAGACGACGCUCCUUUUCGGCACUCAUCUCGACCACCUUCUCCCCGACCUCCGCCCGCAACCGGUCUACCUCCGCGGCAAGGGCCUUGUUCUCGGCCAUGACGCCUUCUAUCUGGUCAAAGCACCGUUUCCGGUACUUCGCCGUUUUCAUUGCGUCCUACAAAGCAAGCUUAUAACGACCAUGCAAGACAAGGCAAAAGAAUGUGCAGCAGUACAAAAAGCCGCUUACCUUGACUUCGUCGACGAGGCGCUUGGCCGCGCGCUCCACCCUGGCGGCCUCUUCGGUCUCGGCGAGCUCCUCAUGCCCGAUAAAGUGAUCCCCGCGUUGGCGCCACACAUACACGUGUUGGCGGCCAUCACGGGGACGACCCUCGAUCUCUUCCACCUCAUCAUCGGAGGCCGCCCGGGUUUCCUCCUCCUGUGCUGCGUCACCCCCGGUGGUGGUCCCAGGUAUUACUGGCCCUUGGACCAGACCUGGGGAGCCCGCAGCCGAAGAGGCUCCUGCUCGGGGCGGCGUGUGGACUUCACUCCCCCCGGCAGGAGGAGCGGUCGGAGAUCUUCCCUUCUCUGAGGAGUCAGUUGGGGGAGCCUCUCCAGCCCUGGUCGGGCUGCUUGUCGUAGUCGGUGCCGCGCUCGGGAGCCCCUCGGUGCUCCCAGGCGCGACUGCAGCUGUUGGCUGCUCUGUGGUCUGGGGAGCCGCAUCCCCAGAACCGCGGGCAGGCUCGCCCGUUCCCUGGCUGGCAGUUUGGCCGGGGUCGACAUCCGAUGCCGCACUACAGGAACAAAAGUCAAAUUUCAAAAAAAAAGUCAAAGAGGAGUCCAAAAUACGUAAGUCGAACACUUACAGGUCUGACCGACGGUGGGUCGCGGUGAACCUCCUCCUCGCUCGGCCGGUCGGCACCUGUGCCCCCAUCUCGACAGCUUGCGGGGCAGCGGCGCCGCUGGCCACUCGAUCAGUGGCGACCGGCGCAGUGUCUGGGCGGCUCCGAGGCCGUCGGACCAACGACGGCGCAGCUUCCUCGUCGUCGUCGUCGUCGACGAUCCGCACGAGCCGACGACGCUUCGGCGCUCGGCUGCUCUCCGCCGGUGGAUCUGCCGGCAGCUCCGGUGUCGGCAAGGGAUCUGCCGGCAAUGGCCUUUUCCCCGCUACCCUCUCCUCGGAGGUCGGGACGGGGCGGGCUUGGUCUUCCUCACUGCUGGUGUAAUGAGUACACCGAGCAGCGUCCUCCUCUGGCGGGACCUCUCCCGCAGGAUUUUCCAUCCCCGGUGCCAGUGAUACAUACACUGUGCACCGGUCGACAUUGCCGACCUGCAAAAGCAACAGAGAUGAGUCAACUGCAGACGAUAUACGAAUGCUAAAACAGAAUCUGCUACAUACCUUUGGUGCUGGUCGUCCUAACUUGAAGGCUUGCACCCGAUCACUGCCACGGAUGAAGCCCCCAUCCGCGAAGUUAAACAGCUCGUUCAACAGCUGUUGUACCUCCGCUUUCUCCAAGAUCUCCGACCGCAUCCUGGUCGGGUCUGCGCUUCCGGCAUACUCGUAUGCCGAGUGCACCCUCUUCUGGCAGGGCAUCACCCGGCGGCAAAUGAAGUUGCCGACCACGCCAAGCCCGUCUAGGCGCGACCAGUCGAUCAGCUUCAUGAGAUCCGCCACUGGACCGUCGAACUCCGGGCGGUCGGUCCAGCUCGUCCUCUUCUCAGGAAUGUAUCCCACGUCGCAGAACGUGGAGCUGCCCGGUUCCUCCCUGAUGUAGAACCACUUCCUGUACCAUUCGGUCAAGGAAGUGUUCCAUGGGCAGUGCAGGUAGCGAUUCUUCAUUCCAUCACGAAGGUUGAGGUAUACUCCACCUGCAACCUUGGAGCCUCCAACUGCUCCCUUCUUCCUCAAGCAGAAAAGAUAUCGAAAAAGAUCGAAGUGCGGCUCUAUGCCAACAUAGGCCUCGCACAGGUGGGUGAAGGUGGAAAUGAGGAGAAUUGAGUUCGGGUGCAGAUUGCAAAUCCCGAUCUCAUAGUACAAAAGAAGACCUUGAAGAAAAGGAUGAACAGGAACACCAAAGCCUCUCUUGAUGAAAUCUUCAAAAACGACGAUCUCACCGGCGCGAGGGUCGGGGUAGCUCUCCCCCUCCGGUGCCCUCCAGCCGCCGAGCUCCGCGCCGUGCAGAAGCCCCAUGUCAACGAGGUCACCAAGAGAUUUUGUGGUGCUGCGAGACUUCUUCCACUCCUUGGCCAUCAGUUUGGCCCUCUUCCUGGAGUCGCUCUUCGCCAUUAGAGGUGCGAAUGUGGGCUUGAGUUAGGAAGAUGCAGGAGAUUGGAGAAGAUGAGAGCGGAAGGUUUGAAGGCAAUGGCAGGGGAAGCGGUACAGGCGGACCUAUUAGGCUCUUAUAAGCCCGCGACUCCACCUCUCCCACUUCCUGUAUUCUCGGGAAGUGGGCAGGCCAUGCGGCGGACGCGGCGUUUCGGUUUACAAUGAUUAUAGACAAUUAAUUCGGCGGAGUUUUCGUACCAAUUGAUGGUUUCCUUUUCUCAAACCAUGCAAAGGGCGGCUGUACAGUUGUCAAGCGCAACUUUUCAUGCAUCCGUCUGACACCCCGUCAGGAGGCCUCGUCACGACAACUUUAACUGGAUAGAUCUUUUCAAAAAUAAGAAGACACGUACGCCAGUGAGUCAACAAUCCGGGGACUGCACCGACCACCGAGCACUCGACGCUCGGGGACUGGUCGCCCAGUCUAUCAGCUCGGAACUUCAAGGACUGCACCGACCACCGAGCACUCGACGCUCGGGGACUGGUCGCCCAGUUUAUCAGCUCGGAACUUCAAGGACUGCACCGACCACCGAGCACUCGACGCUCGGGGACUGGUCGCCCAGUCUAUCAGCUCAAAGCUUUAAAGCAUGCACCGACCACCGAGCACUCGACGCUCGGGGACUGGUCGAACGGUAUAGCAACAUAUAAUUCCAAGGAGCACACUUAGUGCUUGGGGACUGGUCGAUUGGUCUCUUCAAUUGCAGACGAGCAUGACAUGCUCGGGGACUGGUAAAUUCACUUUUGACCUUGCUACAAGGCUCAUACUUCGCCUUCCAGCAAGCUCGGGGACUACAUCGGUACGAUGCAUCUAGCGAUGCAUCUCAGUCUCAAAACUACUUUGGGGAAUUUUCUUUUGACCCUGGCACCACGUGCCUACGUCACCUACUACCAGGCUCGGGGACUAAGUGGGCACACUUCACCUAGCGGUGAAUUUGCUUGCUUUUUUGAUGUUUAUACCUUUCAAAAAGGUAAAGUGGGCACACUUCACCAGGAAAGAAAUUUUUUUUAAGAGCACCAUGCAUUCUUCGAACAACCUGCUUCUUCGAUGACAAUGUUGAUCAACUGUCUUUUGAGUUGGUCAAAAUACCGUUGCAACUGUUCGGGCGACUUUCCUGCUUAUUGAAGACGUCAAGCCACAUUGAUCGAAGAAGCUCAAGACGGCGUGUUACAUCACAAUACAUGGAGCUCGGGGACUAGCUGUGGGGGUAUAAACCCCUAUACCCUUACGGCUAGACUUCGGCCAGAAGGCUUGGUCCAUUACGAGACGAGUUCAAGGCUUGAUCCGACAACCUGGAGUUUCGCGCAAGGAAACAAGAUGUGGAGAUCAAGCAGGAUUCUAGUCGGUUAGAAUAGGAAUUGACAUCGAAUUAUCCAUGGCAAUUGUAACCGACUAGGAUUAGUUUCCAGAUCUGUAACCCUGCCCUCCAGACUAUAUAAGGAGGGGCAAGGGACCCCCCUAGGACAUCAUAUUCUCUCAACACAAAUCAAUACAACCAGACGCAGGACGUAGGUAUUACGCCAACUCGGCGGCCGAACCUGGAUAAAAAGCUUGUCCGAGUCUUGCGUCACCAUCGAGUUCGUAGUUUGCGCACCGUCUAUCGAUAAACUACUACCGUGGGUAUACCCCAAGGUAGACUGCCGACUAGCUUUCGUCGACACUACUCCACCUCGACCUAUAUAAGGACGCCCAAGGCCCCCUCCUUGAGGCAUUCUACACCCCGGUGCUUCAUAUUCUCUACACAAAUUAUGGUUAGUAGUGUCCCUCCAGUUCAUCUAGUUCUAAUUCUUCUAGUUCUAGUUCAUCUAGUUCUAGUUCUAGUUCUAGUUCAUCUAGUUGUAAUUAGAAGAGGAAGGGAGAAGAGGAGAGAGCGAAGAAGCCGGAUCUGUCGGAUCUUCCUUGACAUUGUACUUUUGCAGUAUCUGGUUCAUCAUUCAACAAUCUUCAGGUGCCUUAAUUACUAUUCUAAGUUCUUUAUUUACUUAAUUUUAGUACGUUAAGUUCAUUUAUUAGUUUCUCGCUUGCAUCAAGAGUUCUAGUCUUUGCAACGCUAGAGUAGUAAUUAAUAGGUUAGGCGUGGUACUUAGUUUAUAUGUUGCCUAGAAUUACACCCAGCUCUACGGAUAGUUUUGGUAGCCCUAGGUGGUGACAGCCCUGACGGCCGACGUAUUCCGCCACGUUUGGAUUGGUGUUGUAGGACCAUAGUCGGAGCUUCCUAGUCCCCUUUCUUAUCUGUCUAUGGCUAGUGUUCUGAUGUCCCAAAAUAAGUAGACUUUAAAGUCAAUUCGAUUUAUAGAUCCAUUAGAGAACCCUUAGAAACAUCCUCUCUACCCACUAAAAAUACUUUCACCUUUACUGUUGGACGAUCUUGAACCUUAAUUAGUAUACUUCGUGUUCCUUGUGGAAAAUCGAUACUCUAGAAUACACUUGGGUGAAAGCUACAUUGGUAUCCGUGCGCUUGUGGAUUUCUCUAUUUGCGUUUAAAAUACCCAACAAGCUUUCUGGCGCCGUUGCCGGGGAACGGUAGCUGUGCUUGUUUCGAACCAAGUUCAUCUGUUUAUCCUUUUUCUUUUUUAUCAUUAUCUUUACCCCUACAUGGAUUCCACACCUAUCUACCAAUUUUCUGCUCCAAAGGGUGAAUUAUUAGAGCCUCCACCAUCAUCACAUCCUAUACUUACGGAUGGCUUUCAAAUUUGCCCUGCUUUCAUAGCCAUGGUUCGAGAACAAACCUUCUCUAGAAAAGAAGACGAAAAUCCAUACAUUCACCUCCAAGAAUUUGAGCAACUGUGUUCUUGUCUGAAUAUUUUUGGCAUGAAUCAUGAGACCUUAAAAUGAAAGUUAUUUCCGUUCUCUCUUUAUGAGAAGGUGAAACAAUGGUACACUCAUACCGUUAGGAGUGUAGAGGGAGAUUGGAAGGAACUUUGAGAUAAAAUUUGUCUCGCUUUCUUUCCUAUUUUCCAGAUUAUCCCUCUUCGUCUUAAAAUUCUCACUUUCCAACAAAAAGAGAAGGAAACCUUAGGAGCAGGUUGGGCAAGAUUUUCAAACUUAAUUGCAUCUGGCCUAGAUUUGUCUAUGCCUGAACAUGUCCUGUUACAACACUUUCACUAUGGCCUUAGCAAAGAAGCUGCCCUUUUUCUCGUUACUUCUUUGGUAGGGUCCUUUUCACAUAAAACCGUUAGUGAGGGGAAAGCAACCCUUGACAAAAUUCUAGAAAACACCCCAUACACUGGCGUCUGUGAUGAAUUCCAUGAAGAACAAGUUGAGACAAGCCCUGAGCCAAAAGAGGAAACACCGGCAACCAAAUUAGAAACUCCACUUGAUUCAUCUAAUGAAUUGAUUGUUGAAAAACCUCCUAAAAAGGGAACACAAACCCAACUAGAGGAUGAUGAUUCUCCUUUAGUGUUUCCCUUUGAAUUCGAGGAAGAUAUCUUUGAAGAUUAUGGAAAUACCUCGAUUUUGCCUAUCCAACCAAGACCUCUGGCACACACUACACCCUCUGAUCCACGUGAAGGCACUUGUCGAGGGUAUCAACGAGGGGUACCCUCACCAAUGCGAAUAACGAGACCAUCCGUACACACGCGCGGCCAUCGACGGCCGCAGCCUCGAAGACGGAAACAGCGUCGAGCGAAUCGGUCAGGGCUCGAGCGACAACUGCCGUCGAAUACGGAAGCGGGCUCGAGCGAAUCGAGAGGCGUCGAGCGCAAGGACACUGUCCGCCGCCUGACGUGCGCACGAGAGCCAGGGCAUUUAAUGCACCUGACGCUUCCCCACCUAACACACGGGUCACGGGAGGCUUCUGUCCCAUCGUUCUUUUUGCAGCCUUCCCACCGAACGACCCAGGGCGUGUCAGGACGCGGGAAACAAGGAUGGAACGUCUAAUCGGGACCCCCUCGAGACACCCAAGGUCAGCGUUCCAGAUAUCGACACCUCGUACGGCGUCCGACCCUCGACUUCACCAGGCUCCUUCCUGGAGACGAGUCGGGCGUCGACUGACCACGCCGUAACCGCUCCGCCGGAUUUGCCGCCGAGCCAUAUAAGCGUGCAUCCGCCGAACCAAUCCAAGACGGCGCGCAGAGCAGAAUGUAGGGGCACGCGUGAUCAUCACCAGGCUAUUAAGACGGGACGGCUCGAGGGCAUGCCGGUACGGAAACCUCGAUUAGGUCAGUGAUCCAUGCUGCUAUCGACUCCAAUUCCUACGCCUAUACAUGUACCCUAGGCCCUUCCUUGGAACUAUAAAAGGAGGGACUCAGGAAUAGAACAGCAGAUCACGACACAAGACCACGCUCAUACGUAGUAGAGCUCCACACUUCAUACCACGCUUGUAUUCGCCCCUGUACAAGCACUUAGGUGCAAGAUAAUACAAACUCUCUCCCCCCCGCUGGACGUAGGGCCUUCUCUUGCCCGAACCAGGAUAAAUCUCUGUGUCUUCUUGCAUCACCAUCCGGGAAAGGGAACACGCAUACAAAUUUACUCGUUGGUGUGACCCCCCGGGGGAAAAACACCGACAGUUGGCGCGCCAGGUAGGGGUCCUGCGUGUUUUCCAUCGAUUUCCCACUCCUUUCCGGAUGGCUACUCUUGCCUCGCCGUUUCCGCGCUCCACGGUGAUUUGGUUUGGGAGUCUCGAGUUCAUGUCUACGGGCUCCGGCUACGACAUGAUCUUGCUCUCAGUCAAAGGACCAGGAGGAGCCCGCGUUACGCCAGCACGGUUGAAGGCCCCGAGACGCCCUCACCACCACGCCUCCCCGCCUAAGAAGAGGCGCGGACAGCACCACCGCGGCCCCUCUGCUUCAGCACGACCAACAACUCGUGCGAGGCAGGACGUAGGCCACAAGUCGGCAGCACCGUGUGACGGAGCAACAAGCGCGACGACUCAGCACCGCGCGACGACGGGAGGGGACGCGUCUCGCGCGCUCUCCCCCACCGCAGCUAGGCUACUUCCACACGGGUUGUUCUCUCCAAGAGCGGCACUGCCGUUCGGAUUGGACAACGCCGCGGCGUCGCUCGGCAGGGCGAUAUGCCCAAACGCCUAGACGUACGUAGAAAGACCAAUGGUCCUCCCACGUAGCUCUGAAGCGCGGCGGCCGGCGUCCGAGCUGCCGGACCUUUCCCGAGUACAAGGCCUCCGUCGUCUAGGCCCCGGACGAUACUUGAUCACCUCCCUCAGGCAACGAUUGCUGGAGGAAGGACGUGGGUGUUUCUACGCCGCCGAACCGGACUCCGACUCCGAGACAGAUAGCUAUGACCCUACGAGGGAAUGCUAUCACAUCGACGGGGCGGUAGAAACUACUGACGAGACACGGGAUGCUGCUGCGGGUGGUCGAGCCCCCGCGGCGCGAGAAGACCCCAGGACGCCUGGAAACGACGGACAGGUCGACCCCCCCCCUCAGGAAGACAGAACCACGCAGCUGCGGGAGCUCAAGAUGAAGCUCGACGAAGACCGCGAGCGCCUCGUCCUGCUCGAGCAAACCCUCGAGCAAGACCUGCCCUACCCGCCGGGCGGAAGUGUCCGCAGACGCGCUCGAGAGGUACAUCGACAGAUCGUCGGCGACGCAGAGCCAGAGCAACCUGUCAGCCGUUUCCCUCGAGCAGGCCAGAAUGUAGUGGCAGCAACGAUGCUGCUACGUAACAUGCCAGAGCCGUCGAAUUCCCAGGCCCGACGCAUUCGAGAUGAGGUACAGACAUUGCUCCAGGUGGCGGCGGUUCAACAAGCCGAAAGUUCGGCGUCUCGACGACGAGGAGCUGCCACAGAGAAGCGCGACGAACAGCCUCUAAACGAAGAGGAGGUGUCAGUCCAUCAACAACCUCCCCCUCGAGGUAGAAAGACUACUCUCAUCCUCCCCGUCGACAAUCAACGUCGACAUGACGCGCGGCACGACAUCAAAGAAAAUCGACGCCGCCGGCACGGAGACGCGGAAGAUCGCGGUUAUAGCGCGCAUCGCGGUGGGAGAUACGACAGCGACGAGGACCGGGUGGCCCCCGAGCCACCAGGCCCACGGGUGUUCAGCAGGGCGAUCCGCAGCACGCCCCUGCCCAAUCCAUUUCGACCCCCGACCAGCAUCGCGAAGUACAAUGGAGAGACCAAACCAGAGUUGUGGCUGGCCGACUUCAGGCUGGCCUGUCAGCUAGGUGGCGCUCGAGGUGAUGAUCGAGCCAUCAUCAGACAGCUACCCCUUUUCCUCUCCGACACCGCCCAUCGAUGGCUCGAGGAACUCCCUGCCAAUCAGAUCCACAACUGGGUUGAUCUGGUCAGAGUCUUCGAGGGUAACUUCAAAGGGACCUACAUACGGCCAGGGAACUCGUGGGACCUCAGCAAGUGCAAGCAGAAGUCGGGAGAAACUCUUCGGGAGUAUGCUCGACGCUUCUCGAAGCAGCGCACUGAGCUGCCGCACAUCCCUGACCACGACGUCAUCUUGGCGUUUGUCUCGGGCACCACCAGUCGAGACUUGGUGCGGGAAUUAGGUCGCAAUCGACCUCAGACCGUCGACGAGCUGAUGGACGUAGUAGCCAACUACGUGGCAGGGGAGGAGGCAGUCGGCGCCUUCUUCAGCUCAGAAGGAAGAAAAGGCAAGCAGCCCGUCGACGAAGAUGGGACCCCCAGUCGAGGCCUCAAGAAAAAUAAAAAGAAGCAGAAAGUGCGGCAGUUCCACCGGGAAGAUUCCGAUGACAACCUUGUCGCCGCCAUGGAUCGAAAGAAGCCUCGAGGCCCUCCGGAUGGAGGCAUCUUUGACAAGAUGUUGGAGGAGCCGUGCCCUUACCAUAAGGGAGGCGCCAACCACAAGCUCAAGGACUGUCGUAUGCUGAGAAAGCAUUUCGACGGUCUGGGGUUCAAAAAAGAUACGCGUGAUGACUCCAAGAAAGAGAAGGCUGGCAGCAAGGAGGACAACAAAGAUGACGACGGAUUCCCCGCCGUCCACGACUGCUACAUGAUCUAUGGCGGGCCCUCGACUCAAUUAACCAUGAGGCAGCGCAAAAGGGAGCGUCGCGAAGUCUUUGCGGCAAGAAUGGCGGUGCCCCAGUACCUUAGCUGGUCAAGCACUCCUAUCACUUUCGACCGAGAGGACCACCCCGACAAGGUAGUCGCCCCGAGCGUCUACCCGCUCGUCGUCGACCCCAUAAUCGUCAACACCCGACUCUCGAAAGUGCUGAUGGAUGGUGGCAGCAGCCUCAACAUCAUCUACCUCGAGACCCUUGACCUCCUCGGCAUCGAUAGAGGACGCCUCCAGCCAAGCGCCGGCGGUUUCCAUGGCGUCGUGCCAGGGAAAAAGGCACUGCCAGUAGGUCGAAUUGACCUACCGGUCUGCUUCGGCACGGCGGCCAACUUCAAGAAGGAGACCCUCACCUUUGAGGUGGUUGGGUUCCGAGGCACGUACCACGCCAUCAUCCGGCGCCCGGGCUACGCCAAGUUCAUGGCUAUACCCAUCUACACCUACUUGAAACUGAAGAUGCCUGGUCCCAAAGGCGUCAUCACUGCCAGUUCCUCCUUCGAGCACGCGUACGAGUGCGACGUCGAGUGCGUCGAGUACGGGGAGGCGGUCGAGAGCUCCACCGAGCUCGUUGCAAAGCUCGAGGCCAUGGCCGCUGAGGCUCCAGAGCCUAAGCGUCAUGCGGGCAGCUUCGAGGCGGCGGAAGGAACCAAGAAGAUCCCGCUCGACCCCAACAACUCCGACGGCAAAGUGCUGACGAUCAGCGCCGACCUCGACCCCAAAUAGGAAGCCGUGCUCGUCGACUUUCUCCGUGCAAAUGCUGAUAUGUUUGCAUGGAGUCCCUCGGACAUGCCAGGCAUACCGAGGGAAGUCGCCGGGCACUCCUUGGAGAUUCGAGCCGGUUCCAAGCCAGUGAAGCAGCGGUUGCGCCGAUUCGAUGAGGAGAAGCGCAAGAUCAUUGGCGAGGAAGUCCACAAGCUUUUGACGGCCGGAUUCAUCAAGGAGGUUCAUCAUCCUGACUGGUUAGCAAACCCUGUAUUAGUUAAGAAAAAGAAUGGGAAAAUGAGAAUGUGUGUCGAUUAUACUAGUCUGAAUAAAGCAUGUCCAAAAGUUCCCUUUCCACUACCACGCAUUGAUCAGAUUGUCGAUUCUACCGCGGGAUGUGAAACCCUUUCUUUCCUUGACGCAUAUUCUUUUUACCACGAAAUAAAAAUGAAGGAGUCCGACCAGCUCGCGACCUCUUUCAUCAUGCCUUUUGGGAUGUAUUGCUACGUGACCAUGCCAUUUGGGCUUCGAAACGCGGGAGCCACGUAUCAACGUUGCAUGCUCCACAUAUUUGGCGAACAUAUAGGGUCAACGGUCGAGGCCUACGUCGACGACAUUGUCGUCAAGUCAAAGCGACGAGGAGACCUGAUCCAGGACCUCGAGAUUGCCUUUAGCUGCCUACGCACCAGCCGGAUCAAGCUCAAUCCCGAGAAGUGCGUUUUCGGUGUGCCUCGAGGCAUGCUCCUAGGAUACAUCGUUUCGCAGCGCGGCAUCGAGGCCAACCCCGAGAAAGUCUCGGCCAUCACGAAAAUGGGGCCGAUCCGAGACAUCAAGGGUGUACAGAGAGUCACGGGGUGCCUGGCGGCUCUGAGCCGUUUCAUCUCGAGACUAGGAGAAAAGACAUUACCAUUAUAUCGACUCCUAAAGAAGGUCGAGCGCUUUUCUUGGACCCCCGAGGCCGAGGAAGCACUCGAAAGGCUGAAGAAGACGCUGACCUCGGCACCAGUCCUGGUUCCACCUCAACCUGCAGAGCCGCUGCUCCUCUACGUCGCGUCGACGACCCAGGUCGUCAGCGCGGCGGUGGUGGUCGAGAGGCAGGAGGAGGGACAUGCGCUACCGGUUCAGAGGCCAGUGUAUUUCGUCAGCGAGGUGCUUUCGGAGACCAAAGCACGUUAUCCCCAAAUCCAGAAGCUGAUUUAUGCCGUAAUCCUUGCCCGUCGCAAGCUGCAGCAUUACUUCCUUGGCCACCCCAUCACGGUGGUCUCGUCUUUUCCUUUAGGCGAAAUAAUCCAGAGCAAAGAAGCCACGGGAAGAAUAGCAAAAUGGUCGGUCGAGCUCAUGAGUGAGACUCUCACUUAUGCGCCUCGCAAGGCCAUCAAAUCGCAGGCCCUGGUAGACUUCAUCGCAGAAUGGACGGACACCCAGCUCCCCCCGACCCAGGUCCAGGCGGAACUAUGGACGAUGUAUUUCGAUGGGUCACUCAUGAAAACUGGAGCCGGAGCCGGCCUGCUGUUCAUCUCACCCUUGGGCGUCCACAUGAGGUACGUAAUCAGGAUUCAUUUUGCCGCAUCUAACAAUGUCGCAGAAUAUGAGGACCUCGUCAACGGUCUCAAGAUCGCUAUCGAGUUAGGAGUCCGACGCCUCGACGUCCGAGAUGACUCCCAACUCGUCAUCGACCAAGUAAUGAAAACCUCGAGCUGCCACGACCCAAAAAUGGAAGCGUACUGCAAGGAGGUCCGUCGACUCGAGGACAGGUUCCACGGUCUCGAGCUUGUCCAUAUCGCUCGACGCUACAACGAGGCAGCCGACGAACUCGCCAAGAUCGCAUCGACCAGAGGCACGGUGCUGCCUGAUGCAUUCUCGAAGGAUCUUCACGAGCCAUCCGUUGACCUAGGCACGGGGGCUGGCGUCGACGCCACCACCGCCCAACCAACCAAUGAUGUCGAUACGCUCUUGAUGGUGGAAGAGAUGAUGGAGAUAGAACGACGACCAGGUCGACCAUUCGAUUGGCGCACACCGUUCCUCGACUGCCUUAUCCGCGGCGAGUUGCCAGAAGACAGGUCAGAAGCUCGUCGUAUCGCUCGACGGGCCAAAUCAUAUGUGAUCUAUGGCGAAGACAACGAGCUAUAUCGACGGAGCCCGACGGGGGUCUUACAACGUUGCAUCACCGUGGAAGAAGGCCAAAAACUCCUCGAUGACCUGCACUCGGGGGCUUGCGGUCACCACGCCGCUCCACGGACCCUUGUAGGGAACGCUUUUCGACAAGGCUUCUACUGGCCAACGGCCGUGGCGGACGCCAUCAAGCUCGUACGAUCAUGUCACGGGUGUCAGUUCUACGCCAAGCAGACGCAUCUGCCUGCCCAUGCUCUUCAGAUGAUCCCCAUUACCUGGCCUUUUGCGGUGUGGGGGCUCGAUUUAGUAGGACCUCUACAAAAGGCGAAAGGAGGAUUCACCCAUUUGAUGGUGGCCAUUGACAAGUUCUCCAAAUGGAUCGAGGCUCGACCCAUCACCAACAUCCGCUCCGAGCAGGCCGUCCUUUUCUUCACCGACAUCAUCCAUCGGUUUGGGAUCCCCAAUGUCAUCAUCACCGACAACGGCACCCAGUUCACCGGCAAAAAGUUCUUGGACUUCUGCGAUCGGCAUCACAUCCGUGUGAACUGGUCUGCAGUAGCCCACCCUCGAACUAACGGCCAAGUCGAGCGUGCCAACGGCAUGAUUUUGCAAGGACUCAAGCCAAGGAUCUACAAUCGAUUGAAGAAAUUCGGCAAAAAAUGGGUCGAGGAGCUUUCCUCAGUCCUAUGGAGCCUUAGGACAACACCAAGCAGGGCCACAAAAUACACCCCGUUCUUCAUGAUCUACGGCUCUGAGGCUAUCCUCCCCACUAACCUCGAGUAUGGGUCACCUCGACUCAAGGCCUACAACGAGCAAUCGAACAAAGAGACUCAAGAAAACACGGUCGACCAACUUGAGGAGGCUAGAGACAUGGCCCUCCUCAACUCUGCCAGAUAUCAGCAAAGGCUUCGACGCUACCACGACAAGCAUGUGCGCAAGAGGGACCUCAACGUGGGCGACCUAGUCCUACGACGCCAGCAAAGCAAUCAGGGACGCCACAAGCUGACUCCGCCUUGGGAAGGUCCGUACGUGGUGGCCGAGGUCCUGAAGCCGGGAACGUACAAGCUGGCGGACGAAAAGGGGGCAAUUCUCACCAACGCAUGGAACAUCGAACAGCUACGUCGAUUCUACCCCUAGAAGUUCUAAACUUAUGUUCCUGCUUACGUUUUGUACCGAGACUUUGUAAACGAAUGAAUGAAUAAAUAAAGUCCUUCCCUCGAAGCAAUUCUUCUUUCUUUGUGCCGAGAAGAUUAAUAAGUCACGAUCUCGACGUUAAAAGGGGGCGCCGACUAUGACCCAUCAUAGUCAGCACCCCCUCGGGGGCUACCAGGGGGACGACCCCCCCCCGAGUAUCGAAAAAACCAAGAAGUUUUCUUUUCUUACGUAGUAAACCUUGCACGGUUCAAGUAGCUAAGGCGCCUCGAGCCCCUCAAAGGCCGAGGGACAACGAGCUGGAGAACUCCUACGCCCCCGGGCUACGGAAACUCUACUCACUUCCCCACCAUUGAAGUGAUCGAGGUGGUCUUUUACGAAAAAUCGAGCAAGGGAUACAAACGUAGGCGCAAAGAGAAACGAAAGCAUCAAGCGGAAAGACAAAAUAAGCAUUUAACAAUUACGAAAGUGAUACAGCAUCAGUUACCCACAGAAUUAACAAAGUAUCGUACAAGGGGCCUCAGGCGCCCUGAGCAGGCUCGCAGGCCUCAGUCCGCGGCACGAUCCUCACCGCCCUCGCCUCCGCCCGAGCUAGCCUCAGGAGGGAGCACCUCAGGCUCGAAAAGCUUGGCCAACCUUUCCCCAGGAGCCUCCGCGUCGUCGAUCAAGGCAUGGAGCCUCUCCUCGUUCUCCGCGUCGGUCUUGGAGAUGUCGGUGACGAAGCCAUGGGACACCACCUCCAUGUCGUAGGAGAAGCCCGAGCAGAUAACCACCAUCGCCCGCUUCACCCCGAUGUGGAGGGCGUCCCGCACCCGAUCUCGCAGCGUCGCGCCUAUGUAGCACAACUGGUCGACCAGGGCGUCGCCUCGAGCGUCCUCCCUCGACUCAUCCAUAGGCUCGACCUCCCAAGAGGUCGAGAGAUCACUUAUCACCGUCCGCACUCGACGGUUCAAAGCAACCUCCGCCUCGAGCUGAGCCUUGGCGUUGCGAGCCUCGGCUUGGGCGGCCAGGAGUUCGUCCUUGAGCCCUGUAAAAGCCAAUAUAAAGAGACCUUAGGAAAAACUAAGCACACCGCGGAAAAAGAAAUCUGAUAGAGGAAACAUACCGCGUACGGUCUCCUCGAGGGCCGUGUUCUCGCCGACCAGCCUGGUGUUGGCCCCCUCGAUCUCUUUGUUGGAGCGUGCCAGCUCGGUGUUGGCAACACGGAGAUCCUCGAUCGCCUUGCCAGCCUGAGCAAUGGCCCCACUCUUCUCCAGCAAUUCUCCCUUCACACGCUCGACGUCGUUAGAGAGACUACGGGAUCGAGCCCGCUCCGCCUCGAGAUCUUCGAGCGCCUUCUUCUUGGCUUCCUCCGCGGCGCCCCUGGCGACCUCGCCGUUCACAUGCUCCACCUUCAUCUUUCGGAAGGACUCUCGGAGAGAGUCCAGGUCGGAUUUAAGGAGGCCCUUCUCCUUGUCCAGAUCCGCGAUAACGCUCUUGUAGGACAGGGCCUCCUCCCGGGCUCUGGACGCGGCCUCCUCGACCGUAAGAGCCCGCUCCCGUAGCUGCAUCGUCUCCUCCUCCGCCUUCUUCGAGGCCUCUCGGGCCUCGGCCAAAGCAGCCUCCCUCGCCUUCUUCUCCUCCUCGAGUGCUAUGAGAUCUUUGUAAGCUUUAAGGAGCUUUUCCUGCGACUCGAGGAGUUGAUCCUUGAGCAGGGGGAGCUGCUCCCAACCGCCCCUCGUGGCGUGUAUGAAGCUGGACUUGAUGCGGGAGGUCUCUUUCAUAUCCUGCGAAUCAAGGGUCGGAUGGAUUAGAAUACAGAAACUAGAAAGCACCAUGAGGAUUGGAGUUCGAGAAACACUUACGAAAUAAGCCGGGCCGAGCCCGUUGUUGAUAACAUCCGAGAGGAGCCCCACCACAUGCUUCAUCCAAAGGCGGAGCUCCUCGACGUGUUUCCACUUCUCCGCCUCCUUCCGAUCAUCGAGGAAGAUGUCGGGCUCAGACUGGUCGUGGGAGGCCCGAAUACGGAUGCGGUCGGGGCACCAGUGCUCCAUCUCCCGGUCAGCCCGCGCCUUAACGCCGCGGAUGAGGCCCUCGACCGUCUCGAGGGAGCCCCCAUGGCGCAGGAACAGGUCGACGAGGCAUGGGAACCGUCCGUCGUCGUCCACCGUCUUCCAGGUUCCAUCCUUGGUCCCCGGUGCCCCAAUUUCAUCCUCCUCGGAAGGAAAGCGGUCCUCCCACGCUCGACGUUCCCGGAGGAACCCUGGGGCGAUCCCGUCCAUGCCGUAAAUUGUCCUCUUGAUAUCGGACUCGGGGUCGGGGGGCGUGCGCUUCAGGCAGGCGAGCGCCACCACUCCAUCCGCUCGCCCCGGCUCUGCCCGGAUCGCGGCAGAUGCCCCCGGGAGGAGCCACGCCGGGGUUGGGGGGCCGUACACCGGCAGGUCCUCCUCCUCGCCGAGCUCUUGCGGCUCCGGUGGCACUGGCUGGGCCGGACCUUGGGGCAGAGGCUCGAGCGGUCCCUCCUCUUGGCCCACCUGCUGCUGCUGUUGCUGCUGCGGUGGUUGCUGCUGAUGCUGCUGCGGUUGCUGCUGCGGUUGUUGCUGUUGCUGCUGCCGCUGUUGUUGUUGCUGCUGUUGCUGUGCCUCAUACUCCUGUGGCUGUCGCGCCGCCUCGCGCUCCCGCUGUUCAUCCUCCUCCCUCUUCUUUUUCUGCUCCUCGAGGGUGCGGAGGCCGGCGGGCUAGGGAGUUGAUCCCGCGACGUUGGGGGUCGACGCUUCCUCCUCCAUAGGGCGAGCGGCCCCAGACGCUUCGUUACCAUCGGACGUAUCGCUGAUGGUGAUGGGUUCCCCCUCGACCCCCAAUCGAGGGGGCUCGGGGGCUCCCUCUGACGCUUGCGUCUGGGGCGCCUCAUCACGAGUCGGCGGCGACGGAGUAGGCGCGGGACGAGACGGAGCCCUCUCGACGCCGGCUGGAGGUUGGGAGCUGGAGGAGCCUACGAAACAAAGGGUAAGGGUCAGACGUUAUGAUAACCGACACAAGAACAUCGCAACGCCCAGAAAUAAACUACGAACCUGGUUCCUUGGAGGCGGCACCCGUUUUGAGCCUCUUUGCCAUGGAUGGUUGGGCCUGCUCAAGGGUCCGCUUUAGCCUGAGAAAAGGUUGGCAUAUGAGGAAAGGUGGAAGAAUGGGAAGACAAAAACCGCAACAUCAAAAAGGCUUACCCCAAAGGGAGAACGGCUCGCCUCCCGCCACCCCGACCAGUGGGCCUCGAGCCACCCCGCGUCAGGGCUCCAGGCCCCUCGAGGGCAGGCACUGGCCUAGGCGCGUCGGUCCCUGCCUGGCGGGCACCGGGACUGGCGCUCCUACGGCCGGCAUCUCCUUUCUCAGAGGCCGCGGCGCGACCACGAGUUAGUGGCCCCGACGCCUAGGGCCUAGCCAGACCGCUCUCCCUGGGCACCGGGGGAGGGCGCGGUGCGUCUUGGCCCGCCUUGGGCGCGGGAGGGGUGUCGGCCCAGGGGCGACGAGAUCCGCUCGGACCCUCCUCUGGCGCCUCUGUCCGGGGGGCGUCGACGUCACCUCGAGGCGGGCCCUCGAGAAUCUGAUCGAGGCGCGAUGCCAUCCCCUCAGAGUCGUCGCUGUCCUCGUCGUCAUCGUCAUCAUCGUUAGGGGAUUCUUCCUCAGGCUCCCCCCUCUGCCUGGAUUUGGCUCGACGCGCCUCUAAUGCUUGGCGGUCGAGGUUCUUCUUCUUCUCCCCCUUCUUUGCAGAGUCCUUGGCAGACUUUAGCUUUUCGGCAGAUUGGCGCCGUUUGUCACGAUCGACAUCGUCCUCCUUUACCGGAGGCCUCGAGGACCGGACAUCAAUCCGACCCUGCCAAAACAAAGGUAGACUUAGAAAAAAGAGAGGGGAGAAAGGAAACCCAGAAUCGAGGCUGCGCGCAAGAAGAAAGCGUACCAGAUCGAUCGAGCCUGCGUCUGGUCUCAUGGGGAAGCCAUUAACGUGCUCCGGCUGAAAAUCACCGGCAAUUGCAGCCCUGACUCGGGCCACGACUUCGUCGUCCGCCGGAGCCUCGUUGGACAUCCGACACGCCUCGAGGUCCCGAGAUGAGACGCCAGGGCCCAUCUCGUCCAUCCUCAACGGUCGAGACAUCAAAGGGAGAACUCUCCUGUGAUGGACGGCCGAGAGGACGAGAGCGGCGGUCAAACCCUCCUGGCGAAGCUUCUUCAGGGCGUCGAGGAGGGGGUCGAGCCGAGAUUGAUGAGCUUGGACGACGCCGUAUGUCCAGUCCGCUGGACGCUCCAUGAUCAGAUGGCCCGAGUAGGAAGGCAGGAGGUUGUCAUCGUUCCACAGGUAAAACCACUGGGAGUCCCAGCCGGCGUGGUUGGUCGAUAACCCUACCGGGAUGUACUCCCACGGCCUGUCCGUCUUCCCCGUCUUCUGCACCAGAUUGAGGCAUCCCGCCCGCACGGGCUUCCUUACGCCCGUGGUUCCGGUGGGGGCAUGGAAAAGCUCACCCCUGUAGAGGUGGAGCCACAGCUCCCAGUGCGGCAUCAUCCCCAAGUAGCCCUCACACACGGCGGCGAAGACCGCCGCUACGGUGAUGGCGUUCGGAGAGAUGUGCUGGAGCUCCACCCCAUAAUGGAAGCAGAGGGCCCGCAUGAAGCGGCUCGGGGGCGCGCCCAGACCGUGGCGGUGGAACUUGGCGAACGACACCACGUAGCCCUCGGGCGGCUGAGGCCCCCUGUGACUCGCCGGCGGCGCGAUCCACUCUGGCGACGAUAGCGAGGUACGGCGGCACAGCAGUCCCUCUUUCUCAAGCUCUAACAACCGGCGCUCCGUCAUCGACGACGGGCGCCAGUCGUCGGCGGCGACGAGUCUUACAGGCAUCUCGGCUGGAGGGACGGUGGAUUCACUACAGCUCGAGGAGGCGUGUGCGCGUGAGACGGCGAGAAAGCAAAGGAAACGAGAGAAUAAAAGCGAGAAGGCGAAAGGGAGAGGAACGGCGGCGACGCCACGACGUAUUUAUAGGCAGCAGUCCCCGAAUUCCACGCCGACGCAGUGUCGUAACGUCACCCGCCUAAAAAGGCGCGCCCAACGGGCAGAAAGGCGAACCGCCACGGCCACUUCCUUCCCUCGUAAGCCAAGGGACGUACCCGCGAGAGUCUCGAGAGGUCGAUGGCUGGCCCGCCGAAAGGGUUCGACAGCCGAUCUCGAGCGCCAGAGUCAGGGAUCCCCAGCGAGCUGUCGAAGAUCGAGGCCCGCCUCGAGGGCUCGCUGGCGAUGUUCAAGGUAGGGUCGAGACAGUCGAGAGGAAUCCCCCCGACGGGAGGCAUCGAGCCGCCGGUCUCUAUCGAAUGAAACUGGUAUCCCCGACCACGUCGAUCCCGCUUUAUGAGAACGCCUCCGGGCUACAGCUGACCCCCUCGAAAGGGGCACAGGUUCUCACUUGGACUACCCGCUAGGAACUCAAUCUGGGGUGGAAGACGCUCGCUCUAUCGAGAGUACGUCGAAACCUCCACGCAAGGCAAAGCCGAACAGAACCUUCCACCACGGGUGUUGACAGCGUUUCUGCAAAUUUGGCAAAAUAACCCUCGAAGGAGUUAAAUACUUCCCCGAGGGCUCGGGGGCUACCCCCGCGGGGUCGCUCGCGCGCCCCCGUGGAAGCUCGACCGUAAAAACGAAAGUCUCCACUCGAGCGCCAGCGCUCGAAUGAAGACUCGGGGGCUACUGUCGAGGGUAUCAACGAGGGGUACCCUCACCAAUGCGAAUAACGAGACCAUCCGUACACACGCGCGGCCAUCGACGGCCGCAGCCUCGAAGACGGAAAUAGCGUCGAGUGAAUCGGUCAGGGCUCGAGCGACAACUGCCGUCGAAUACGGAAGCGGGCUCGAGCGAAUCGAGAGGCGUCGAGCGCAAGGACACUGUCCGCCGCCUGACGCGCGCACGAGAGCCAGGGCAUUUAAUGCACCUGACGCUUCCCCACCUAACACACGGGUCACGGGAGGCUUCUGUCCCAUCGUUCUUUUUGCAGCCUUCCCACCGAACGACCCAGGGCGUGUCAGGACGCGGGAAACAAGGAUGGAACGUCUAAUCGGGACCCCCUCGAGACACCCAAGGUCAGCGCUCCAGAUAUCGACACCUCGUACGGCGUCCGACCCUCGACUUCACCAGGCUCCUUCCUGGAGACGAGUCGGGCGUCGACUGACCACGCCGUAACCGCUCCGCCGGAUUUGCCGCCGAGCCAUAUAAGCGUGCAUCCGCCGAACCAAUCCAAGACGGCGCGCAGAGCAGAAUGCAGGGGCACGCGUGAUCAUCACCAGGCUAUUAAGACGGGACGGCUCGAGGGCAUGCCGGUACGGAAACCUCGAGUAGGUCAGCGCUCCAUGCUGCUAUCGACUCCAAUUCCUACGCCUAUACAUGUACCCUAGGCCCUUCCUUGGAACUAUAAAAGGAGGGACUCAGGAAUAGAACAGGAGAUCACGACAUAAGACCACGCUCAUACGUAGUAGAGCUCCACACUUCAUACCACGCUUGUAUUCGCCCCUGUAUAAGCACUUAGGUGCAAGAUAAUACAAACUCUCUCCCCCCGCUGGACGUAGGGCCUUCUCUUGCUCGAACCAGGAUAAAUCUCUAUGUCUUCUUGCAUCACCAUCCGGGAAAGGGAGCACGCAUACAAAUUUACUCGUUGGUGUGACCCCCCGGGGGAAAAACACCGACAGCACUGUAAUCACAGAACAAAUUAAAAGCCUCUCAUCAAUCAUGAGUUAUGAAUGGCUUAUGGAAGCAGAGUUAUCUCCUGAGGUAGCUCGAAUCAUUGAUCCCCAACCAUUCUUUGGUGCCAAAUUAGGAGGACUGCUAUGAAAAUACACUAUAGUCCAUCUGUUGGGAUAAACCUUUUUUCAAAGACAUUAGCUAAUAGCCUUUAUCCCAACACAUCCUUAACCCCAUCAGAAAAGCGUUUACAAACCUCUUCAGGAACUAUUCUUAAGAGCAAUGGGGGUAUUAAGGGUUAUUCCUAUCAAAAUUAAUAACUUUGAGAUAUGCCUAGAUUUUCACAUAUAUGACACCUUGGAGAUUACUCUGUUGAUUGGCAGACCAAUCAUGAGACUUUUAUAGGAAAAACCUUGACGAGGUCAUUUGGACUUUAAGGUUGGGAAUUCCACUAUAAAUAUUCCUCUUGCUCGUUCUAUCAACACAAUAGUGGAACCCAAAUACGAGCAAGACUCUACUGAAGAGGUUUUACUGGCAUCUCUAGAAAGCAUGGCACAACCAAUCCUUGAUGAUGAACACUUUAUUCAAGAAGAGGAAGAGUUGGUAGAGCCCAUUGAAAUAGACAAAACUGAGCAACCACCUGUUCCUUCAAUCGAGCAAAAACCGCUCCUUCCUGGCCUAAAGUAUGUCUUUCUCAAUAAUAAUCGAGAAACCACAGUGAUCAUCAGUUUCAAGCUUUCCCAAUAAGAAACCCAUAAACUUGUCACUGUCUUAGAAAGACACAAACCAGCUAUCGGCUACUCACUCAAAGACCUCGUAGGCAUUAGCCCCGUUCUUUGCACUCAUCGCAUCCCCAUUGAUCCUGAUUGCACACCUUCAAGGGAGCCACAACAGAGGCUUAACCAUGCCAUGCGAGAUAUUGUUAAAAAAGAGGUCCUUAAGCUUUUACACACUAGGAUUAUUUAUCCCGUUCCUCAUAGUGAGUGGGUUAGCCUGGUACAAGUUGUACCAAAGAAAGGAGGAAUGACGGUUGUUAGGAAUGAGAAGAAUGAACUCAUCUCUCAAUGAACUAUCACCGGGUGGCGUAUGUGCAUUGACUACCGAAAGCUCAACAAGGCCACAAAGAAAGAUUAUUUCCCAUUACCCUUCAUUGAUGAAAUGUUGGAGCGGCUCGCAAAUCACUCUUUCUUUUGUUUCCUUGAUGGGUAUUCUGGAUAUCAUCAAAUCCCGAUCCACCCCGAUGACCAAAGUAAGACUACUUUCACAUGCCCCUAUGGAACUUAUGCAUACCGAUGAAUGUCAUUCGGGUUAUGUAAUGCUCCAGCUUCUUUUCAACGGUGCAUGAUGUCUAUUUUCUCCUAUAUGAUUGAGAAAAUCAUGGAGGUAUUCAUGGAUGAUUUUACGUCUAUGGCAAAACCUUCGAUGAUUGUUUAGAGAAUUUGGAUAAAGUCUUACAAUAGUGUGAAGAAAAGCACUUAAUCCUAAACUGGGAGAAAUGCCAUUUUAUGGUUGGAGAAUGAAUAGUGCUAGGGCACAAGGUGUCCAAACGUAGGAUAGAGGUGGAUAAAGCCAAGAUUGAAGUUAUUGAACAACUUCCACCUCCCACAAAUGUGAAAGGCAUCCAUAGUUUUCUUGGACAUGCAGGGUUCUAUAGGCGCUUCAUCAAAGAUUUUUCUCAAAUAGCUAGACCCCUAACUAGUCCCCUUGCUAAAGAUGCACCUUUCAUCUUUAAUCAUGAGUGCCAUACAGCUUUCCAAAUUCUAAAGAAGGCACUCAUCUCAGCUCCAACUAUCCAACCACCUGAUUGAAAGAUUCCUUUUGAGAUCAUGUGUGAUGCUAGUGAUUUUGCAGUUGGAGCCGUUUUAGGCCAAACCAAAGAUAAAAAGCACUAUGCCAUAUCUUAUGCUAGCAAAACCUUGUCUGGACCUCAGCUCAACUAUGCUACCACUAAAAAGAAUUACUGGCUGUUGUCUUUGCUAUAGACAAGUUUUGAUCUUACUUAGUGGGGGCUAAGGUAAUUGUUUAUACGGAUCAUGCAGCUCUUAAGUAUCUCCUCACUAAGAAAGAUGUUAAACCUCGGCUAAUUCGAUGGAUUCUUCUACUCCAAGAGUUUGACAUAGAAAUACGAGAUAAGAAAGGAGUAGAAAAUUCAGUAGCCGACCACUUGUCUAGACUUCAAUACAAGGAAUCACAUGAGUUACCCAUUAAUGAUUACCUAAGGGAUGAAACCCUACUCAUAAUAACAAACUUCGAUCCAUGGUAUGCAAAUAUCGUGAACUUUAUGGUAGCGGGGUAUGUCCUGGAUGGUAUGAACAAAAGAAAAUUGAUUCAUGAAAGCCGCCUUCACCUAUGGGAUGAUCCCUAUCUAUAUCGAGUUUGCCCUGAUGGAUUGCUAAGAAGAUGUGUCCCUAGCUAUGGCUGAGGCCAUUCAAAUUAUGGAAAGAUGCCAUGCCUAGCCAUAUGGAGGGCAUUAUGGGGCAUUUCGGACACAUGCCAAGAUUUGGCAAAGUGGUUUUUCUGGCCAACGAUGUAUCAAGAUAGAAAGGAAUUUGUUAGAAGAUGCCAUAGAUGCCAAAAACAUGGGAGCAUCAACUCAUGAGAUGCCAUGCCACUCAUAAACAAUCUCCAUGUUGAACUCUUUGAUAUUUGGGGAAUUGAUUUCAUGGGGCCAUUCCUAAAUCCAAAAAUUGUGAGUACAUCUUAGUGGCUGUAGACUAUGUAUCCAAAUGGGUAGAAGCCCUACCAUGUUGAAAUGCUGAUUCCAAUCAUGCUAAGAAAAUGUUCCACGAAAUCAUAUUUCCUCACUUUGGUACACCCCGAAUGGUUAUAAGUGAUGGAGGAUCACACUUUAUAGACAAAGUCUUUCAGAAGUACCUAGCAGAUCAUGGAGUGUGUCACAACAUUGCAACACCGUACCAUCCUCAAACUAGCGGUCAGGGAGAAACAUCUAACAAGCAAAUUUAAAAUAUUUUACAAAAGACCGUAGACGAAAUGGGUAAGGGAUGGAAGGACAAACUCCCUGAUGCGCUUUGGGCUUACCGAACUACAUACAAGACACCUAUUGGUAUGUCACCCUAUCAACUUGUAUAUGGGAAGACGUGCCAUUUACCUAUUGAGUUAGAAUUCAGGGCCCAUUGGGCAAUUGAGAAGUGGAACAUGGAUCUCCACCUAGCUAGCAAGAAUUGUCAAAUGCAACUUUCUGAGCUAGAAGAAUGGAGAGAAAAAGCUUAUCACAACUCUAAAAUCUACAAAGAAAGAACUAAAAGAUGGCAUAAUAAGAGAAUCAAGCAUAAAGAGUUUAAUCCUAGAGACAAUGUUCUACUUUUCAACUCAAGAGUCAAGCUUUUCAAACAUGGUAAACUACGAAGCAAGUGGGAUGGACCUUACAAGGUCAUCAACACUUCAACUCAUGGACCCAUGACCAUCCAAGAUGAUACAGGUAACACAUUUAAGGUACAUGGCCAACACUUAAAAGUUUAUCUUGAGCCACAAAUCAACAUGGUUGAAGAACUUGAUGUGAUUGAGUUCUUAGAAAUCAUUCACUAAAUUCAUACAUCAUAAUAAAAUUGGUGAAAUGCUAAGAUUAGAAUUUAUACUUUUUGGUAUCUUACACCAGAGAGUCCCUUUUAUUUUCACCAUUUUCUUUCUAUGAAUGAAAAGCCAGGUACAAUUUUGAAGAAGUGUGGGGGAGGUGCCAACCCAUUGUGAAUAAAUAUGCUGAGCACUUCAUGGACUGAUGGGGGAGUCUGCGUACAACUACUAAAACUCGGUUUGAUCUUUCUUGAUUCACUCAUAUGCCUACUGUGUUUCGCACUUGUUAUGCACUUGCAUUACCUUGCAAAUUAAAAAGAACCAAGAUCCACACAUAGAAUUGAAAUUUGAAGAGUGACAAGAUGAUGGCAUUCUUGAGAUAUAAGCUUGCAUGAAGAUUGUUUCAUAUACAUACACUUAUGCUUAUGGGAAAAAUAUUCUAAUAGAAAAAUCAUAUUGACUAAGUUGUUGUGGAGUGUGACAUAGUUUUGGCACAGAAAUCCUACUAGUUCUAUUCAAGGAACUUGGAUAUUUCAUGAAGCUAUCUACAUAUGCAGCUUGCUAUUAUGUUGAGUGUGGUCAAACUUUGUGAUCCUUCGAGAGAUUUAUCAUAUUCCCAAAAUCAAGAUUCACUUGCAGCCACAUAUAUAUGCACUGCUCUUACAUUGGGAGUAGGCGCAAAACAUGCCUUCCAUUUAGAUCCACCCAAAAUGUUUCUCUCCUACACUAGGAGUGAACACAAAAAUACCCCUAAUAGGUUUUCCAUCCACCAAAUAAAUGCUCCAAUUCUUGUUGCUAUCUCUCAAAUGUCUUUGUUGUCAAAAAGAGUCAUGAGCUAUGCAAAAGUAAUAAAGAAAAAAGAAUAGAGGGAGUUAAAAAAGUGACAAGUGUCCUAAAGAUGAAAACAAUGAGUACUCAGAUACUCGCCUCCCUAAAAGGAAAAAGAAAAAAAGAUUGCUCAUGUUCUCUGGCCAAGUUUUUAAAGAGAGAUAUAUUCAAGGAGUAUAGUAGAAUUAGGGUUUUCCAAUUCCACCAUAUAUCCACUAAAUAUCCACACACAUGCACAUCUUGAUCUAAGAGUAUGAUAUUUUGCUCCUCGGGUUCAGAUUUUGACUUUACAAUAUAUGCAACACAAGUAUGCCACAACAACUAUCUCUACCUGAGCUCCACAUAAGCUAUCAGUUGUAGGAAAAGAAGAGCAUAAUAAGAUACACCAUUGAGCGAUCGAGAGUACCAUUUGAGGAGUAAUAGUGAUCUAUGCUUUCCUUUUGUAAAAACUUUAAAAACUUCAAGUGGCUAAGAUGUGAAUCUGGGUAGGUGACUUCGCUUCAAGAACUGUUCCACUUUUCAACUGCCCAAGGACAUAUGUUAGCCAAUGCCACAUAUCCCACUUGUGUGAGUAAUGUUUUGGAAUAAUUUUUAUGUUAGCUAUAUAUAUAUAUUUGGAUGUUAUGAUCAUGAUUACUUUUAUCUUUAACCUUUACUCAAGGAUGAGCAAAGAGCAAGUGUGGGGGAACUUGUUGACGGUGGAUAACGUCAGCUCUUAUUAGAACUUUAGACAUGAAAGGAUACAUGAAUACCCACUAGUCUAGGGUUUUAACUGACAAUUUCCAUGAGUUUUGCAUGUUUUGUACUUCCCAGAGAUUAUUCUAGAAAAUCAUAAAAGAAGGAUUAGAGUGCAUAAUUAUCACGAAACUUAUCUGCCAUCAUUAGGCACAGGAAGGAUCUAGAAGUCACCCGAAGGAACGAGACCCGCAGAGGAGACAAGGUGGGGCCGGUCGGUGCCCUAUUUCGCCCGAUGGCCACCGCCUUCUAGAGUCUUUCUCCUACACCUCCUUGGAAGCCAGGAAAAGUAUCCCUCCAUCGAUUUUAAGUCGGUUUCAUCCGAUAGUGCACACAAGUUGAAGACGCGGAUCGCUGACGUGGCGGUUCCUUGCCCCCUACUCCACCUCAGCCUAUAUAAGGACGCCCAAGGCCCUCUCCUUGAGGCAUUCUACACCCCGGUGCUUCAUAUUCUCUACACAAAUUAGGGUUAGUUGUGUCCCUCUAGUUCAUCUAGUUCUAGUUUUUCUAGUUCUAGUUAUAGUUCGUCUAGUUCUAGUUCUUCUAGUUCUAGUUCUAGUUCAUCUAGUUGUAAUUAGAAGAGGGAGAGAGCGAAGGAGGAGCCAGAUCUAUCAGAUCUUCCUCGACAUUGUACUUUUGCAGUAUCUGGUUCAUCACUCAGCAAUCUUCAGGUGCCUUAAUUACUAUUCUAAGUUCUUUAUUUACUUAAUUUUAGUACUUUAAGUUCAUUUAUUUGUUUCUCGCUUGCAUCAAGUGCUCUAGUCUUUGCAACGCUAGAGUAGUAAUUAAUAGGUUAGGCGUGGUGCUUAGUCUAUAUAUUACCUAGAAUUACACCCAGUUCUACGGAUAGUUGUGGUAGCCCUAGGUGGUGACAGCCCUGACGGCCGACGUAUUCCACCACGUUUGGAUUGGUGUUGUAGGACCGUAGUCGGAGCUUCCUAGUCCCCUUUCUCAUGUGUCUGUGGCUAGUGUUCUGAUGUCCCAAAAUAAGUAGACUUUAAUGUCAAUUUGAUUUAUAGAUCCAUUAGAGAACCUUUAGAAAUAUCCUCUCUACCCACUAAAAAUACUUUGACCUUUACUGUUGGACGAUCUUGAACCAUAAUUAGUACACUUCGCGUUCCUUGUGGAAAAUCGAUACUCUGGAAUACUCUCGGGUGAAAGCUACAUUGGUAUCCGUGCGCUUGCGGAUUUCUCUGUUUGCGUUUAAAAUACCCAACAGUGGCAUACUAUGAGUGGCUGACACUUUCGUCAUAUAAAUGAAUAUUUUCAUCACAGAUCAAAGUACAAUAAGGUCACAGAAACCUGAAUUUUCAUCACUAAUCACUUUAUAAUAACAUUACAAAACUCAGAAUUUUGGUCUCUGAUCACAGUAUAAUAAGAGUAGACCAAAUGCUUACAUAACUUAGCAAAUCUAGUAUUAUGGUCACCAUACAACCGACACUACUUAACUCAGUUCAUAUGUAACAUAGAACAACAGAUCAUAGCAACUAAACCAACCACUAGAAAAACAUAAAGCUCCAUACUAAAGCAGUGACAGCAAUAUAACAUAUCUAAACUAGGGACAGAGCCAACCACCAGCAACAUCACUUUCAUCUUUGUUCACUGAAGAUCACAGCAAAUUGGCACCCACCAGCAACAGCACAGUUUGCAUACACAAAAUCAGCGGCACCGACCAGAGAGUAAGAGCAGCUCAUGUCGAAGUAGCGGCUGCAAGAAGAGCAAAGUAGAUUAACUAUAAAUUGCACACAUUAUUGGAUAACAUAAUACUAUUGAGCAGAAACAUGUAGGAGGAACAGGUGGAGCAAUGAGUUUGAUCAGUCAGAAGAAAAACACAUUAGCACAACAACAAAUACCUUUCAUGUCGAAGGACCGUUGUUGAGGGACAAGAGACGCUUGAUCAACACAUUGUUCUACUCUAGUGCCUUGUUGGUGAUCUCUGACAUCUUCUUCAUCUCCUCCAUCUUCUUUUCCUACAUUUCCAGCUUUUUCUCAGCUUCUACACUUUUCUGCUUGAGCUCCUGGAGUUCAGUUUGUACAAUAGCCCUAGCUUCAGCUGCCAGUUGUUCCCGAAGCUCGUUUUCAUUUAAUGAUGAUGCUUUGGAAGAUCCCACUGGCUUGAUGCCAAGACUCUUCAGGAAAUGGUUUGAACUAUUUUUGGGGAGCACCUGAGAAACCACUUGCACACUACAUACUCCUGUCUCACCUUCAGGAACAGGGUCUGCCCUCAAAGCUUCCAUGUUUGCCUAUAAUUUGAAGCCAACAAUGACCAUAUAUUUGACAUAAAGCAUAGGUAGUGAAAACUUAAACAAUCAACAAGGUAUUUUUCCUUCUAAAAUGUACCGAGGAACAAUGCUGCAACUACAAGUAUAAAUGUAUCUCAAGAAGCCAGGAAAUUCAUUAAUCUAGCAUCUCAUGCUAAUCAAAGUGUGAACUGGUUCAUCUCAAACAGGAAUAGAUCAAGUAUAAGACAUGGGUGUAGGGGCAGACCCAGAUCAAAGAACAAUAUUGUUGGUUUAAGAUAGGUAGUGAAAAUUUAAACAAUCAGCAAGGUAUUUUGCCUUCUAAAAUGUACUAAGGAACAGUGCUGCAACUACAAGUAUAAAGUGUAUCUGAAGAAGCCAAGAAAUUCAUUAAGCAAUCAUCUCAUGCUAAUGAAAGUGUGAACUGGUUCAUCUCAAGUAGGAACAUAUCAAGUAUAAGACAUGGGUGCAGGGGCAGACCCAGAACAACGAACAAUAUUGUUGGUUUGUAUAUAAGUUACUAAAAUCCAUCACUACAAUUUGUUAUUGGAACUGGACAUGUUAUCCAAUGGAUGCACAAAACAACAUAGCAAAAGAGAUGUUGGGACUUAUAACUGCCUCUCUUGCUGGUUCACUAAGACCAUGCUUGGAGCUAGUAUGGCAGGUCUUGAAGGCCUCCACCACAUCAAGUUCUUCAUUGUCUAUGUUGGGUUCCGCAUUGUUCCUGUUCUGCUUCUAUGUCAUAAAGAAUCAAUUUCAACAGUUUUGUCAGUCUUAUGAUGCAAAGUCAGUCUUAUGUAGUGAAUGAGUUACUUACAUAUGUAUGCAAGUGCGCCACAUAGCUACGAGAACCGGUAGUCUCAUGAUACUUGACUCUACUGUGAUUAUUCUUGUUCUUUUCACUUGUUUCCUAAAAGAGAUUGAACAUAUGAGAUGAGUUCAUAGGUUUAAAAUGAGAAGAUCCAUUAGAAAGUGAAUGAGAUAGAAUAUAUGACAAGAUACCCAUACCAUGUUCUUUGGAUUAGUCCACUUUGCGACCAAUGCCUGCCACUCUUGAUCAGACAUACUUGAAACUAGAGAAGUUGUGGGAAUCUCAUUUGCAAGUACAUCAUUGAAGUAUUUCUUCUUCAGCCGAUACCUCAUUUGUCGGACCCCAGAGCACAGCACAUCGGUGCAAGUUUCCUCAGUUGGCUUGUCCUUAUCGUUAAUGGCCAAGCGCCCCUAGACAUAUGACAACUCCACUUUUAGUUAGUCAAUUUAGCUUAAGAAGAUAUUCAAGUCGACCAUUGAAAGAGUAAGACACUUAUAGAGAGCUUUCCCAAAAAAUCAUUGUAAUAUUUUUCAUCUUUCUUGUACAAUUUCCAAUGGGGUAGGAUAGGAACCUUAUUUCGAAUGAUGACACCAGACUCAGACGCAAACUUGGUUGCCUGAACAGGUUCAUCUAGCCUUCUUUUGCCUUGAGCAAUAGCUAUGGGCAGUCUCCUACCCAUAGCUUUUGUCAUCCUGUCCAGCCGUGAUCCCUUGGUUGGUGGCCUGCGUUCCCUUGGGGCUCGCUGUGUAGGAGCUACAAAAUAGAUUUUGAAUUUAUUUCAUGCAAAUUAGCCAAAGAGAUGACUUGUUGGAAUGGCAAAUAAACUAUAACUUGUCUUCAGUGUCUUCCUCUCAAUGGUGUUCAUCAUGACUUGUAUUGCCUUGAGCAGCACCUCCACUUUCUUCCUCUGCAGGUGUAGUGUCCUGAACACUAGCUGCAUUGCCUUCUUCUGCAGCUGUGGAAGACCUUUGUGCUAUUUCUUCUUCAUUGUGCCCUUGUGUUGCUAGAAAUGAAGCCUUUUGAUAUUCUUGUUUGUGAUUGAGGAGGUUGCACCUCUGAACCUUCAGAUGCCCUGACUCUUUGGCUAGCCCUUACUCCUAGAGGCAUGUUGUCACCUGUCUUCUUCCUCUUUGAAGCUUGGCCUCUAGGAAAAGGAGUAAACCCUAGAGGAUACUAUGGAAAAAAACAAGUAAGUCUCAUAUACAACAACACUAGUAAACAUAGUAUUUGAUAUCAUGAAGUUUAAACAAAAUUAACUUCUGAACAUAUCAUUUCAAACUUUUCAUUCAUAUAUACAUAACCAAAUCCCAUGGUAGGGAAAACAAAAAUUAAAUCAUUGUUAACCUCAAGUUGUAGGUGCAUAUUAUCCCUAGCCUUGAUCUGAUCACCAUACCUUGAAUAGAUGAGUUUAAACAAACAAGUACUGUUAAAUGUAUUCUGAGAGCAGGGCACUAAUUUGUUCUAAACAUUUGGAUGAAGACAACACAAAUGCACAAGCAAAUAGUGAAACGGAUUACAAUCAAGUGUACAUGUUUAUACUUUUUAGGUAGCUUUGGAUAAGAAAUACCAGUUGUACUUAAGUAACAUAUAGGGAAUUUAUAUCAUGACCAAGUGUCAAAAAUACAGAAACUUAUACCUUGGUUGCUAGUGGUUGUGGCUGAUCAUCAGAUUCAGUGUCAUCAUCAUCACUAUCUCCUUGAUCAUCACUGUCAAGGAGAUACUCCAAUGAAUCCGAAUCUUCACUAUUUGAUUUCUUGGUUGCUGAUUUUUUGCCCUUAUUUGAUGCAGAUUCAGGUAUAGUUUUUUUAAAUAGUAGCUAAUUUUUUUAGUCCAAGUUCUUGCAUCUUCUUUUCUACGGCCGCCACUUGUGCAUCCUGCCUUUGCUCAUAAAUUGUUUUUGGAGGUUCUUACAAGAACAAGCAAAUUGUGUCUAUUAGAAAACGAAUAGGAGUGAACUAAUAGGUAAGAGCUACGAAUGCUAGAUGCUGGAUAUAUUAGCGGUAGUAGAUACUAGUGUCUCGUGAAGAGCAAAGAGAUAAGAGGUCAUAGUUUAUAGGCAACAAGUAAUAGGUCAGAGCUCAGAGGUACUAAUUUUUUAAGUAAUGAAGCAGAAAUACUCUAUCAAUACACAUGAAUGCAGGAAAUGCACAAAGUUCUAUCUGUAUAACAAAUACAUAGACAAUUCCAGGUCAUUAGAGUGAUUCAUCAUGGUUGUCUGGAUAGUUCUUAGGUAGCUGACACAACAAACAAACAAAAUUCAAAUAAGACACCUUAAAUGCCUAUCAACAAUGUAAGCAGGCAGAAACACAAUAAGGAUUUAGAGGUAAAAGGAGACAAGAAACAUAAUGCCAUGUCAAAGUUGAUGAAUAGGCUCCUCUUAACAGUUUCAGACAAUAUAGAAUUGUCAGCUAAUUUGCUACUGUAUAUGUCACCAUCCUUUUAACACUGUAUAAUCAAAUAAAACUGGCAUACUUUUGUGAGACCUCCCUCUGGUCACCCCUCCCUAGACUGGUACGUGCUCUCCAUGAACCUGCUGCGUUGUUUGUUCUGCAGCCACCAAAAAGGCAAGAGGGAUGGAUGAGUAGCAGCAGCAAAAUUCCAGAAGACCUACAAAACUCAGAUAUCUUCCUUCCUUGAUUCCUACCUUUUUCUUGUUCUGCAGAUAUAUUCCUUCCUUGAUUCCUUGUAUACACCAUUCCGCUUGUGGCUUAGCUGCGGAUGUAGACGAGGUGGUUGGUGGCAGUGGUCAUCGAAGGGGACUUCAGGGAUGCACAUGAAACAAAUAAACAAUUGUGUUUCAAAUGUUGAUAAACCAUGCAUUGUUGAUUUUAGAGGUCAGCCUUGCUUUGUCAAUAAGCCUCGAUGACCUUCACAAAUUAUACUCAGUCGAAUAAUGAUUAUGAAUUUCAGAUUGAGGGAACCAAUUGUAGGUUAAAUUGUUUGAUUAAGUGAUAGGAUUACCAUCUGAUAUAUUUAUUUUUGUAGUAAAUAUUUUCAUAUGCACUGUAAUGGCAAUGUUUGGGUUACAAAAUUAGUCACAAUGCCAAUCAAUGCAAAUGUAAGUAGUUCAUGGUUGAUUUUAAGCACUUCAUUCAUUAGCUAUGCUCUUGUUGCUGUCAGAUAGCAGUAAGCGAUGGCAUAACAGAAUUGCUCUAGUGACUUGUUUGUCAGGCCAAGGCUAAUAUUUGGUAAAUCAGAUCUAAGGGCAGACUCCUAUGAAACUUACUAGGAUAAAUAUAUACAAAUGAUUAUCAGACGCAAUGCAGUUCAAAUUGAGGACAACAGACAUGUACCCAUAAUAAUCUGGUGGAAGGGGGGAGGGGGUGGGGAAAUUAGCAACUGACCAGUAGGCGUGGUCGCAGCCCUUUACGAGGGCCGUCUCCUGGCGGGCUAUCCUGUCGAGGCUGAUGGCACACACCCCGCAAUCCACCGCCGCCGCCCAGUCACUGCCGCCCAGUCGCAACCCGGGGAGGCGAAACUCACCUCGCCAAGGGUGACACAGGCCGUCGAUGGGGAAGCAGAUGCACUCCUUGUUCUUAGGGUUUCGGGGAUUGAGGACGGCGGUGCGAUAGGUCAUGGGGUGUGCAAGAGAGGAGGGAGAGGUGGAUGCGGUGAAAGAUGGCGACGGCGACGCAGCUCGCGGGCGAGGAAGCAGCUCGGGGAUGACGGUUCUUCGUGCGGUGGCACCUAGGUUUAAGAAAUGUGUGUGGGGGUGGGGGAGGUGCGGGGCAAGAGAGGAUGAGUGGAUGGGGGUGACGAGGGAGUGGGGGUAAUUGCUAAAUUAGAGGUAGUUAGGCGGCAUUUUUUUUUGUGGCAUUUUUUUUUCUCCUUGCCGCCCUGUGAUGUUUUUUAUUUUGGUGGUAAUUUUUCCCUCCAGGGAUAGUAGGUAAUGAUGUUAUCUUUUUUUAACUUAUUAUCUCCACAGAUAGUACAAUAAUGAGUAAUGAUUUAUCUCAUUUAUUUUCAAAACUCUUUUUACAUUUUGUAGGUAUGAUGUUACUUAUUUGUUGAAAAACUAAAUGAUACAAGUUUGGAAGGAAUUUAUAAAAACUUGCAAUAACACAGAACAAGCCUCACUUAGGCUAUUUUAACAUGAACAAUAUUUUGGUGUAUGAUGAUGACAUAAAAGUUUCAAAGGAUUUCGACAAAGUGGUACUAUACCUAGGUAUUUAAACAUGAACAUCUUCUACUUUGUUAUAAGGAUAUAAGUUAACAUGUAUGCCGUUGUGCGGAUGUGCAUGACCUCUUUCUCAUAAAAAGUUGAAACUUUUUUUAACAUAUUACACCAAACUGAGGUGUGCAAGCCAUUUUUUAGAAAUUUUGGGCUAGCUUUUGGGUACUCUAACAUUUAUCCAUCACUAAUGCAACAUAAAAUUACAACAAUAGGUAAACUUGGUCUUAAAAUUGCAUAGAUGCACGCAACUUCAUAGGUUUGAUCCAUAAACAUACCAUAAAAAUUUAGAAUGAUUUUGACAUCUUGUACAAGCAUGAACAAAUAAUAAGUAGUUACAAGGUAGCUUAAAGCUUUUAUGCUUUAGUCAUUCAACAAAUAAGUGUAAUAAUAGCUAAAAAAAGUAAUAAGAUGUAUGAUAAUCAACAAGGUUGAUGAUUAAGCAAUAAUAUAGUACUAAUUAAUUACAAAUCGGGCAAAUAAAUGAACAUAAAAAAAUAAGAAAUUAAAAAUAAGCACAGAAAAAAUUUGGAAAACAAAAAAAAAUGGCUCCCGUGAGGUACGAACCCGGGAGCUCAGGGAGAAACUUGGAGUGCCUUACCAUCACGCUAUUGAAGUAUGUUCGUGAAGAAUGGAGCGUAUUUUUUACUUAAUCAUGAGCGUAAGCGUGACCAAAUAGAUAGGCCUGCAGGCUGGCCCAUUGUUCCCUGUGUUAGUCAUUGUGGGCACCCCUCUUGAUGCAGCGCACAUCGCGGCCACGGAGACCUCCUCGAUGGCCAUCCUUCGGCUCCCCUGCCCACUACAAAUACCUCGACCUCCGCUAGUUUGCAGCCCUGUUUCCCUUCCGGCCCUCAUGUAGCCGCCCCCUGCUUCACCGUAUCCUGUCGCCCCCAUCGCUGUUGGGCACUGAGUCCAUCCACCACGCAUCCCGCUGUAGGCGAAGUGGAAUCGACGAAGGUGUAGCCGUCCACACAUGUCGUCUUGCCCUCUCGUUCUCUGCUCAUUUCCAUGGCCUCUCACGCAGAACAUCUGGACACCGGCAACAUGUUCAACAAAAUGAACAAGAAGGCGGCAGCAUGAAGCAGCCGCAUCAGCAGCCUCCCUGACACGCUGCUACAACUGUUGACGGUCCUUAAGUAUCAACUUUAAUCAUCAAAUAAACAAGGAAAAGGAUCCAUAUGCAAAUACCACCUAGAAUUAGGGUUUGAUUUGAUAGAAUUCCAUGAGUUUUGAUGUUUAUCUAUUUUUGCAAGGGGUUAUGAGGAAAUAUGGAGGAAGAGCCCACACAUCGGGUUAUAGAGAUAUUAACGUGUACGCCAAUUUUCCUCGAUCUAGAACACUCUAGAAGCCACGGGAACGAGCAGGAGGUCGAGCGGGCCCGAGGGCAGGGCACCCGCCCUGAACCCUAGGGCGCCUGCCCUGGCUCAGUAGCCAAUAAGGCUGAGUCUCGCGGAUUAUGCUCCACCGCCUUUGAGGAUCAAAGAAAACCAUGCAAUUAAGGUCGGUUUGAUCCGAUGGUCCACGUUCAUUUGAGAGGGCUAUAUAAGCAAGGCCCCUGGCCCCUGGAGGAGGGCAAUCCCAUUAUUCAUUUGCAUAUUUUCUAGAGAGGAUUCGCAGAGAGAGGUUCCUCUAGGGUUCCAAUCUCCUAGGGCUUAGCAUCCAAUGUGAGAUUAGAAUUUAUUCUUCUAAAUUGAGAGAGAUAGAGUGAAGGUGUAGAUUGGAGGAAGCCUGGCCUAUUGGUGUCUUCUCCAAGUUGUACAUGCAGGAUCAAGUCUCCUAACUCGAGGCUUGCUCCUAGGAUUCUUCGGUAUUUUGACUUCUAAAUUCUAGUAAGUUCUUUGUUCUUAUUUUUCUUUGGUUUGUGAGUUUACUUUAAUCACUUUGCAUAGAGUUUAGAGUAAUCAUCGCUAGCGUAAAUGUGGUGUUUGGGCUAGGACACUCAUAGAUACCCUCUGUCUAGCCGGACUGUGGUAGUAGCAAGGAACGUGACAAUUCCAUAGCUACCUUUGUAGCCCAUAAUCCCGUUAGCAGGAUCAGUAGGGUUUAUAGGUGUGGGUUGAACAUCCUUUGUGGUGUCUAGAUUCCGUAAGCCUCCCUAAUAGAGCAGUAGAUCAUCCUUACCAAGGUUAGAAUGAAGAUGCAGUCAUAGUCUUCUCUAUACAUUUCUCACAGCAAAUCACUUUGGUUGUAGCCUAAAGGUUAGUAGAUGUUGACGGUCCUUAAGUAUCAAAUUUAAUUAUCAAAUAAACAAAGAAAAGGAUCCAAAUGAAAUCAACAUCUAGACUUAGGGUUUUAUCUGACAGAAUUCCACGAGUUUUGGUGUUUGUCUAUUUCUACAGGGGGUUAUCAGGAAAUAAGGAAGAAAGGCCCACAUGUCGGGAUUACAUAGAGAUAUCAACCCACCGCGCAAUUUUCUACCAUCUAGAAGACUCCAGAAGCCACGGGAAGGAAGCGGAGCCCGAAAGGGGCCAGGCCCAGGGCGCCCGCCCACCUCUGGACCCCGUUCCGGACUCUCUUCGCACACGACGUUCCACCGACCUAUUGGAUCCAGAAUAACAUAGUACCACCUCGUCUAUCGACCCAAAAACGCAUAGAAGGGGAGGACUAUAUAAGGAGACCCCCUCUGCCCCCUGGAGGAGACAAGAAAUUAUCAUAGAGAUUGAGGGGUGCCCUCGAAGGAAAACCUCUUAUCUAAAUAAUAUUUCUUUUUAGGCUUAGCAACCAAUGUAAAGUAGAAAUAGAUCUUCUAGUUUCUACUAGAUUGAGAGAGAUAGAGUGGAGGUGUGGAUCGGAGGAAGGCCGGCCUGUCGGUGUCUACUCCGAGUUGUACCUACGGGAUCAAGUCUCCUAACCCAAGGCUUGCUUCUAAGAUUCUUCAGUAAUUCGACUUCUAAUACUAGUAAGUUCUUGUUUUAUUAUUCUUUGGUUUAUGAGUUUACUUUAAUCCUCUUCCGGUUGAGUAUUAGAGUAAUCACUUGUUAGCGUAAACGUGGUGUUUAGGCUAGGGUACUCAUAGAUAUCCCCUGACUAGCUGGACCGUGGUAGUAGCGAGGAACGUGACAAUUCCGAGUUACCUUUGCAGAUCACAUCUCGUUAGCAGGACGGGUAGGGUUAUAGGUGCGGGUCGAACAUCCUUUGUGUUGUCUAGAUUCCGUGAGCCUCCCCAAUAGAACAGUAGAUCAUCCUUACCAAGGUUAGAACGAGACUACGGUUGCAGUCUUCUCUAUACAUCACUCACAUCGAGAGACAUUCUUUGUAGCCUAAAGGGGUAGUAGCAAUAGAUUUGGUUAGUCAGAUGCACCCUUUCUCCCAGUGGUAAAAAUAUAAAUACGAUACUCUGGAAAACCUCCCGGGUGAAAUGCUCACCGAUAUCCGUGUGCUUGCGGAUCAUUUUCUAAUUGCGUUACCAAAUAUCAACAAGCAUUUCUGGCGCCGUUGCCGGAGAGAAAGACGGUUUGCUGAGAUAACUAUGAGUCUUGCUAUUAUCUUGUAUUAUACUUUUAUACUUUUAUUCUUUUAUCUUUUUAUCUUUAUGGAUAACUUAAAUUCCAUACCUAUUAUUAAAUUCUUUGCACCUUCGGAGACCAAUCAUAGACCAUGGGAGUCAACACGUCCUGCCCCUAAUUAUGAUCUGUGUCCGGAGUUGAUUGCAAUAGGUCAAAACCAACCCUUUUCUAUAGCCGAGGUCCUAUCUUUUAAUCAAAAAGAUAAUGCACUUUUAGCUACUCCUAGGGAAUCUGUUAAUCUUUCUAUAAAUUCUGGUUUAGACCUAGCCCUACAAGACCAUGUUUUUCCUAGAUAUUUUCACAUUGGUCUUAAUCAUAUAACCUUUGGUAGAGUCCUUCUUUCUUUAUCUAUUAGUAAAGGAAGGUAUGUCUUCAUUUGUGGACAUCCUUCUUGUACUAGUCUUCAUAGAAAAAUCUUAGAAAUAGAGAAGGAAUCAUCUCCCAGACGAGGAAAGGAAGUUUCAAUAGCCGAUUUCCAAACAUUUCAAUCCCAUAAUUCGGCUAUCCAACCCAUCCUUGAGUUUAAUAAUUUCUACUAUGCUCUUUCUCUUGAACCUCCCGACAAUCCUAUGAAUCUAUCUAGACAUCCCAUUCAUAAGAGUCACCAAGACUACAAGGAGGAUCAAGAAGAGCAACAUCAAUGGCUAGAGGGCAUUAAAAAUCCAUGUGCUAUCACCAUUGAAUGGAUAGAUAAAACAAACUUGAGAGACAAUCCUAGAGGAAUUUUAAGCAUUUAUGAAGAAUCAUCCUUGGAAUUUGAGAAUGAGAGAAACAACAGUGAGCAUGGAAGUUAUUUCAUAAAUACCUCACCAAGUCCUUGCUCAUAUAAAACAUCUCUUCAAUCAAUUGGUCUCUCCAACCUCAUCAUAUUUGAGAUCUCCAACGCUCUCUUCCUUUCUAUUUAUAACAACUUUAAAAGAGCGGUUGUCGAUGCAUAUGUCUAUAAUUAAUAUUGCAGAUCUCGUUGAGUUAAUUGAUGGUUUCCUAAGGACAAGCUUAGUGUCCUAAAACAAGCACUUCUAAUUAUUUGCAACAUUGCCUUGUGUAUUGAGCAUAUAAAGAUAAUUGUAGAAAUAUUUCUUCGGGUAUUCUUGUCACUAACCUUUCCAGGAUUGGAGCAAGAAGAUCGAAUGAAUGAUAAGCACAAGGUAUGUCCAACCAACCAUCACACAACAUUGAAUUAAAUUCAUCCAAACUUGAAUUUUGCAAAAUUCAAGCUUGGGGGAGUACUUUACAUAAAAACAUCCUUUGCCAUGCUGCUACGUUGGUUGUCCCUACCUUUGAGAGAUGCUCAAUUUGUUAAGUACUAAUUACACUACUUCACCUCCACUUGAGUAGAUCGCUAUAAAUGCUCUCAUGCUACCUUUAUUUGCUUUAGUAUAUGUCUAGGUUUGGAGUAGUUUCAUUUAUCUCUUAAAUCAAGCAUGGUGCUUAGUUUAGGAAUGAUGAUCUUACUUCCAAAGGAUUUUUUAAAAUUAAGCAUGGUGCUUAGGUUAAAAUGCCCUCCUAAAUCAAAUUAGACACGGUGUCUAGGUUGAUUUUUGAGCCGAUAGUAUGCGAUAGUAGAUAUGGGAUAUUUUGUUGGACUAACCCCUGCAGGAAAACUUUCAAUAUCAACCUGGGAAGUCCUGAGAUACAAACUCAUUGGAGAUAAAGGAGACACAUGAAGUUUAACAAUUUGCACAAGAAGGACAUAGCUCAUUCAUCAUAAGAGAUGAUUCAUGGAGGGUGCCACAAACACGAUGCACAACCACUAAGAAAGGAAAGCUUCCACAAGGUAAUACUAUACCAUCACUCUUCAAUAACAUCUUAAGGUACUUGACUAUCACUUUUAUAAACUUCUCCUUGGUUCUAGCGUUCAUAUAAAAUAAAGAGACAAACAUGUAUGAUUUGUAGCUCCAAAUUAAUCAACCCAAUUAAUUCAACAUGUUUAGUCCUUUAAUCUUUGUUCUUAGUACUACCUUCGUGAUCCCACACUCCUAAUUAUAUAAGUUAAAAUGUCGCACAUUCAAUCUUUGGAAGAUAUAAACAAAACAUAAAUAGAUUAUCUUUCCAUUAGGUUGAGCCAUCUGAUCUAACAAAUGUUUUAAAUGUUACACUAAUGAUCCAUCAACUUUGUCUUGCUGACUAUGCUUAAGGUUAGAGAAGAACAAAUACACUUUUGGUUCUAUUGGUGUUUUCCACCAACAGGGCCCAUGCACUUGAUCUCUGCCUUGUCUCUAUGAAGCAGGACACAUUUUGAGAAACGUGAAAGAGUUUUACAACUCCUAGACUUCGCCAAGUGAAGGACCGGGAUCUACGAGCACAAACACAAUGGAGAUCAGACACUUAGUUUCCCAAAGGAAAUAUUGAAGAACCUCUGUGUCCGAGUUGGUACCUUGUACGCUCUAGCAGACUUCAUGGUGAUAGAGACUGGUACUGAGGAGAGGGCACCCAUCAUCUUAGGGAGGCCAUUCCUAAACACUAGAGCUGUCAUCUACGCUAAUGCUGCCAAGAUCAGUCUCUACAUCAAGGGGAAGAAGGAGAUUUUCCUUCAAGAACAAGACUACACAAACUUCAAGAAUCCCGACACGAACCAAGAAAGAGGACCAACAGGAGGAACAGGAACAAACAAAUGUGGACGGAGUCAGCUAAGAUGGUCACUGCAGUUCAAAGAGGUCAAGAUCGUCGACUCAAGUCGCCAUUCCUUAUCAAGAAGGACAACCCUGGUGUUCCAAGCAUCGAGUGCACAAUCAACGGAUACUCUUUUCAGAAGACACUCUACGACACUGGAUCUAACGACAACAUAAUGGCCGCAGUCACUUAUCAGCUCCUGCAUGGAACCAUGCUCCUACAACCAAGAUACAUUCAGCUUCAGACAAUUUUCAGGUCAUUGACAUGGGAGAAGACGAGUAUGAUCCAUCCACCAUCCUUGGAAGACCGUUCCUCAGCACUAUCAAAGCCAUUAUCUAUAUUGGAACCGGAGAAAUCCACAUGUACUUCCCCUCUGAAAAGGUACGCCACCACUUUAAUGAUUCUAACUAUAUAGUUGAAGAUUCUAAGCAGGUCAGGACAAGAAGAAGACAACGCAACCGAAACCAGAGGAGGCAAAUCAUCAAGGACGGAUGGGUAGACUACGAAGGAGAAGUGAUAAGGACUGAAGACAUACACUUGAACAGAACUGUCCUGAGGAGACCGUAACACCGAGUCAGGUAUGGAAAAUGAAGAUAACUAUAAAUGAAGAGGAGGCGCUGCCAGAAGUACCGACUACGCCACCCAACGAACCUCAGGACGAUUAAGAAAAUGGAGAGUCCCGUUCGGAGGACUUAAAAACACCGAACGCCUUGCCAAGAGGUAAACUUGGUAGUUAUCCUUUCCCUUUUAAUUAUUUCAAAUAGUUUACUUAGUUAAUCAUGUUCAUAUUAUCCUAGAAAGAAAAUAAAAAUAUGAAAAAAAAAACUGUAAGCCCCAUGUGAGUAGACGAGUGGCAUAAAACCCAUAAGUACAUUCACUGUGGUGGCAUAAAAAUAAAAUAAAUAUUUUUCUGCUUUAUAAAAACAAAAAUAUAAAAACAGGGAGUAAUAUUUAUUAAGGAGUCUUAACAUGAUAAAGGCUAGAUAUUUAUGCUAACACUUAAUCAGUUCCACAAGCUAUGUUGUCUAUUUGAGCUCCACAGAAUUUAAGAAUCAAGAAGACUAGUAGACGGAGAACAUUCUAAUCGCUGUCACAAUGCUGCUGACUUUCAAAUACACCUCUGCCACCUGCUAGCUACAUCAAGAGAAAUUACGUCAAAAUUCAGCUUGGGGGAGAGCACCCCCAUUUAUCUCGAUAAGUAUUUCUAUCUAUCUUUAUACUUAUAUUAUUUUAGAAUAUAAAUACACAUAAACUAUGGAAAACCAAAUAAAGAUUUUAUGCUUAUAUAUAUUUUGCUUAGUGUGUUUAAUAAAUCAAUAAAGUGGCUAUGCUAAUCUAUAUCUAAUAAAACUUAAGCAUGGAUAUGAUGAAUAGUUGCUCUGCCUAAUUUGCAAAUUUGAAGUUCUCUCUCAAGUUUAGAUAUAACUGUUAUAAUUUAAGGCUUGCUCUAGACCUAAACUUGUGGGAUGAAAACUUGAUCUGAAGUCUAAGUUGUUAACGGAUACGAUAUGGGAAGGUUGAGCUGCUGUUUAUCUGUUCCUAGAGAUGCUAGAAUUCUGGAGAAUUUUAUCUUUGAAAAUCUUUAAAAUGUUGCAUGAUGAGUUCCUGUAUGAUGAGAGUUUAAAUUCCUACCACAGCCAUAUAUACAUGCUUGCUAGACUUUGAGCCACACAUUUACUAUUUACUGCUUAUGAGCAUUGAGUGUGGUCAAGCUGUGUAGACCCUUAGGAACUUGUCAUGUGGUUAAAUCAAGAUUUCACUUGCACGUUCACUCAUAUAUGCUACUUCUACUCCGGAAGUACCAUCCACAUAUAUCCACCCAUUCCAUCUCCAGAAUCACCCAAAAAUAUUCUACUCCUAAUCCGGGAGAGAAUAACCAAAAAUAUUUCUGUUUUCCCCUUGUGAAAUAAAUGCUCAAGUUAUCUUGUUACUACCACUUGCUAUAUUAUCUCAAGAGAUGAAUGCUCUAAAAAAAGAAAGAAAAGAAAAAAAAGAGAAAAAAAAGAGAUACGAGGAAAUAAAAAGGAGCAAGUGCUCGGAACCUCGAAAGAAAAGAAAAAGUGAGACGAGAGGUAAAAAUGGACAAGUGUCCGACAGUAGAAUUAGGGGUGCAAGAUACCCACCUGAGAGAAAAGAAAAAGAAGAGCAUCUCAUUCUCCUCAUAUUGUUUCAAAAGCAAGGAAGGUAUGUAUCCCCUCAACGAGCAAAGUAGAUUUAGACUUCCACCACCAUUACUUCCACCAUUGUUAUCACCAUCAUCACCAUACACCAUUCAUUCGCCACACAUGCACAUCUUGAUUUGGCUUAUUGAUUUGUUUCUUUGGAUCCAUGGUUUGACUAUACAAUAAAUGUCUUGUAAGUAUGUAUACUUUAUCUCCCACCUAUGAGCUCCAGAUAUUAAAGCCUUAUUAGAGUAGGGUGAGAGAGAAGACAAUGUCACUAUGCUUCAUACCACAAAUACUACAUAUUUUGAGAGAAGGCAUAUACCAUCACUGCCUUAGUAAGGAUCCGAAAAUACCACAAAAGAGAGACCUGAGAGAAUCAUACAAGGAAAUUCUGAGUUUUAUUUGAAAAUCUGCAAAAAACCCCAGAGCUAUAGCUGAUCAAGAAUAAGAGACAUGGCACUUGGCUAGACUGUUCUAUCUUUUAACCACUCAAGACAGAAGUGACGGUUACAAGUCCUAUGGUGUAGGUAAAGUAAGUAAGUUUUAAGUCUUAACAGUUUAUUCUAACUCAGAGAUGAGAUCUUGCUUAAUUGCGUGUGUACUUCUAAGAAAUGAAACCACUGCAGAAACUCUUGAGUUCAUCCUUGCUCAGGGACGAGCAAGAGGUAAGCUUGGGGGAGUUUGUUGAUGGUCCUUAAGUAUCAAAUUUAAUUAUCAAAUAAACAAAGAAAAGGAUCCAAAUGAAAUCAACAUCUAGACUUAGUGUUUUAUCUGACAGAAUUCCACGAGUUUUGGUGUUUGUCUAUUUCUGCAGGAGGUUAUCAGGAAAUAAGGAAGAAAGGCCCACAUGUCGGGAUUACAUAGAGAUAUCAACCCACCGCGCAAUUUUCUACCAUCUAGAAGACUCCAGAAGCCACGGGAAGGAAGCGGAGCCCGAAAGGGGCCAGGCCCAGGGCGCCCGCCCUGAGGACCUGGGCGCCCGCCCACCUCUGGACCCCGUUCCGGACUCUCUUCGCACACGACGUUCCACCGACCUAUUGGAUCCAGAAUAACAUAGUACCACCUCGUCUAUCGACCCAAAAACGCAUAGAAGGGGAGGACUAUAUAAGGAGACCCCCUCUGCCGCCUGGAGGAGACAAGAAAUUAUCAUAGAGAUUGAGGGGUGCCCUCGAAGGAAAACCUCUUCUCUAAAUAAUAUUUCUUUUUAGGCUUAGCAACCAAUGUAAAGUAGAAAUAGAUCUUCUAGUUUCUACUAGAUUGAGAGAGAUAGAGUGGAGGUGUGGAUCGGAGGAAGGCCGGCCUGUCGGUGUCUACUCCGAGUUGUACCUACGGGAUCAAGUCUCGUAACCCGAGGCUUGCGUCUAAGAUUCUUCAGUAAUUCGACUUCUAAUACUAGUAAGUUCUUGUUUUAUUAUUGUUUGGUUUAUGAGUUUACUUUAAUCCUCUUCCGGUUGAGUAUUAGAGUAAUCACUUGUUAGCGUAAACGUGGUGUUUAGGCUAGGGUACUCAUAGAUAUCCCCUGACUAGCUGAACCGUGGUAGUAGCGAGGAACGUGACAAUUCCGAGUUACCUUUGCAGAUCACAUCUCGUUAGCAGGACGGGUAGGGUUAUAGGUGCGGGUCGAACAUCCUUUGUGUUGUCUAGAUUCCGUGAACCUCCCCAAUAGAACAGUAGAUCAUCCUUACCAAGGUUAGAACGAGACUACGAUUGCAGUCUUCUCUAUACAUCACUCACAUCGAGAGACAUUCUUUGUAGCCUAAAGGGGUAGUAGCAAUAGAUUUGGUUAGUCAGAUGCACCCUUUCUCCCAGUGGUAAAAAUAUAAAUACGAUACUCUGGAAAACCUCCCGGGUGAAAUGCUCACCGAUAUCCGUGCGCUUGCGGAUCAUUUUCUAACUGCGUUACCAAAUAUCAACAGUAGCAAUAGAUUUGGUUAGUCAGAUGCACACUUUCUCCUAGUGGUAAAAUAUAAAUAGGAUACUCUGGAUAACCUCCCGGGUGAAGUGCUCACUGAUAUCCGUACGCUUGCGGAUCAAUUCCUGAUUGCGUUACCAAAUAUCAACAAGCAUUUCUAGCGCCGUUGCUGGGGAGAAAGACGGUUUGCUGAGAUAACCUUGAGUCUUGUUACUAGCUUGUAUCUAUACUUUUAUCUUUUCUUAUCUUUUUAUUUUAUUUAUUCUUACCUUAUGGAAAAUCAAGAUUCUAAAUCGAUCUACCAAUAUGCAACACCUUCGGAGCCUGACCUUUUACAAUGGGAGUCAUCACAACCUAUCCAAACAUCCCAGUAUAGGUUAAGUCCAUGGUUAAUUGCCAUGAUUGAGAGCCUAUCUUUUUCGGGAAAGGAAGAUGAAAACCCUUACCUUCACAUUAGAGAUUUUGAGCAAACAUGCGAUUAUCUUCACAUAGAAGGCAUAUCUGAUAAAAGUUUACGUUGGAAGCUUUUUCCUUUUUCUUUAAGGGGAGAAGCUAGACAAUGGUAUAAUUAGAAGGUAAGUCAACAACGAGGUGAAUGAGGAGUUUUACGUGCAAACUUUUGCCUAGAUUUUUAUUCCCUCGACCGUAUCACCGACCAUAGACUCGAAGUUCUAACUUUUCAACAAAAAGAAAAUGAAACUUUGGCUAAAUCCUAGAAAUGUUUUCAGAGCUUUUAGAAUCUGGUCCAAAGCUUAAUCUUGAAGGCCCUAUUCUUCUUCAACAUUUCUUUCGAGGUCUUCAUAAAGUUCAUAAACAAUUGCUACACACAAUGUCUAGAGGUUCUUUCUUUCGUAUCCCAACUGAUGAAGCUAGGGUGAUCUUAGAUAGAAUCCUAGAAGCUGAGAUAGAUAAUACCCUCCAUGAUGAAACUUAUGAAGCCAAAGUAGACACUCUGCCAAAUUUUUCAUCUGCUUCAGCUAUCCCAAGUUCUGAGCCACAAAAGGAAGAAAUUCCACCGCCUAAUUUCAUGUUGGAUAUAGAAUCUGAUCUUUUUGCCGAUUUUGGAAAUAUUCCAAAUUACCAUUCUAUAGAUAAACCCCAAAGCGGCCAUUCUUGCAUUUGUUUACCAAGCAAAUAUGAUUUGAGAGAGCGUAUAUCAAUCAUGAGUAGCGAAUGGUUAGAGGAACCAGAGCUUUCCUCUGAAGUGAUCCGUUUGGAUACACCUCCUAUACCUAUACGUUGUGCUUAUAAUUCAAGUCAAUUUGAUGCUCUCUACAAUCCUGUUGUGGGGAUCAACAUCAUGUCUAAAUCUUAUGCACAUAAAUUAUUUGGAAAAUUAAUUUUAACCCCCACAACAAAGUUCAUAAAGGAUUCUUCAGGACAAUUAAGUCCCCAGUCUUGGAAUUUUGAAUGUCCUACCCUUUAUGGUAGAAGGCUCCAUGGUUCAUUUGAACUUUUAUAUCUUUGAUACAUGGGACUUCGACGUGUUGAUAGGACAACCUUUUAGAAGACUCAUUUAUGAAGGUCAAACUGGAAAGCUACACAUUUCAUUUGGAAAAGAUUUUUAAAUUCCCGAUAGCAAUUUCUCAUUCUUUGAAUAAUAAGACCGAAUCAUAUCUUCUGCCUAAUCCUAUGGAAGAGGUAAAAGUUGCGUCUCUAGAGCUUUUAAAUGAACCAGAUUUAGAAGAAGAAGCCCCUUUCUUCAUAGAAGAGGAGGCUGAACCUUCUAAACCUGAACCCCUAGAUGAGUUUGCAGAAACACCCAGACCUCCCAUAGAGCUUCAACCUUUACCACCCGGUCUUGCCUAUGCUUUCCUGAAUAAUAAUCUAGAGUUUCCUAUAAUCAUCAGUGAUAAACUCACUCAGGAGCAAACUCUACGAUUAAUGGCUGUUCUUGAAAAAACAUCACUCAGUCUUUGGCUACUCACUCCAAGAUCUUAUAGGAAUCAGUCCUAUGAUUUGUACUCAUCGUAUUUCGACAGAUCCUUCUGUUUCACCUUCUCGAGAGCCUCAACAUAGACUUAACAAUGCGAUGAGGGAAGUUAUAAAGUUGUUGCAUGUAGGGGUUAUAUAUCCUGUGUCGCACAGUGAAUGGGUGAGCCCAGUUCAAGUUGUGCCUAAGAGGGGAGGCAUGAUUGUUGUUACAAAUGAAAAGAAUGAGCUAAUUCCACAACGCACCGUCACAGAGUGGUGGAUGUGCAUAGACUAUAGAAAACUGAACAAAGCCAUGAAAAAGGAUCACUUUCCUUUACCUUUUAUAGAUGAGAUGUUAGAGCGGUUAGCGAACCACUCGUUCUUAUGUUUCUUAGAUGGAUAUUCAGGGUACCACUAGAUCCCAAUCCGUCCUGAUGAUCAAAGCAAAACCACUUUUACAUGCCCUUACGGGACGUAUGCUUAUCGUAGAAUGUCUUUUGGGCUUUGUAAUGCACCAGCUUCUUUUCAAAGAUGCAUGAUGUCUAUAUUUUCUGAUAUGAUUGAAGAGAUUAUGGAAGUUUUCAUGGAUGAUUUCUCUGUUUAUGGAAAAACUUUUGAUAGUUGUCUUGAAAACUCGGACAAGGUUUUGCAAAGAUGUGAAGAAAAACACUUAGUCCUUAAUUGGGAGAAAUGUCAUUUUAUGGUUAGGGAAAGAAUAGUGCUGGGACACCUAGUGUCUGAAAGAGGUAUUGAGGUAGACAAAGCUAAAAUUGAAGUAAUUGAACAACUACCUCCACCUGUGAAUGUAAAAGCAAUUCAAAGUUUUCUUGGCCAUGCUGGUUUUUAUUAGAGAUUCAUAAAAGAUUUUUCAUUCAUUGCUAGACCACUUACUCUUUUGCUAGCCAAGGAUGCUCCUUUUGAAUUUGAUGAUGUCUAUUUAAUAGAUUUUGAAUUAUUAAAGAAUGCACUCAUCUCUGCACCAAUCAUUCAACCCCCUGAUUGGUCUGUACCUUUUGAAAUUAUGUGUGAUGCUACUGAUUAUGCUGUGGGGGUAGUUUUGGGACAAACUAAAGACAAGAAGCAUCAUGCAAUUGCUUAUGCCAGUAGAACUUUUACAGGAGCUCAACUUAAUUAUGCAACCAGUGAAAAAGAGCUCCUCGCUGUUGUCUUUGCCAUUGAUAAAUUUAGAUCUUAUUUAGUUAGAGCUAAAAUAAUUGUUUAUACUGAUCAUGCUACACUGAAAUAUCUGCUCACUAAGAAAAAUGCUAAACCUCAAUUAAUUAGAUGGAUCUUGCUACUCCAAGAAUUUGACUUCGAAAUAAAAGAUAAAAAGGGAGUAGAAAAUUCUAUUGCUGAUCACUUGUCUAUAAUGCAAUUUAAGAAUCCACCGGAACCACCCAUCAAUGAUUCACUCUGGGACGAUAUGCUCUAUGGAAUCAACAGGUCUGACCCCUGGUAUGCAGAUAUUGUUAAUUUUAUGGUUUCAGGUUAUGUACCGCCAGGAGCGAACAAGAAAAAGCUUAUUCGAGAAAGUCGUUCACACAUAUGGGAUGAGCUAUACCUAUUUCGAGUAUGCUCGGAUGGCUUACUCAGGAGAUGUGUGACCACUGAGGAAGGAUGGAAGAUCAUCGACACAUGCCAUUCAUCACCAUAUGGAGGUCAUUAUGGAGCAUUCCGUACACAUUCAAAGAUCUAGCAUUGUGGAUUCUAUUGGCCUACAAUGUAUGAAGACACAAAGCAAUAUAUCCGAAGAUGUGGGCCAUGUCAAAGACACAGAAACAUAAACACAAGGGAUGCCAUGCCACUCACCAACAAUCUUCAGAUAGAGCUCUUUGAUGUCUGGGGAAUUGACUAUAUGGGACCAUUUCUCCCAUCAAAGAAGUGUGAGUUCAUCUUGGUGGCGGUUGACUACGUCUCCAAGUGGGUAGAGGCACUACCAUGCAAGCAUGCCGACAACAUAAGUUCAAAGAGGAUGUUUGAAGAAAUCAUAUUUCCAAGAUUUGGAGUCCCCAGAGUAGUGAGAAGUGAUGGAGGAUCGCAUUUCAUCGACAAACGGUUCGAGCACUAUCUAUCAAGACAUGGAAUCCACCACAACAUUGCUACCCCCUAUCAUCCUCAGACAAGUGGCCAGGCAGAGACUUCCAACAAGCAAAUCAAGAGCAUUCUUCAGAAAACAGUAAAUGAGAAGGGAACAACAUGGAAGGACAAGUUACCCGAUGCACUCUGGGCAUAUCGGACAGCAUACAAGACCCCGAUUGGGAUGUCUCCUUACCAAUUGGUGUACGAGAAGACUUGCCACCUACCUGUUGAACUAGAGUUCAAAGCACACUGGGACAUAAGGAGAUGGAAUAUGGACCUAGAUGUUGUUGGAGAUCAUAAUUAUUAGAAUUGGAAGAAUGGCGAGAGAAAGCAUAUCACAAUUCAAAGAUCUACAAAGAUAGAGUCAACAGAUGGCAUGACAAGAGAAUCAAGAAGGAGUUCUCACCCAGAGAUAAGGUAUUACUUUUGAAUUCCAGGGUGAAACUCUUCGGGCAUGGAAAACUCCGGAGCAAAUGGGAAGAACCGUACAAGGUAAUCAAUUCAUCAUCCCAUGGAGCGAUCACACUUCAAAAUGACGAAGGUACAUUAUUCAAGGUAAAUGGUCAACGUCUUAAACUAUUUUUAGAGCCCAAUAAAGAAUUAGAGGAAAUAGACAUGAUCCAUUUUUACCCUCCAAUGGAGAAUUAAAGCCCGACCAUUUUAAUUUGACGUUUUUGGGCCAUGUAUAUAUUUUUUGGGAUAUCAAACCUUCUAGAAACACACACGAGAGAGCGGGCCAGCGGAGGAGCCUAGGCCAGGGCAGGCGCCCUAGACAUGAGGGCAAGCGCCCUGCCCCUAUCCCCUCUCACCGCCGCCUUUUUCCGUUAGGAUCUCCACGUCCAUCCCUAUCCAAAAAUCCUACGAAUGGUUUGUUUUGCAAGUUGGCCGCGGGAUCUAUCUCGUGGAAGAUUGUAGAUACACCUCUGACUCCUAUAUAAAUAGACCCCUGACGUCAGCUUUCAUCACCAAUUCAUUCUUUCCUCCCUCAUUUAGAGCUUUGCUUAGUCCCUCGCUCCAAUGGCCGAUAGCAGCAACCCCGAUUGGAAGAUCGUCCCAUAUGGGAUUGAUCUUAACAAGAAGCCAAAAGCAGAUCCAGACUCCAAGGCGUUAGUGCCAGUCAACAACGAGCGGCAGCUAGCAGCCUUUCCACCACACCAGUGCAGUGCCAGCCAUUCUUACUAUGCUCAACCAGUUCUCACCGCACCGCCGCAACCCCUUCUUCUCAAGGGACCACCGGUAAAGCAGGGCACGCUUGUCAAGGUGCCUGCUGGCACUAAGGUCCUACCACCGAAGCCCAAUGAUAGGGUGGUAGGCGUGAAGACCAACAUGAGCGGUGAAAUCAGCAGCAUCCGGUACACGACAGAGGAGGAACGCCCUUACUUCAAGGGAGUCCGAGCGGCAAUGGUCCGAUUCAUCCCGCCAAAGGAGGCCCCAAAGCACGCGCUUAACUCUUUCGAGUCGCCGCCUAAGCACCAUAAAACCAUAGCUGAUCUAGAGAAAGAGUUCCAUGAGAGGGAUGGAGUGAUCCUAGAGCUCCAGUCGUCUGUUAACUUCCUAAAUAGGCAGGUCGUGAACCUGAACACAACUGUGCUCAACCUUAGACGCGACCUCACUAAGGCCACCGAUAGGGUGAAGGAGCUAGAGCGUCGCUGAUCUACUUGGUUAGAUCUUGAGGCACCUAUAUAUUAGUUCAUUCAUUAUUAGAUUCAUUUUAGAUUUGUUAUUAGAUUAAAUUCAUUAGUCGGUUGAUUUAUUGUAAUAAAUGCCUCAAGGAAAAAUAAAUAAAGAUUGCUUUAUUAUUAUUAUGCCUCAUGUGUCUCCACUUUGUUUUUAUGCAAGAGAACAAGAAACAAGUAUGGGGGAGAUCCCCGACAAGACAAACGAACUUCAACUGCACCACUCCACUCAGGUACACGCUGUGCACGCUUUAUUCAUACACAUACACAUACGUUCGUGUAGAAAAUUAUCUCUAAACAUGAUAAAUUAAAAAGAUAAAAUAUUGUCAAUUUCACUUUAUGAUAUUUCCUGAAAACCUACAAUUAUUGAAAAAUUUAUUUUUAAAACCCUGUGCUACUCAAGUCAUUGUGGAAUGUGAGAUGGUAGAAUAUGAGUCCCUUAUUCUUGAUAUCUUUGUCACUUGGAGAUUUUCUUUCAAAAACUUUAAAAUAUAGCUACCAUUCUUGAUAUCUUUCUAAAAUUGAAAACAUUAAUUAUAAUAAUUUAAGCUAUUUGCUUUGUUUUGAGUUUGUUCAAAAUGAGUUGGACCCUUGUUGAGAGAUUUAUCAUGCUCUAAAGAUCAAGACAUUUUUUAUUCAGAAAGAUUCACCCUUCCGAAGUAUCAGCGCGAGGAUCGGAAGGCAUCGGGAAACCUGGCAGUAGCGUGAGGAUCGGUAUCGGCGCCAACAGGAGGAUCGUCAUCGGGAAGAAGAAAGACGCCGACAAGAGUGGAAUCGGCAUAAGGAUCACCGGAGCUGCCCAUUCUUCAUCCACUGUUGGGAGCAAAACAUCAAGCUACGAACCGUUAGAGACUGCCAUGAGUGCAAUGGCUACAAUUGGUAUGAUAGACCAAAUCGGCAGUACCAGAACGAUGAUCGGCGUUUUGAUGGGUCGAUCAGAGGAAGGGCUUCAGUUCAUGAUUGGCUGGGGGGCAGACUCAGUGUGCAUGAUAGGCUUGGUGAACGUGUCGGGUAUUUUCCCAGAAACGAAGAGGAGCUUGAGGAGAUGGCAGAUGCGCGGGUCUCCGAUGAGUUCAUAUUCUGCAGGGAUGUUAAUACUUAUCGGGUGGAACCAAGGGGAAACCAUCGUCAAUCGAUGAGGCAACCACAACUCCCACCAUGGUGUCGGAAGGAUUGACAAGGACACAGAAGAGGAGGUUGCAGCGAGAACGGCAAGAAGAACUGAGUAAAGGAGAAAAUUCUGCCAAGUCUGGAGAUCGGCAGCAGUCAGAUCCUAAGGGAAAAGGUCCAUCGGCAGACGUUAAUGUGGUAUUUAUGUUGCCGAUGGAAUUUCUUGCACCAUUUAGUGAUGAUGAGGGGUAGAUUCUCCCGAUCAGAUAGCUCAGUUGGCUCUGGAUCCGAUGAUGGCUAUUUUUGAAAAGCCCGCCGACAAUGAAAGAGAGCAUCUUAAAGCUCUAUUUGUCAAAGGCAGAGUUGAUGGACAGCCGAUGACCAAGAUACUUGUUGAUGGUGGGGCUGCUAUCAAUAUUAUGCCGUAUGCAGUCUAUCGGAAGCUUGGGAAAGGAGAUCAAGAUUUGACCAAGACCGAUAUGAUGCAGAAAGAUUUUGAAGGGAAUGUGUCUCCAGUCAAGGGAGCUAUAUGCGUUGAGUUGACCAUCGGCAGCAAAACCUUGCCGACAACUUUCUUUGUCAUCAGUGGAAAGGGUGCUUAUAAUUUGCUGUUGGGCGGAUAUUGGAUUCAUGCCAACUAUUGCAUCCCCUCUACAAUGCACCAAUGUUUGGUUCAGUUGGUAGGUGACAAGAUUGAUAUUGUCCUAAGAGAUUCUUCAUAUGUCAUCGCAUCGGCAGAGGCAGAUACUUAUGAAAGGACCAGAUGCAUUUCAAGGGAAAUUUGGGAAAAAGAUUUUCUCAAAGUAGCCAAUUAUGAAAUUCCACCGAUCCAAGCAGUCGGUUCUGACGAAGAGUUUUAAUGGAUAGGUUCGCCGAUGAUGAAAAAUUAGGCCAGGGGUUUACAUCGGCAGAUGAUUUAGUAGAAGUAGAUAUUGGUAAUGGUGAUAGGCCAAGGCCUACUUUUAUUAGUGCUAAGUUAGAUUCUGAGUGUAAGCAGCAGUUAACCAAUUUGUUAAAAGAAUAUAAAGAUUGCUUUGCUUGGGAUUAUACCGAGAUGCCUGGUUUAGACCGAUCUAUUGUUGAACAUCGGUUACCUAUCAAAUCUGGAUUUCGGCCGCAUCAGCAGCCAGCUCGCCGAUACAAUCCUAAUAUUCUUCCUGAUUUCAAGGCCGAAAUAACCAAACUUAUCGAAGCUAAAUUUAUUCGGCAAUGUAGGUAUGCCGAGUGGAUUUUCAAUGUUGUCCCAGUUUACAAGAAGAAUGGGAAGCUUCGUGUCUGCAUUGAUUUCAGGAAUCUUAACAAGGCUGCACCGAUGGAUGGUCAUCCAAUGCCGGUUGCCGAUUUGCUAGUCGAUGCUGCAGCUGGACAUCAGAUUAUUAGCUUUAUGAAUGGCAAUGCAGGAUAUAAUCAAAUAUUCAUGGCCGAAGAAGAUAUUCCAAAAACCGCAUUUAGAUGUCCUAGCCUGGUCAUGUUGGGUUGUUUGAAUGGAUAGUCAUGACCUUUGGCUUGAAAAAUGCUGCUGCUACUUAUCAGAGGGCUAUGAAUUUUAUCUUUCAUGACUUCAUCGGCAAACUGGUGGAAAUUUAUAUUGAUGAUGUGGUGGUUAAGUCUAGGGAUUUCACAAAGCAUCUUGCCGAUCUACGAAAGGUAUUGGAAUGCACAAGGAAACAUGGCUUAAAGAUGAAUCCUAAUAAAUGUGCAUUUGGUGUAUCGGCAGGACAAUUUCUUGGUUUCAUGGUGCAUCAGAGAGGAAUUGAAAUUAGUAGGAGAUCUAUUGAUGCUAUCAACAAAAUAGUUGCUCUCACCAACAAAACUGAACUCCAAUCUUUGAUCGGUAAGAUAAAUUUUAUCAGACGAUUUACAUCUAAUUUGUCUGGCAAGAUUCAUGUUUUUAGUCCUUUACUUAAGUUGAAGGCCGACCAAGGGUUUGUGUGGGGAAGAGAGCAACAGUCAGCAUUGUACGAGAUCAAGAAUUAUUUGACAAAUCCUCCAGUUUUGAUUCCACCUCAGCAAGGAAAACCUUUCAAAUUAUAUUUAUCUACCGAUGGAAUGAUCAUCGGUUCAGCUCUGAUUUAGGAAUUUGAAGGGAAGGAACGUGUAAUUUAUUAUUUGAGUAGAAGACUGGUUGAUGCUGAGACAAGGUAUUCGGCAAUUGAAAAAUUAUGUUUAUGCUUAUACUUUUCAUGUGUCAAACUGAAUGGAUGAUGUAGUCCGAAUAUACUGUUAUAUGCAAGGAUGAUGUAGUUCGAUAUAUGCUAUCUAUGCCGAUUAUGAGUGGCAGAAUCGGCAAAUGGAUUUUGGCACUGUCGGAAUUUGAUCUACACUAUGAAUCGGCUAAAGCAGUUAAAGGGCAGAUUAUGGCCGAUUUUAUAACUCAGCAUUGCGGUGUAGUAGAGACUUUGGAGAUAGUUCCUUCGACACUCUUCUUUGAUGGAUCCACGUGUGACCGGGGGGCAGGAAUCGGCAUAGUGCUAAUUUCUCCUCGAGGAAAGAAGUAUGAGUUUACCUUGCCAAUUGUUGCCACGUGGACAAAUAAUCAAGCCGAAUACCAAGCUCUAAUCAAGGGGUUGGAUUUAUUAAAAGAAGUUCAUGCCGAUGCUGUUGAGAUCUUCGGCGAUUCUAUGCUUGUUAUAAAUCAAUUAGCCGGGAUUUACGAAUGCCGAAGCGAGGUCUUGAUAACCUAUUAUGAAAAGAGUAUGCAACUGUUGAGGGAAUUCAAGAAUUUCCGAUUAGAGCAUGUUCCUCGAUUACAUAACGAAGAGGCUAAUCGGUUGGCCCAACGUGCCUCGGGAUAUCAACCUAUUUUAAAUAAGUUAUCAGCAAUCAGUGCCGAUGAUUAGAGAAAAGAAAUCAUUGAUUACUUGAAAGAUCCAUCUAAAAAGGUUGAGAGGCAUGUUAGGUUUCAGGCUACCAGGUAUGUGCUCCUUGGAGAAGAACUAUAUUAUCAAACGAUAGAUGGAGUUUUGCUCAAGUGCUUAGGUGAUGAUGGGGCUAAAAGCUUGAUGGGUGAGAUCCAUGAAGGAGUGUGUGGAGCGCAUCAGUCGGCUUUUAAAAUGAAGUGGAUGAUUAGAAGAAACGAGUAUUAUUAGCCGACCAUACUUGAAGACUGCUUUAAAUAUUUCAAAGGAUGUCAGGGAUGUCAAAGAUUUGGUAAUAUUCAAAGGGCACCCGCAUCGGCCAUGAAUCCUAUUGUUAUGCCUUGGACGUUCCGGGGAUGGGCUAUUGACCUAAUUGGCCAGAUUUAUCCGCCAUCAAACAAGGGGCAUAAGUUCAUAUUAGUUGCUACUGAUUAUUUUACUAAGUGGGUUAAAGCUAUUCCUUUGAAGAAAGUAAUAUCGGCUAACAUGAUUGAUUUUGUGAAAGAGCAUAUUGUUUACCAAUUUGGUAUUCCUUAAACAAUCACUAUCGAUCAGGGUACUAUGUUUACAUCAGGAGAGUUUGAUGAAUUUGUAGUCGGUAUGGGGAUUAAAGUAUUUAAUUCUUCUCCUUAUUAUGCUCAAGCCAAUGGACAAGCCGAAGCAUCUAACAAAGGGAUUAUUAAGCUUAUCAAGCGAAAGAUUGAGGGAAAUCCUAGAAGGUGGCAUACUUUGUUGAAUGAAGCUCUGUGGUCAUCUUGGAUGGCAUGUCAUGGAUCGACCAAAGGUUCACCAUAUCAGUUGGUAUAUGGACACGAUGCGGUGUUGCCAUGGAAAAUUAAGACUGGAUCUAGGCGGGUCUCUGUUCAAGAUCAAUUGGCCACCGAUGACUAUGCUACUUUGAUGAAAGAUGAGUUGGAUGACUUGGCAGAACAUCGGUGAGAGCUUUGAUAAGUAUAGAAGAAAAUAAAAAGAGAGUUGCUAGAUGGUAUGAUAAAAAACUAAAAGCUAAGGAGUUUGCCGAUGGAGAUUUGGUAUGGAAAUUAAUUUUGCCGAUUGGGACUAAAAGUUCAAAGUUUGGAAAAUGGUCUCCUAAUUGGGAGGGUCCUUAUCGGAUAAAUCGGUCUGCUCCUGGUAAUGCUUACAUUUUCAAAACUCUCGAAGGAAUUGAAUUUCCUAGAGCAUUAAACGGAAAAUAUCUAAAGAAGUAUUACCCAAGCAUUUGGGUUGAUGCAUAAAGUUUAAGUGCCGAUAACAUUCCUAUCGGCUGGAUAAAACAUAUCGAGUCUGGUGCAUAAAGUUUUUAAAAUGCCGAUAACAGUCCUAUCGGCUAGACCAGAGCUGUCGGUGUUUUUCCCCCGGGGGGUCACACCAACGAGUAAAUUUGUAUGCGUGUUCCCUUUCCCGGAUGGUGAUGCAAGAAGACACAGAGAUUUAUCCUGGUUCGGGCAAGAGAAGGCCCUACGUCCAGCGGGGGGAGAGAGUUUGUAUUAUCUUGCACCUAAGUGCUUGUACAGGGGCGAAUACAAGCGUGGUAUGAAGUGUGGAGCUCUACUACGUAUGAGCGUGGUCUUGUGUCAUGAUCUCCCUGUUCUAUUCCUGAGUCCCUCCUUUUAUAGUUCCAAGGAAGGGCCUAGGGUACAUGUAUAGGCGUAGGAAUUGGAGUCGAUAGCAGCAUGGAUCGCUGACCUACUCGAGGUUUCCGUACCGGCAUGCCCUCGAGCCGUCCCGUCUUAAUAGCCUGGUGAUGAUCACGCGUGCCCCUGCAUUCUGCUCUGCGCGCCGUCUUGGAUUGGUUCGGCGGGUGCACGCUUAUAUGGCUCGGCGGCAAAUCCGGCGGAGCGGUUACGGCGUGGUCAGUCGACGUCCGACUCGUCUCCAGGAAGGAGCCUGGUGAAGUCGAGGGUCGGACGCCGUACGAGGUGUCGAUAUCUGGAGCGCUGACCUUGGGUGUCUCGAGGGGAUCCCGAUUAGACGUUCCAUCCUUGUUUCCCGCGUCCUGACACGCCCUGGGUCGUUCGGUGGGAAGGCUACAAAAAGAACGAUGGGACAGAAGCCUCCCGUGACCCGUGUGUUAGGUGGGGAAGCGUCAGGUGCAUUAAAUGCCCUGGCUCUCGUGCGCGCGUCAGGCGGCGGACAGUGUCCUUGCGCUCGACGCCUCUCGGUUCGCUCGAGCCCGCUUCCGUAUUCGACGGCAGUUGUUGCUCGAGCCCUGACCGAUUCGCUCGACGCUAUUUCCGUCUUCGAGGCUGCGGCCGUCGAUGGCCGCGCGUGUGUACGGAUGGUCUCGUUAUACGCAUUGGUGAGGGUACCCCUCGUUGAUACCCUCGACAGUAGCCCCCGAGUCUUCAUUCGAGCGCUGGCGCUCGAGUGGAGACUUUCGUUUUUACGGUCGAGCUUCCACGGGGGCGCGCGAGCGACCCCGCGGGGGUAGCCCCCGAGCCCUCGAGGGAGUAUUUAACUCCUUCGAGGGUUAUUUUGCCAAAUUUGCAGAAACGCUGUCAACACCCGUGGUGGAAGGUUCUGUUCGGCUUUGCCUUGCGUGGAGGUUUCGACGUACUCUCGAUAGAGCGAGCGUCUUCCACCCCAGAUUGAGUUCCUAGCGGGUAGUCCAAGUGAGAACCUGUGCCCCUUUCGAGGGGGUCAGCUGUAGCCCGGAGGCGUCCUCAUAAAGCAGGGUCGACGUGGUCAGGGAUACCGGUCUCAUUCGAUAGAGUCCAGCGGCUCGAUGCCUCCCUUCGGGGGGAUUCCUCUCGACUGUCUCGACCCUACCUUGGACAUCGCCAGCGAGUCCUCGAGGCGGGCCUCGAUUUUCGACCACUCGCUGGGGAUCCCUGACUCUUGGUGCUCGAGAUCGGCUGUCGAACCCUUUCGACGGGCCAGCCAUCGACCUCUCGAGACUAUCGUGGGCACAUACCUUGGCUUACGAAGUAAGGAAGCUGCCGUGCCGGUUCGUCUUUCUGCCCGUUGGGCGCACCUUUUGAGGUAAGUGACGUUGCGACACUGUAUUGGCGGGGAAUUCGGAGCGUCCGGCCUGUGAGGAGAGAAAGGACGAUUAGGUGGCGCAUUUCUCGGAUCUGUCCGUUGGCGGACUGCUGCCUAUAAAUAAGUCGUGGCGUUGCCGCCGUUCCUCUCCCUUCCGCCUUCUCGCUUUUAUUCUCUCGUUGCCUUUGCUUGCUCGCCGUCUCACGCGCACACGCCUCCUCGAGCUGUAGUGAAUCCACCGUCCCUCCAGCCGAGAUGCCUGUAAGACUCGUCGCCGCCGACGACUGGCGCCCGUCGUCGAUGACGGAGCGCCGGUUGUUAGAGCUUGAGAAAGAGGGACUGCUGCGCCGCCGUACCUCGCUAUCGUCGCCAGAGUGGAUCGCGCCGCCGGCGAGUCACAGGGGGCCUCAGCCGCCCGAGGGCUACGUGGUGUCGUUCGCCAAGUUCCACCGCCACGGUCUGGGCGCGCCCCCGAGCCGCUUCAUGCGGGCCCUCUGCUUCCAUUAUGGGGUGGAGCUCCAGCACUUCUCUCCGAACGCCAUCACCGUAGCGGCGGUCUUCGCCGCCGUGUGUGAGGGCUACUUGGGGAUGAUGCCGCACUGGGAGCUGUGGCUCCACCUCUACAGGGGCGAGCUUUUCCAUGCCCCCACCGGAACCACAGGCGUAAGGAAGCCCGUGCGGGCGGGAUGCCUCAAUCUGGUGCAGAAGACGGGGAAGACGGACAGGCCGCGGGAGUACAUCCCGGUAGGGUUAUCGACCAACCACGCCGGCUGGGAGUCCCAGUGGUUUUACCUGCGGAACGAUGACAACCUCCUGCCUUCCUACUCGGGCCGUCUGAUCAUGGAGCGUCCAGCGGACUGGACAUACGGCGUCGUCCAAGCUCAUCAAUCUCGGCUCGACCCCCUCCUCGACGCCCUGAAGAAGCUUCGCCAGGAGGGUUUGACCGCCGCUCUCGUCCUCUCGGCCGCCCAUCACCGGAGAGUUCUCCCUUUGAUGUCUCGACCGUUGAGGAUGGACGAGAUGGGCCCUGGCGUCUCAUCUCGGGACCUCGAGGCGUGUCGGAUGUCCAACGAGGCUCCGGCGGACGACGAAGUCGCGGCCCGAGUCAGGGCUGCAACUGCCGGUGAUUUUCAGCCGGAGCACGUUAACGGCUUCCCCAUGAGACCAGACGCAGGCUCGAUCGAUCUGGUACGCUUUCUUCUUGCGCGCAGCCUCGAUUCUGCGUUUCCUUUCUCCCCUCUCUUUUUUCUAAGUCUACCUUUGUUUUGGCAGGGUCGGAUUGAUGUCCGGUCCUCGAGGCCUCCGGUAAAGGAGGACGAGGUCGAUCGUGACAAACGGCGCCAAUCUGCCGAAAAGCUAAAGUCUGCCAAGGACUCUGCAAAGAAGGGGGAGAAGAAGAAGAACCUCGACCGCCAAGCAUUAGAGGUGCGUCGAGCCAAAUCCAGGCAGAGGGGGGAGCCUGAGGAAGAAUCCCCUAACGAUGAUGACGAUGACGACGAGGACAGCGACGACUCUGAGGGGAUGGCGUCGCGCCUCGAUCGGAUUCUCGAGGGCCCGCCUCGAGGUGACGUCGACGCCCUCCGGACGGAGGCGCCAGAGGAGGGUCCGAGCGGAUCUCGUCGCCCCCGGGCCGACACCCCUCCCACGCCCAAGGCGGGCCAGGACGCACCGCGCCCUCCCCCGGUGCCCAGGGAGAGCGGUCUGGCUAGGCCCCAGGCGUCGGGGCCACUAACUCGUGGUCGCGCCGCGGCCUCUGAGAAAGGAGAUGCCGGCCGUAGGAGCGCCAGUCCUGGCGCCCGCCAGGCGGGGACCGACGCGCCUAGGCCAGUGCCUGCCCUCGAGGGGCCUGGAGCCCUGACGCGGGGUGGCUCGAGGCCCACUGGUCGGGGUGGCGGGAGGCGAGCCGUUCUCCCUGUGGGGUAAGCCUUUUUGAUGUCGCGGUUUUUGUCUUCCCAUUCUUCCACCUUUCCUCAUAUGCCAACCUUUUCUCAGGCUAAAGCGGACCCUUGAGCAGGCCCAACCAUCCAUGGCAAAGAGGCUCAAAACGGGUGCCGCCUCCAAGGAACCAGGUUCGUAGUUUAUUUCUGGGUGUUGCGAUGUUCUUGUGUCGGUUAUCAUAACGUCUGACCCUUACCCUUUGUUUCGUAGGCUCCUCCAGCUCCCAACCUCCAGCCGGCGUCGAGAGGGCUCCGUCUCGUCCCGCACCUACUCCGUCGCCGCCGACUCGUGAUGAGGCGCUCCAGACGCAAGCGUUAGAGGGAGCCCCCGAGCCCCCUCGAUUGGGGGUCGAGGGGGAACCCAUCACCAUCAGCGAUACGUCCGAUGGUAACGAAGCGUCUGGGGGCGCUCGCCCUAUGGAGGAGGAAGCGUCGACCCCCAAUGUCGCGGGAUCAACUCCCUGGCCCGCUGGCCUCCGCACCCUCGAGGAGCAGAAAAAGAAGAGGGAGGAGGAUGAACAGCGGGAGCGCGAGGCGGCGCAGCAGCCACAGGAGCAUGAGGCACAGCAACAGCAGCAACAACAACAGCGGCAGCAGCAACAGCAACAACCGCAGCAGCAACCGCAGCAGCAGCAGCAGCAGCAACCACCGCAGCAGCAACAGCAGCAGCAGCAGGCGGGCCAAGAGGAGGGACCGCUCGAGCCUCCGCCCCAAGGUUCGGCCCAGCCAGUGCCACCGGAGCCGCAAGAGCUCGGCGAGGAGGAGGACCUGCCGGUGUACGGCCCCCCAACCCCGGCGUGGCUCCUCCCGGGGGCACCUGCCACGAUCCGGGCAGAGCCGGGGCGAGCGGAUGGAGUGGUGGCGCUCGCCUGCCUGAAGCGCACGCCCCCCGAUCCCGAGUCCGAUAUCAAGAGGACAAUUUACGGCAUGGACGGGAUCGCCCCAGGGUUCCUCCGGGAACGUCGGGCGUGGGAGGACCGCUUUCCUUCCGAGGAGGAUGAAAUUGGGGCAUCGGGGACCAAGGAUGGAACCUGGAAGACGGUGGACGACGACGGACGGUUCCCAUGCCUCGUCGACCUGUUCCUGCGCCAUGGGGGCUCGCUCGAGACCGUCGAGGGCCUCAUCCGCGGCGUUAAGGCGCGGGCUGACCGGGAGAUGGAGCACUGGUGCCCCGACCGCAUCCGUAUCCGGGCCUCCCACGACCCGUCUGAGCCCGACAUCUUCCUCGACGAUCGGAAGGAGGCGGAGAAGUGGGAACACGUCGAGGAGCUCCGCCUUUGGAUGAAGCAUGUGGUGGGGCUCCUCUCGGACGUUAUCAACAACGGGCUCGGCCCGGCUUAUUUCGUAAGUGUUUCUCGAACUCCAAUCCUCAUGGUGCUUUCUGGUUUCCGUAUUCUAAUCCAUCCGACCCUUGAUUCGCAGGACAUGAAAGAGACCUCCCGCAUCAAGUCCAGCUUCAUACACGCCACGAGGGGCGGUUGGGAGCAGCUCCCCCUCCUCAAGGAUCAACUCCUCGAGUCGCAGGAAAAGCUCCUUAAAGCUUACAAAGAUCUCAUAGCACUCGAGGAGGAGAAGAAGGCGAGGGAGGCUGCCUUGGCUGAGGCCCGAGAGGCCUGGAAGAAGGCGGAGGAGGAGACGAUGCAGCUAUGGGAGCGGGCUCUUACGGUCGAGGAGGCCGCGUCCAGAGCCCGGGAGGAGGCCCUGUCCUACAAGAGCGUUAUCGCGGAUCUGGACAAGGAGAAGGGCCUCCUUAAAUCCGACCUGGACUCUGUCCGAGAGUCCUUCCGAAAGAUGAAGGUGGAGCAUGUGAACGGCGCGGUCGCCAGGGGCGCCGCGGAGGAAGCCAAGAAGAAGGCCCUCGAAGAUCUCGAGGCGGAGCGGGCUCGAUCCCGCAGUCUCUCUAACGACGUCGAGCGUCUAAAGGGAGAAUUGCUGGAGAAGAGUGGGGCCAUUGCUCAGGCUGGCAAGGCGAUCGAGGAUCUCCGCGUUGCCAACACCGAGCUGGCACGCUCCAACAAAGAGAUCGAGGGGGCCAACACCAGGCUAGUCGGCGAGAACACGGCCCUCGAGGAGACCGUACGCGGUAUGUUUCCUCUAUCAGAUUUCUUUUUCCGAGGUGUGCUUAGUUUUUCCUAAGGUUUCUUUAUAUUGGCUUUUACAGGGCUCAAGGACGAACUCCUGGCCGCCCAAGCCGAGGCUCGCAACGCCAAGGCUCAGCUCGAGGCGGAGGUUGCUUUGAACCGUCGAGUGCGGACGGCGAUAAGUGAUCUCUCGACCUCUUGGGAGGUCGAGCCUAUGGAUGAGUCGAGGGAGGACGCUCGAGGCGACGCCCUGGUCGACCAGUUGUGCUACAUAGGCGCGACGCUGCGAGAUCGGGUGCGGGACGCCCUCCACAUCGGGGUGAAGCGGGCGAUGGCGGUUGUCUGCUCGGGCUUCUCCUAUGACAUGGAGGUGGUGUCCCAUGGCUUCGUCACCGACAUCUCCAAGAUCGACGCGGAGAACGAGGAGAGGCUCCAUGCCUUGAUCGACGACGCGGAGGCUCCUGGGGAAAGGUUGGCCAAGCUUUUCGAGCCUGAGGUGCUCCCUCCUGAGGCUAGCUCGGGCGGAGGCGAGGGCGGUGAGGAUCGUGCCGCGGACUGAGGCCUGCGAGCCUGCUCAGGGCGCCUGAGGCCCCUUGUACGAUACUUUGUUAAUUCUGUGGGUAACUGAUGCUGUAUCACUUUCGUAAUUGUUAAAUGCUUAUUUUGUCUUUCCGCUUGAUGCUUUCGUUUCUCUUUGCGCCUACGUUUGUAUCCCUUGCUCGAUUUUUCGUAAAAGACCACCUCGAUCACUUCAAUGGUGAGUAGAGUUUCCGUAGCCCGGGGGCGUAGGAGUUCUCCAACUCGUUGUCCCUCGGCCUUUGAGGGGCUCGAGGCGCCUUAGCUACUUGAACCGUGCAAGGUUUACUACGUAAGAAAAGAAAACUUCUUGAUUUUUUCGAUACUUGGGGGGUCGUCCCCCUGGUAGCCCCCGAGGGGGUGCUGACUAUGAUGGGUCAUAGUCGGCGCCCCCUUUUAACGUCGAGAUCGUGACUUAUUAAUCUUCUCGGCACAAAGAAAGAAGAAUUGUUUCGAGGGAAGGACUUUAUUUAUUCAUUCGUUUACAAAGUCUCGGUACAAAACGUAAGCAGGAACAUAAGUUUAGAACUUCUAGGGGUAGAAUCGACGUAGCUGUUCGAUGUUCCAUGCGUUGGUGAGAAUUGCGCCCUUUUCGUCCGCCAGCUUGUACGUUCCCGGCUUCAGGACCUCGGCCACCACGUACGGACCUUCCCAAGGCGGAGUCAGCUUGUGGCGUCCCUGAUUGCUUUGCCGGCGUCGUAGGACUAGGUCGCCCACAUUGAGGUCCCUCUGGCGCACAUGCUUGUCGUGGUAGCGUCGAAGCCUUUGCUGAUAUCUGGCAGAGUUGAGGAGGGCCAUGUCUCUAGCCUCCUCAAGUUGGUCGACCGCGUUUUCUUGAGUCUCUUUGUUCGAUUGCUCGUUGUAGGCCUUGAGUCGAGGUGACCCAUACUCGAGGUCUGUGGGGAGGAUAGCCUCAGAGCCGUAGAUCAUGAAGAACGGGGUGUAUUUUGUGGCCCUGCUUGGUGUUCUCCUAAGGCUCCAUAGGACUGAGGAAAGCUCCUCGACCCAUUUUUUGCCGAAUUUCUUCAAUCGAUUGUAGAUCCUUGGCUUGAGUCCUUGCAAAAUCAUGCCGUUGGCACGCUCGACUUGGCCAUUAGUUCGAGGGUGGGCUACUGCAGACCAGUUCACACGGAUGUGAUGCUGAUCGCAGAAGUCCAAGAACUUUUUGCCGGUGAACUGGGUGCCGUUGUCGGUGAUGAUGACAUUGGCGAUCCCAAACCGAUGGAUGAUGUCGGUGAAGAAAAGGACGGCCUGCUCGGAGCGGAUGUUGGUGAUGGGUCGAGCCUCGAUCCAUUUGGAGAACUUGUCAAUGGCCACCAGCAAAUGGGUGAAUCCUCCUUUCGCCUUUUGUAGAGGUCCUACUAAAUCGAGCCCCCACACCGCAAAAGGCCAGGUAAUGGGGAUCAUCUGAAGAGCGUGGGCAGGCAGAUGCGUCUGCUUGGCGUAGAACUGACACCCGUGACAUGAUCGUACGAGCUCGAUGGCGUCCGCCACGGCCGUUGACCAGUAGAAGCCUUGUCGAAAAGCGUUCCCUACAAGGGUCCGUGGAGCGGCGUGGUGACCGCAAGCCCCCGAGUGUAGGUCAUCGAGGAGUUUUCGGCCUUCUUCCACGGUGAUGCAACGUUGUAAGACCCCCGUCGGGCUCCGUCGAUAUAGCUCGUUGUCUUCGCCAUAGAUCACAUAUGAUUUGGCCCGUCGAGCGAUACGACGAGCUUCUGACCUGUCUUCUGGUAACUCGCCGCGGAUAAGGCAGUCGAGGAACGGUGUGCGCCAAUCGAAUGGUCGACCUGGUCGUCAUUCUGCGACAUUGUUAGAUGCGGCAAAAUGAAUCCUGAUUACGUACCUCAUGUGGACGCCCAAGGGUGAGAUGAACAGCAGGCCGGCUCCGGCUCCAGUUUUCAUGAGUGACCCAUCGAAAUACAUCGUCCAUAAUUCCGCCUGGACCUGGGUCGGGGGGAGCUGGGUGUCCGUCCAUUCUGCGAUGAAGUCUACCAAGGCCUGCGAUUUGAUGGCCUUGCGAGGCGCAUAAGUGAGAGUCUCACUCAUGAGCUCGACCGACCAUUUUGCUAUUCUUCCUGUGGCUUCUUUGCUCUGGAUUAUUUCGCCUAAAGGAAAAGACGAGACCACCGUGAUGGGGUGGCCAAGGAAGUAAUGCUGCAGCUUGCGACGGGCAAGGAUUACGGCAUAAAUCAGCUUCUAGAUUUGGGGAUAACGUGCUUUGGUCUCCGAAAGCACCUCGCUGACGAAAUAUACUGGCCUCUGAACCGGUAACGCAUGUCCCUCCUCCUGCCUCUCGACCACCACCGCCGCGCUGACGACCUGGGUCGUCGACGCGACGUAGAGGAGCAGCGGCUCUGCAGGUUGAGGUGGAACCAGGACUGGUGCCGAGGUCAGCGUCUUCUUCAGCCUUUCGAGUGCUUCCUCGGCCUCAGGGGUCCAAGAAAGGCGCUCGACCUUCUUUAGGAGUCAAUAUAAUGGUAAUGCCUUUUCUCCUAGUCUCGAGAUGAAACGGCUCAGAGCCGCCAGGCACCCCAUGACUCUCUGUACACCCUUGAUGUCUCGGAUCGGCCCCAUUUUCGUGAUGGCCGAGACUUUCUCGGGGUUGGCCUCGAUGCCGCGCUGCGAAACGAUGUAUCCUAGGAGCCUGCCUCGAGGCACGCCGAAAACGCACUUCUCGGGAUUGAGCUUGAUCCGGCUGGUGCGUAGGCAGCUGAAGGCAAUCUCGAGGUCCUGGAUCAGGUCUCCUCGUCGCUUUGACUUGACGACAAUGUCGUCGACGUAGGCUUCGACCGUUGACCCUAUAUGUUCGCCAAAUAAGUGGAGCAUGCAACGUUGAUACGUGGCUCCCGCGUUUCGAAGCCCAAAUGGCAUGGUCACGUAGCAAUACAUCCCCAAAGGCGUGAUGAAAGAGGUCGCGAGCUGGUCGGACUCCUUCAUUUUUAUUUGGUGGUAACCAGAAUAUGCAUCAAGGAAAGAAAGGGUUUCACAUCCCGCGGUAGAAUCGACAAUCUGAUCAAUGCGUGGCAAUGGAAAGGGAACUUUUGGACAUGCUUUAUUCAGACUAGUAUAAUCGACACACAUCCUCAUUUUCCCAUUCUUUUUCUUAACUAAUACAGGGUUUGCUAACCAGUCAGGAUGAUGAACCUCCUUGAUGAAUCCGGCCGUCAAAAGCUUGUGGACUUCCUCGCCAAUGAUCUUGCGCUUCUCCUCAUCGAAUCGGCGCAACCGCUGCUUCACUGGCUUGGAACCGGCUCGAAUCUCCAAGGAGUGCUCGGCGACUUCCCUCGGUAUGCCUGGCAUGUCCGAGGGACUCCAUGCAAACAUGUCGGCAUUUGCACGGAGAAAGUCGACGAGCACGGCUUCCUAUUUGGGGUCGGGGUCGGCGCUGAUCGUCAGCACUUUGCCGUCGGAGUUGUUGGGGUCGAGCGGGAUCUUCUUGGUUCCUUCCGCCGCCUCGAAGCUGCCCGCAUGACGCUUAGGCUCUGGAGCCUCAGCGGCCAGGGCCUCGAGCUUUGCAACGAGCUCGGUGGAGCUCUCGACCGCCUCCCCGUACUCGACGCACUCGACGUCGCACUCGUACGCGUGCUCGAAGGAGGAACUGACAGUGAUGACGCCUUUGGGACCAGGCAUCUUCAGCUUCAAGUAGGUGUAGUUGGGUAUAGCCAUGAACUUGGCGUAGCCCGGGCGCCCGAUGAUGGCGUGGUACGUGCCUCGGAACCCAACCACCUCAAAGGUGAGGGUCUCCUUCCUGAAGUUGGCCGCUGUGCCGAAGCAGACCGGUAGGUCAAUUCGACCUAGUGGCAGUGCCUUUUUCCCUGGCACGACGCCAUGGAAACCGCCGGCGCUUGGCAGGAGGCGUCCUGUAUCGAUGCCAAGGAGGUCGAGGGUCUCGAGGUAGAUGAUGUUGAGGCUGCUGCCACCAUCCAUCAGCACUUUCGAGAGUCGGGUGUUGACGAUGAUGGGGUCGACGACGAGCGGGUAGACGCCUGGGGCGACUACCUUGUCGGGGUGGUCCUCUCGGUCGAAAGUGAUAGGAGUGCUUGACCAGCUAAGGUAUUGGGGCACCGCCAUUCUUGCCGCAAAGACUUCGCGACGCUCCCUUUUGUGCUGCCUCAUGGUUAAUUGAGUCGAGGGCCCGCCAUAGAUCAUGUAGCAGUCGUGGACGGCGGGGAAGCCGUCGUCAUCUUUGUUGUCCUCCUUGGUGCCAGCCUUCUCUUUCUUGGAGUCAUCACGCGUAUCUUUUUUGAACCCCAGACCGUCGAAAUGCUUUCUCAGCAUACGACAGUCCUUGAGCUUGUGGUUGGCGCCUCCCUUAUGGUAAGGGCACGGCUCCUCCAACAUCUUGUCAAAGAUGCCUCCAUCCAGAGGGCCUCGAGGCUUCUUUCGAUCCAUGGCGGCGACAAGGUUGUCAUCGGAAUCUUCCCGGUGGAACUGCCGCACUUUCUGCUUCUUUUUAUUUGUCUUGAGGCCUCGACUGGAGGUCCCAUCUUCGUCGACGGGCUGCUUGCCUUUUCUUCCUUCUGAGCUGAAGAAGGCGCCGACUGCCUCCUCCCCUGCCGCGUAGUUGGCUACUACGUCCAUCAGCUCGUCGACGGUCUGAGGUUGAUUGCGACCUAAUUCCCGCACCAAGUCUCGACUGGUGGUGCCCGAGACAAACGCCAAGAUGACGUCGUGGUCAGGGAUGUGCGGCAGCUCAGUGCGCUGCUUCGAGAAGCGUCGAGCAUACUCCCGAAGAGUUUCUCCCGACUUCUGCUUGCACUUGCUGAGGUCCCACGAGUUCCCUGGCCGUAUGUAGGUCCCUUUGAAGUUACCCUCGAAGACUCUGACCAGAUCAACCCAGUCGUGGAUCUGAUUGGCAGGGAGUUCCUCGAGCCAUCGACGGGCGGUGUCGGAGAGGAAAAGGGGUAGCUGUCUGAUGAUGGCUCGAUCAUCACCUCGAGCGCCACCUAGCUGACAGGCCAGCCUGAAGUCGGCCAGCCACAACUCUGGUUUGGUCUCUCCAUUGUACUUCGCGAUGCUGGUCGGGGGUCGAAAUGGAUUGGGCAGGGGCGUGCUGCGGAUCGCCCUGUUGAACACCCGUGGGCCUGGUGGCUCGGGGGCCACCCGGUCCUCGUCGCUGUCGUAUCUCCCACCGCGAUGCGCGCUAUAACCGCGCUCUUCCGCGUCUCCGUGCCGGCGGCGUCGAUUUUCUUUGAUGUCGUGCCGCGCGUCAUGUCGACGUUGAUUGUCGACGGGGAGGAUGAGAGCGGUCUUUCUACCUCGAGGGGGAGGUUGUUGAUGGACUGACACCUCCUCUUCGUUUAGAGGCUGUUCGUCGCACUUCUCUGUGGCAGCUCCUCGUCGUCGAGACGCCGAACUUUCGGCUUGUUGAACCGCCGCCACCUGGAGCAAUGUCUGUACCUCAUCUCGAAUGCGUCGGGCCUGGGAAUUCGACGGCUCUGGCAUGUUUCGUAGCAGCAUCGUCGCUGCCACUACAUUCUGGCCUGCUCGAGGGAAACGGCUAACAGGUUGCUCUGGCUCUGCGUCGCCGACGAUCUGUCGAUGUACCUCUCGAGCGCGUCUGCGGACACUUUCGCCCGACGGGUAGGGCAGGUCUUGCUCGAGGAUUUGCUCGAGCAGGACGAGGCGCUCGCGGUCUUCGUCGAGCUUCAUCUUGAGCUCCUGCAGCUGCGCGAGCUACGCGGUUCUGUCUUCCUGAGGAGGGGGGUCGACCUGUCCGUCGUUCCCAGGCGUCCUGGGGUCUUCUCGCGCAGCGGGGGCUCGACCACCCGCAGCAGCAUCCCGUGUCUUGUCAGUAGUUUCUACCGCCCCGUCGAUGUGAUAGCAUUCCCUCGUAGGGUCAUAGCUAUCUGUCUCGGAGUCGGAGUCCGGUUCGGCGGCGUAGAAACACCCACGUCCUUCCUCCAGCAAUCGUUGCCUGAGGGAGGUGAUCGAGUAUCGUCCGGGGCCUAGACGAUGGAGGCCUUGUACUCGGGAAAGGUCCGGCAGCUCGGACGCCGGCCGCCGCGCUUCAGAGCUACGUGGGAGGACCAUUGGUCUUUCUACGUACGUCUGGGCGUUUGGGCACAUUGCCUUGGUGAGCGACGCCGCGGCGUUGUCCAAUCCGAACGGCAGUGCCGCUCUUGGAGAGAACAACCUGUGUGGAAGUAGCCUAGCUGCGGUGGGGGAGAGCGCGCGAGACGCGUCCCCUCCCGUCGUUGCGCGGUGCUGAGUCGUCGCGCUUGUUGCUCCGUCACACGGUGCUGCCGACUUGUGGCCUACGUCCUGCCUCGCACAAGUUGUUGGUCGUGCUGAAGCAGAGGGGCCGCGGUGGUGCUGUCCGCGCCUCUUCUUAGGCGGGGAGGCGUGGUGGUGAGGGCGUCUCGGGGCCUUCAACCGUGCUGGCGUAACGCGGGCUCCUCCUGGUCCUUUGACUGAGAGCAAGAUCAUGUCGUAGCCGGAGCCCGUAGACAUGAACUCGAGACUCCCAAACCAGAUCACCGUGGAGCGCGGAAAUGGCGAGGCAAGAGUAGCCAUCCGGAAAGGAGUGGGAAAUCGAUGGAAAACACGCAGGACCCCUACCUGGCGCGCCAACUGUCGGUGUUUUUCCCCCGGGGGGUCACACCAACGAGUAAAUUUGUAUGCGUGUUCCCUUUCCCGGAUGGUGAUGCAAGAAGACACAGAGAUUUAUCCUGGUUCGGGCAAGAGAAGGCCCUACGUCCAGCGGGGGGGAGAGAGUUUGUAUUAUCUUGCACCUAAGUGCUUGUACAGGGGCGAAUACAAGCGUGGUAUGAAGUGUGGAGCUCUACUACGUAUGAGCGUGGUCUUGUGUCGUGAUCUGCUGUUCUAUUCCUGAGUCCCUCCUUUUAUAGUUCCAAGGAAGGGCCUAGGGUACAUGUAUAGGCGUAGGAAUUGGAGUCGAUAGCAGCAUGGAUCACUGACCUACUCGAGGUUUCCGUACCAGCAUGCCCUCGAGCCGUUCCGUCUUAAUAGCCUGGUGAUGAUCACGCGUGCCCCUGCAUUCUGCUCUGCGCGCCGUCUUGGAUUGGUUCGGCGGGUGCACGCUUAUAUGGCUCGGCGGCAAAUCCGGCGGAGCGGUUACGGCGUGGUCAGUCAACGCCCGACUCGUCUCCAGGAAGGAGCCUGGUGAAGUCGAGGGUCGGACGCCGUACGAGGUGUCGAUAUCUGGAGCGCUGACCUUGGGUGUCUCGAGGGGAUCCCGAUUAGACGUUCCAUCCUUGUUUCCCGCGUCCUGACACGCCCUGGGUCGUUCGGUGGGAAGGCUGCAAAAAGAACGAUGGGACAGAAGCCUCCCGUGACCCGUGUGUUAGGUGGGGAAGCGUCAGGUGCAUUAAAUGCCCUGGCUCUCGUGCGCGCGUCAGGCGGCGGACAGUGUCCUUGCGCUCGACGCCUCUCGGUUCGCUCGAGCCCGCUUCCGUAUUCGACGGCAGUUGUCGCUCGAGCCCUGACCGAUUCGCUCGACGCUAUUUCCGUCUUCGAGGCUGCGGCCGUCGAUGGCCGCGCGUGUGUACGGAUGGUCUCGUUAUACGCAUUGGUGAGGGUACCCCUCGUUGAUACCCUCGACAAGAGCGAUCAAAAGUUUUAUAAAGAACAGAAUGAAACAAGUCGCCGAUGGAGAGCUCACAAGUUCAGCAGAGCCUGGAUAGUGGAUAUGGCUCGCAGACGGAUCUGGUCGGCCUCUUCUAUCUCUCGGAUGUCUUCAUCGGCAGAACCGUCUACUGACUUCAACUUCUUCUUCAUCUGCAGCGCCUUGCGGGCUUGGGUGUUUCAUUCUUGCUGUAGAGUCUUGAUCAUAUCAGGCAACUGGCUUUCUUCUUGUUGAGCUUGGGACAGGGCCUCUUCCACUUGCUUGAGCUCAACUAGCAGGGCUUCCCUUCUAGCCGAUAGGAUGGAAAGCUUCUGCUUCAGUAUCUCCCCUGAGGACUAUAGGAUGCCGAUGCUCUUUUGUUUCUCAUCAGCAAGGCGUUUCACUUGCAUUACUUCCUCUGAGAGUUGGGCAUGGUUGGCUCUAUCGGCAAGACGCUUGGUAGCCUUUUGGUACUAGAGCUGACGGCUCUCCAAGUGUGCAGCUUGGAAAAGAAUCUCUGCGGCAUCGGAUGGAAUUUUGCCACAAAGAGUCUUGAACAGAGCUUUGGCUGGAUCAGAAUCGUCAACCAAUUGAAAAGUAUCUUGGUGUAACAAGGCCAGCAGGUCCUCCAGUUUGGCUCUGAUUUCUGCCGAUGAGAUCCCUAUUGCUUGGGAGGAGCUUACUUCCUCACCCUCAUCAUCAGAAAUCUCAAUGGCGACGGAAAAUAAGCUAUCCGGAGAGUCCUGUUCCUGAAAAGAAGAUGAAGAUAAGUUAUUUGAUGAUCGAAUAUUAGUGAUAAAAAGGAUGGAAAUCAGAUAACUUACUUGCUUCAAAGCUAUCUCACGCCUCUGGCUGGUUGAUGCCGUCGGUACCACAGGUUGAUCGGCUAGAGUUGCCGAUGGAACGAUGUCAACUGAGAAAUAAUGAGAGUGAUUAUAAUUUGAAAAAAUAAAUCCAUCGGUGAUAGUUUUAUGGUCAGUAUUUUACCUUGAGGGGGUGCAGUGCUUGUCUGUUUUGGGGGAACAACUAAUGAUAUGAUUGGAUCCACUAGAUCGGCAGUCUGCUCAAGCACAUCGGUUGACGCUUCUUGUGGCUGGGGUACUGAUCGAGAAGGAGACGGUGCUUGCUGUGUCUGGAUUUCUAGAGAUGGGUCGAUUCCACAUGAAUCGGUGACACUGGACGAGGAGGAGAAGGCGGUGCUGUCUUCUGGCGUUUUGGUUGCGACUUAGUGCUCUUGGGAACUUUUCUCAUGGCUUGACUGGACUGGGGGGCAUCGGCACUUGUUUGAGCACUUUUGGUUCUUGCGGAUUUGCCGGUCUGCUGUUAAAACAACAAGAAUUUCAUGAGUAGAAACAUAACAGAAUAUUGAUAAGAUCUUGUUGAACAGUAAGAGUUACCGAUGAGGUUCCCAUAGCAGCCGAUGUAUCCUGAAAAGAUUGUGUAAGUAUAGAGUGGAAUCGGUAUAAAUUGAGGAAAUCAAAAUUUACCUUGAAAGCUUGUGCCAAGGUGGCAGCGGCGACCGUUGGAGAUGUCUCUGAUCGCCUGGUGGUUAUCUUCUUAAAAUGCACAUUCCGGUGCAUUAGAGCUGCCAGGCUUGGUGCGUUGUUGCCGAUUAGAGAAAUCGGGCCUGAUGGAAGGAGCUCGAUCAGCUUUCCACUCCUGCUGACUGAUGGUGGUGUGUUGUCAACCUGUUCAAAAAAGAGAGAAGGUGAGUUAUCGAUAAGGGUAAAAGUAACAAAGAAAUUGAGGUAUCGGUUGGGAACUUACAGUGUUUUCGGGGACCUUGUACUUGGGGUCAAUCAUGUCGCGGUAUGUCAGAGCCGAUGUGCAGAACAAGUGUUUCUUCCACUCUUCCCACCACUGCUUGUACAUCUGAGUAAUGAAAAGGGCUGGGAUCCAUGCCGAUAAAUCAAUGUCUGACGUAUCGGCAUUUGGCUAAAGCUGAGCAAUUCUUAUCCACUCAAGUUGCUAGUUAUUGUCUCCCUUGGCUUCACCACAUUGGCAUAGUAGAGUCCAAUUGGCAACUGUCCAACAGCUAGUUGGCGAGCCAGGCCGAUGGGUUAUAGAAUUCAUAGGUGGGGUUGGAAGUCUUCCCACUGCCAAAGGAAUUCACUGGUAUAGUCCUUGGGGUAAUAAUUGCCAUCAUUAGGUCAUGGUCCUUAUUAAUGGCGUCAUCAAAAGGGUGGAAAGUGAGCGGAAAUCUAGUUUUUGGAUCCUCAUAAGGAAUCCAUGCCCGCUGAUAUUUGGCAAGACCCUCAUAGAGAAUUUGGAAGAAUCGGCUGACCUGAUCUUCAUUGCCACCAGUACUAGUUAAAACUAUGGCAGCCUCACCAUAGUUCAAGGGUGGGCGAGUUGCCGAUUCUUCAUCGACCAAUUCAUGAUCCUCGGCGAUAUCUCUGGAAAGCGCUGUGCGAAGAGGUCAAAUCUAAGGCGUUUGUGCAUGUGAACACUGAGCCACAUGUUGAUAAACCACCAAGGCCCUCAUAAGUUGCCGAUGGGUUGGCCCAUCAGAAGCUUCUCGGCUACUUGGUGAAGAAGAUGGUAAACAGAGCCUAACAAGUAUCGGCCAAGGGGGAAGCGCCAUCAUUGGCUAGUUUCUCUGCUGCCAAUAGAUAAACAGAAGUCAGACCUGCCGAUCGACCGUAAAAUACAAAUUUGUCUAGCCACAUAUUCAGAAAGAUGGCAUGUUCUCUUUGUCCGACUGAUCCCAUUUUUCGGUACUUCUGAAUGUACCCUAACCAACCGCCGAUACUGCGAGUUUCCACCUUGGAGCUAGGCUUACUGUCAAACAGGUGGCUAUCAUCGGCAGUUGCUAUUUCCAGACUAGUGAGCAUAAGUACAUCAGCAACGGUAGGAGAAGCAGGGCCAUGGCCGAAUACAAAAGCAUUAAGGGUGUCUGACUAGAAGUACAAAGCUGCUAUCAAUAGAGAUUCAUUUCUCUCUAUAUCGGCAAUAGAUAGCCUAAUGCACUGGUCUAGUUUGCGCUCACCCCAUUAGACUUCAUUUGAGUUGCCGAUUCUCAGAAACCAAUCUUUCCACCCCUUGGUAGAACUGGGCCAGGAACGGAAAGUGUCUUUCCACAGAUCUAAAGAGAAGUGCUCAGCUCUAAAGGGGAUCCUAUUUGUCUCUGCAUUUAUCAAAUCGGUAGGAUCUGGGUUUCCCAACGGACCAAGGCAUUGGAAGUGGGGUUGAUCGGUGGGAAUAACAAUUUUAUCAGCCAACUCCUAAAAGUUUGACGGUUGAAAGAACAGGAAAGAAACAAAGAAGAGGAAAAACGUACUCAGUGAAUAGAUUUACAAAGAAAUAAAAGUACAAUAAGAAAAAGGGGGAUGUCGAGUUGACCUCAGGGACGAUGAAGUUGAUGGCCAUUUCUUCCCGAGAGGAGGUAGGAUCUAGGACUUGGAAGAUUGUUGGAGGAGAUCCUUGCCAGAGUUCUUCAAGUUCUCGAAACAGUGCCGCUGCCAGGAAGGUGGGUUUGAGGCUGUAGAGUGACAAGAUAAAAGAAGAGUACCUGAAGGAAGUAUUUAUAGGACAGAGAGGGCAGGGGCAAAUCUGACUUAUCUCUUCGCCGUAUCCGUGAAAUCCGAGGGUGUUCAGGUGGAUAUGGUAACUGUUCGCACGGUAAUCAAGGGAUUGCGCAGGUGAUUUGACAGCAAGCGGUCAUGAGUUUGGAGAUAUCUUACUGUGGAAGAUCUCCUGGUCAGUUCAUCAGCAGUUUUCUCUUAUGGAGAUGUUGCCGAUGAACGUAUGUUUGGGAGAUUCGGUUCAGGGAGUUGAGAGAUUUGAGGAGCAUGCUGGAAGAUCGGGCUGAGGUCUUUUGGAUUUGCUAAUUAAUUACUGAUAGGAAGGAGUAAUUGCGGAAAGGCAACGUUAUUGGAGAGAAUUUCGGAGCAUUAAUGAUUUUAUACUCCGAAAUUGGAGGGCAUGUGUUGACACCGUUUUUAGACACAUAUCUUUGGACGUGUAUCUGGAGUUAAAGAAGUGUAGAUUGACAGGCAGAGAUGUGGUGACUAAGUUCACAGGAGAGUUGCCGAUGAGGGUUGGUGCCGAUGAGAAAACGACAGAAUAUGGCUAAGUCCAGGAGUGGUGAUGGGUCCAUGCCGAUGGUUGGUGCCGAUGAAGAAAACGACAGGAUAUGGUCAAGUCCAGGAGCAGUGAUGGAUUCAUGCCGAUGACUAGUGCUGAUGGUUGCCGAUGGCUAUGGGAGGUGGUUUGCCGAUGGUCAUGGAGAAGGGUGCAGGGGUUGUCGAUCGACUCAUGGUGAUGUAUCGAUCGAUUGUAGAAGAUGGUUUAAUGCUUUCCAUAGUUAUUGGAGUUUGCUUUGUAUACGAAUUCUGUUUAAUUUAGAAUUCGAGUCAUGGUCGUGUCUGGUUGUGACUCUUUUGGACAGGGUAUAAAUGUAGACCUCGUGGCAAUGUAAUGGAUAUACACAAUCAAUCAAAUACAAGUUUUUACAUCUAGCAUCUACUUUUUCGACGACUUCGUCAUCCUGCAUUUUUUUCUUUUUACUACGAGUUCUUAGGAAUUCAUCGAGUUAACCUCGGCGAGUUCUCAAGUUCCGCGUGAAUACCUCUUGGCCGUGACAUCCGGGCGCAUCGCUGUUGUCGGGACCAAAGUAUUCGAGUUAUCAUCCAAGUAGAGAGGAUCCCUCUAGUUCAUCUAGUUCUAGCUCUAGUUCAUCUAGUUCUAGUUCUAGUUGUAAUCUAGAAAAUAGGGAGAGAGAAGAGGAGAGCGGAGGAGGAGCCAGAUCUGUCGGAUCUUCCUCAACAUUGUACUUUUGCAGCAACUGGUUCGUUCUUCAUCAUUCCAAGUUCUUCAAUUCAUAAUUCCUGAGUUCUUCAAUUACUUUUAUUUACAUUCAAGUUAUUUAUUGGAUUCCCGCUUGCAUCAAGUGCUCUAGUCUUUGCAACGCUAGAGUAGUAAUUAAUAGAUUAGACGUGGUGUUUAGUCUUGCAAUUACCUCGAAUUGCACCCAAUCCUGUGGAGUGUUGUUGGUAACCCUAGGGUAGUGACAGCCCUAACGGUCGACGUAUUCCACCUCGUUCGGAUCGGUGUUUGUAUGACCGAAGUCAGAGCUUCCUAGCCCCCUUCUCAUCUUUUUCUGUGGUUAGUGUUCUGAUGUCCCAAAAUAAAUAAACUUUGAAGUAAUUCUUGAUUCUUAGAUCAACUAGAGAACUCUCAGAAAACUUCCUCUUUUCCCACCAAAAAUAAUUAUAUAGUUAUCCUUGAGCGAUCUUGAAUCUUAAUUAGUACACUCACGUUCCCUGUGGAAAAUCGAUACUCUGGAAUACUCCCGGGUGAAAGCUACAUCGGUCUGUUUGCGUUUAAAAUACCCAAAAAGCAUUCUGGCGCCGUUGCUGGGGAACGGUAGUGUUGGGCAUUCUUAACAUCACUACCAAAAGUAGACUUAGUUUUCUAAUUCUGAUAAUGGCGCCAAAAAUGCCAAACCUAUCACUCAUGCCACUUAAGGCAAGUUGUCAUCCCUAGCAUGACAUGAGAGACGCGGUAUUGAAAUAUGCAAUUGCUCUUCUAAAUAAAUAAUAAAUGGGAUCUGCAAGCGCACAUAUUAAUACCGAUGUAGCAUUUUAACCGGGAAGUAUUCCAGGUAUCGUUAUUUAUAUUUUUACCACUGGGAAGAGAUUAGUAAUCAUCAAUGUUGAUUAUGGAAUGGAAUAUAAGAUUGAGUACCUAUCAUUGCAUGUAUAAUUGAGAGCAUUUAGCUAUCUCUUUCAUACAGGGAUAAAUGUCACAUAAAAGAUAGAUAAAGUAUGAAUGGUGACAAAGAUAAUUAAUCUGAUCAGCAUAACUUAGCCACAUAUAAAUAUGAUAAAGCACCUCAAUAGAUAUUCUAGCAAGUCAUUAGCAUCGAAUUAGGACAAACUACAAGAAUAUUUUCUAAGAUAUUCUUAACUAUACAGUCUAGCAUAUCAUAGUUAGUGCAAUUAUACUUGGCAAUCAUUGCGAGACAGGACUACGCCCAUGCAUAGUGAUAUUAUCAAGGAAUAUGAGAAAUAUCGCAAUCACUCCCCUGUAUUAAUGUUGCUCUGCCAGCCAUGUACACAAGAGGGGGACUAUAUAAGAAUCAAUGGAGCUGUCACUACCACGAACUACACCGCGAUCUGGCAUGUAGGGUACAAUCGCAGAUAAAUACGGUAUAGGCACCACGCCUACACAAUACUUAUCAUUUACCUACUGUACACAUGGAUAAAUGCUAUACGAUCCUAAACAUGUAUAUAAUUCCAAUCUAACUAAGGCAAGUAUAUAACUAAGGUAAACUAAGAACAAUAUAAUUGCGAAUAUAAACAAGUAGAGCAAAGUCAUAAUCAAUAUACUGAAGUAGAACAAAGUCAUAUUCAUAAUAUUUAAGAACAAAGAUGAACAAUUGAAGAACAAUAGAGAAUUACCAAGAAUCCUCUUGACAGAUCCGAAAACCAAUCGAAGAUUGACUCCUUCUAGUUCUAAUCCUACGUAGCUAUGCUAAACUAGAGAUCUAAUUGAUGUGGUGGCUCUAGGGCUUGAUCAGAGGCUUCUUCUCCCAAGAUGAUUAAUGAAUUAGGGGUCUGAGGUCCUCUCCUCCAGGGGCCAGGGGGUCUGCUUAUAUAGUCUUUUCAGAUGAAUCUGGGCCGUCGGAUCAAACCGACAUUAACCACACGGUUUUCCUUGAUCCUUUAGGUCGGUGGAGCGUGAUCCGCGAAACGGGUCCGAAUUGGACACUAUAGGAGGGCGGGCGCCCUGGUCCUUAGGGUGGGCGCCCUAGGCCAGGCCCCGUUCGGCCUCUGCUUCGUUCCCGUGGCUUCUGGAGUGUUCUAGAUGAUAGAAAAUUGUGCGGCCCGUUAAUAUCUCUAUGUAAACCCGGCGUGUGGGCCUUUCCUCUGUAUUUCCUAAUAACCCCUGUAGAAAUAGACAAACACCAAAACUCGUGGAAUUCUGUCAGAUAAAUCCCUAAGUCUAGGUGUUGGUUGCAUUUGGAUCCUUUUCUAUGAUUAAUUGAUGGUUAAAUGUGAGCAUUAAGGACCGUCAACAAGCUCCCCCAAGCUUAACCUUUGCUCGACCCUGAGCAAAGAUGGACUCAAGAGUUUCUACAGUGGUUUCAUGCCUUAAAGGUACACAUGCGUUCAAACAAUAUCUCAUCUCUAGGUUAGGGUAAACUGUUAAGAUUUAAACUUACUCAUAUUACCUUCCACCAUGGGGCUUGCAACCGUCACUUAUGUCUUGAGCAAUUAAAAGAUAGAACAGUCUAGUCAAGCGCCAUGUCUCUUGUUCUUCGAUUAACUAUAGCUCUGGAGUUUUUGCAGAUUUUCAAAUAAAUCUCAGAGAUUCCUUGUAUGACUCUCUCUAGUCUCUCUUUUGUGGUAUUUCUGGAUCCUUACCAAGGCAGUAAUGGUGUAUGCCUUCUCUCAAAUUAUGUGGUAUUUGUGGUAUGAAGCAUAGUGACAUUGCCUUCUCUCUCAUCUUACUCUAACAAGGCUUUUGAUAUCUGGAGCUCAUAGGUGGGAGAUAAAGUAUACAUACUUAUAAGACAUUGAUUGCAUAGUCAAACCAUGGAUCCAGAGAAACAAGUCAAUAAGUGAAAUCAAGAUUUACAUGUGCGGCGAAUAAAUGGUGAUAAUGGUGAAAAUAAUGGUGAAAGUCUAAUUCUACUUUUGCUCUUUUGAGGGGAUACAUACCUUCCUUGCUCUUUUGAAACUUUUGGGGAGAAUGAGAUGCUCUAUAUUUUUUUUUCUUUCCUCUCAGGUGGGCAUCUUGUACCCCUAAUUCUACUAUCGGACACUUGUCCAUUUUUACCUCUCGUCUCACUUUUUAUUUUCUUUCGAGGUUCCGAGCACUUGUCCCUUUUUAUUUCCUCGUAUCUUUUUUUCUCUCUUUUUUUAGAGCACUCAUCUCUUGAAAUAAUGUAGCGAGUGGUAGUAACCAAGAUAACUUGAGCAUUUCUUUCAUAGGGGAAAAUAGAAAUAUUUUUGGCUAUUCUCUCCCGGAUUAGGAGUAGAAUAUUUUUGGGUGGUUCUGGAGAUGGAAAUGGGUGGAUAUAUGUGGAUGCGUACUUCUGGAGUAGAAGCAGCAUGUAUGAGUGAACGUGCAAGUGAAUCUUGAUUUAACCACAUGACAAACUCCUAAGGGUCUACACAGCUUGACCACAAUCAAUGCUCAUAAGCAGUAAAAAGUAAAUGUGUGGCUCAAAGUCUAGCAAGCAUGUAUAUAUGGCUGUGGUUGGAAUUUAAACUCUCAUCAUACAGGAAUUCAUCAUGUGUUAUUUUAAAGAUUUUCAAAGAUAAAAUUCUCCAGUUUUCUAGCAUCUCUAGGAACAGAUAAACAGCAGCUCAACCUUCCCAUAUCAUAUCCGUUAACAACUUAGACUUCAGAUCAAAUUUUCUUCCCACAAGUUCAGGUUUAGAGCAAAACUUAAUUAAUAACAGUCAUGCCUAAACUUGAGAGACAUUUCAAUUUUGAGAACUAGUCAUGGCAGUACAACUAUUCGUCAUUUCCAUGUGAGAGCUUAUCAUGAGGGUUCAUAGAAAACUUUAUUUAUUUAUUUAUUUAGCAAACUAAGCAAAGAUAUAUAUAUAUAUAUAAGCACAAAAUCUUUAUUUGGGUUUUUAUGAUUAUGCAUCUUUUUAUUAUUUAAGUAAAGUAUAAACAUGAGUAGGAACACUUAGCUGGAUAAAUGGGGGUGCUCUCCCCCAAGCUGGAUUUUGACGCAAUUUCUUCUGAUGUAGCUAGCAGGUGGCGGAGGUGUAUUUGAAUGUCUGUUGACGGUCCUUAAGUAUCAAAUUUAAUUAUCAAAUAUACAAAGAAAAGGAUCCAAAUGAAAUCAACAUCUAGACUUGGGGUUUUAUCUGACAGAAUUCCACGAGUUUUGGUGUUUGUCUAUUUCUGCAGGGGGUUAUCAGGAAAUACGGAAGAAAGGCCCACACGUCGGGAUAACAUAGAGAUAUUAACGUGCCGCGCAAUUAUCUUACAUCUAGAAGACUCCAGAAGCCACGGGAAGGAAGCAGACGCCGAGAGGGGCCAGAGGCAGGGCGCCCGCCCUGUUUCCCUAGGCGCCCGCCCUGACUUGGAGCCCAAUCAGGACUCUUUCUCUCGGGAGAUCUCCACCGACCUAAAGGAUCAAGAAUAACCGUUCAAUCAAUGUCGGUUUGAUCCGACGGCCCAGGUUCACUUGAGGGGACUAUAUAACCAGACCCCUGGCCCCUAGAGGAGGCACCCUUGAUCAUUAUUCAUUAUUCAUAGACAGAGCAAAAGCUAGGGUUUGGAGAUGAGAGCUCUCCUCUCUUCUCUAAACUAGAGUAGAUCUAGAUAGUAGCAAGAUGGAGAGCGAAGGAGGAUUAGAGGAGAGGUCGGCCUGUCGGUCUUCCUCGGGUUGUACUUCGUCAUGAUCAAGCUCUAAUCAAGCUUGCUCAUGGGAUGACUCUGGUAAUCUACUUCUAAUUCAUUAUGCAAUUACUAAUCAUGUAUGUUCUGGUUCACAACUCUUUUGAGUACUUCUAAUCUAUAGGACGCUAUAGGUGAGAGUUGUAGUAUAGGUGUAAGCGAGGUGCUUAGACCUAGAUUACUUGUGGAUAUCCCCUGUCUAGCUGGAUUGUGUGGUAGACCGCGUAGGUGAUAGUUACGUUGGUCCUCUGUAGUCCACCUCUCAUUAGCAGGACGGGUAGGGUUUAUUGGCCUAAGGAUAAGCAUCCUUUGUGGUGUACUCUUAUCACGUGGUUCGUCCCAGACAUAGACAUACCCCUUUGAAGUAGAGAAACCAUAGUUAUUCUCUCUAUUCUGCUACCAUCGCCCAUAUACUUAGAAUUGCUCUACUCUCUAUUCCCAUAUUAUCACCCAUUGUUAUCUUACCUUUAAUAUUGUUCUUAUUCAAUUCUACCAUCUUUCCUAUUCACACCUAUCUAUCUAUCUUGGUUAAGUUAGAGCGUAGUUGGUUCUCCCGUUUCCCUGUGGAUACGAUAAAACCUUUAACCGGGUAAAAGCUUCAAUGGUAUCCGUGCGCUUGCGGAUUAUCUGUGUGCGUAUAAAUACCAUAGUACACUCUAGUGCCAUGCUGGGGAUGACAACCUAGUAUUCAAGUGGUGUUAGCAAGUGUCAACAAUGUCGGCAGCACCCUGACAGCGAUUAGGAUGUCCUUCGUCUGCUAGUAUUCUUUGAUCCUUGAAUUCUGUGGAGCUCAAAUAGACAACAAAGCUUUGUGGAACUAGUUAAGUGUUAGCAUAAAUAUCUAGCCUUUAUCAUGUUGAGCCUCCUCAAUAAAUGUUACUCUCUUUAGUAGGAUCAUAAAUUUAUUUUUGUAUUUUUAGUUUUAUAGGACAAGAAUAUAUUUAUUUCAUUUUUACGCCACCACAGUAAAUGUACUUAUGGGUUUUAUGCCAUGAGCAUACUCACAUGGGGCUUACUAUUUUUAACAUUUUUAUUUUCUUUUCAAGAUGAUAUAAACCUGAUUAACUAAGCAAACUAUUUUAAAUAAUUUAAAGGAAAAGGAUAACUACCAAGUUUACCUCUUGGCAUGGCGUUUAGUGUUUUUAAGUCCUCCGAACGGGACUCUCCGUUUUCUCAGUCGUCCUAGGAUUCUGGCGGAUGGCUGUUGGGUAUUCUUAACAUCAUUACCAAAAGUAGACUAAGUUCUCUAAAUCUAGUAACGGUGCCAAAAAUGCCAAACCUAUCCCUCACACCACUUAAGCCAAGUUGUCAUCCCCAGCAAGAUAUAAGAGACACGGUAUUGAAAUAUGCAAUUGCUCUUCUAAAUAAAUAAUGAAUUGGAUCUGCAAGCGCAUAGAUUAAUACCGAUGUAGCAUUUUAACCGGGAAGUAUUCCAGGUAUCGUUAUUUAUAUUUUUACCACUGGGAAGGGAUUAGCAAUCGUCACUAAUGAUUACAGAAUAGAAUAUGAGAUUGAGCAUCUAUCAUUGCAUGUAUAAUUGAGAACAUUAUAUCUAACUCUUCAUACAGGGAUAAGUGUCACAUAAAAGAUAUAUGAAAUAAUAAUAGUGACAAGGAUAACUAAUCUGAUCUAGCCACAUAAUAAAUAUGAUAAGCACCUCAAUUAGAUACUCUAGAAAGUCAUUAGCAUGGUAUUAGAACGAACUACAAGAAUAUUCCCUAAGUUAUUCUCAACUAUAUAGUCUAGCAUAUCAUAGUUAGUGCAAGCAUACUUAGCAAUCAUUGCGAGACAAGACUAAGCCCAUGCAUAGUGAUAUUAGCAAGGAAUAUGAGAAACAUAGCAAUCACUCCCCUGUAAUAAUGUUGCUCUGCCAGCCCAAUACAUGAGAGGGGGACUAUAUAAGAAUCAAUGAAGCUGUCACUAUCACGAACCACCCCACGAUCUGCCAUAUUGGGUACAAUCGCAGAUAAAUACGGUAUAAGCACCACGCCUACACAAUAUCUUUCAUUUACCCAUGGAUCCGAUGGAUAAACGCUAUACGAUCCUAAGCAUGUAUAUAGAUCCAAUCUAACUAAGCUAAGUACAUAACUAUGAUAAACUAAGAACAAUAUAAUCUUGAAUAUAAGCAAGUAGAGCAAAGUCAUAAGCAAUAUAUUGAAGUAGAACAAAGUCAUAUUCAUAAUAUUAAAGAACAAAGAUAAUUAGAAAGUAAUUAGAAGCACAAUUAGAGAAUUACCAAGAAUCCUCCUGACAGAUCCGGAAACCAAUCGAAGAUUGACUCCUUCUAGUUCUAAUCCUAUGUAGCUAUGCUAAUCUAGAUAUCUAAUUGAUGUGGUGGCUCUAAUCUUGAUCAAAGGCUUCUUCUCCCUUGAUGGAACAAUGAAUUAGGGUUGAAAGGCUCUCUCCUCCAGGGGCCAGGGGGUCUGGUUUUAUAGUCCCUUCAAUGAGUAUGGGCCCUUGGAUCAAACCGACAUAGAUUGUAUGGUUUAGAUUCAUCCUUUAGGUCGGUGGAGACUUCCCGCAAAGUAGAGUCCUGAUUGGACUUGGGAGCAGGGCGGGCGCCCAGUAGGACAGGGCGGGCGCCCUGUCUCUGGCCCCGAUUCGCCUCCACUUCGGUCUCGUGGCUUCUGGAGUCUUCUAGAUGUAAGAUAAUUGCACAGCACGUUAAUACCUUUACGUAAUCCUGACAUGUGGGCCUUUCUUCCAUAUUUCCUGAUAACCCCCUGCAGAAAUAGACAAACACCAAAACUCGUGGAAUUCUGUCAGAUAAAACCCUAAGUCUAGAUCUUGAAUUCAUUUGGAUCCUUUUCUUUAUUUAUUUGAUAAUUAAAUUUGAUACUUAAGGACCGUCAACAAACUCCCCCAAGCUUACCUCUUGCUCGUCCCUGAGCAAGGAUAGACUCAGCUAUGGAUCAUAAGUUGUUGCAAUAUUUUUAAAAAAAUAGACGGGACACAUGCUUUUAUAUAAGAUCUCAUCUCUGAGUUAGAGUAAACUAUCAAGACUUAAAACUUACUUACUUUACCUCCACCAUGGGACUUGUAACUGUCACUUCUGUCUUGAGUGGUUAAAAGAUAGAACAGUCUAGCCAAGUGCCAUGUCUCUUAUUCUUGAUCAGCUAUAGCUCUGGGGUUUUUGCAGAUUUUCAAAUAAAACUCAGAGAUUCCUUGUAUGAUUCUCUCAGAUCUCUCUUUUGUGGUACUUUUGGAUCCUUACCAAGGCAUUGAUGGUAUAUGCCUUCUCUCAAGAUAUGUAGUAUUUGUGGUAUAAGGCAUAGUGACAUUGCCUUCUCUCUCACCCUACUCUAAUAAGGCUUUAAUAUCUGGAGCUCAUAGGUGGGAGAUAAAGUAUGCAUACUUACAAGACAUUUAUUGCAUAGUCAACCCAUGGAUCCAAAGUAACAAGUCAAUAAGCCAAAUCAAGAUGUGCAUGUGUGGUGAAUGAAUGGUGUAUGGUGAUAAUGGUGAUAACAAUGGUGAAAACAAUGGUGGUGGAAGUCUAAUUCUACUUUGCUCUUUUGAGGGGAUACAUACCUUCCUUGCUUUUGAUUUAUGAGGAGAAUGAGAUGCUCUUCUUUUUCUUGUCUCUCAGGUGGGUAUCUUGCACCCCUAAUUCUACUGUCGGACACUUGUCCAUUUUUACCUCUCGUCUCAAUCUUUCUUUUCUUUCGAGGUUCCGAGCACUUGCUCCUUUUUAUUUCCUCGUAUAUUUUUUUAUUUUCUUCUUUUUUUUUAGAGCACUCAUCUCUUGAUAUAAUAUAGCAAGUGGUAGUAACAAGAUAACUUGAGCAUUUAUUUCACAAGGGGAAACAGAAAUAUUUUUGGUUAUUCUCUCCCGGAUUAGGAGUAGAAUAUUUUUAGGUGGUUCUGGAGAUGGAAAUGGAUGGAUAUAUGUGGGUGGUACUUCCGGAGUAGAAGUAGCAUAUAUGAGUGAACGUGCAAGUGAAAUCUUGAUUUAACCACAUGACAAGCUACUAAGGGUCUACACAGCUUGACCACACUCAAUGCUCAUAAGCAGUAAAUAGUAAAUGUGUGGCUCAAAGUCUAGCAAGCAUGUAUAUAUGGCUGUGGUAGGAAUUUAAGCUCUCAUCAUACAGGAAUUCAUCAUGCAACAUUUUAAAGAUUUUCAAAGAUAAAAUUCUCCAGAAUUCUAGCAUCUCUAGGAACAGAUAAACAGCAGCUCAACCUUCCCAUAUCAUAUCCGUUAACAACUUAGACUUCAGAUCAAGUUUUCAUCCCACAAGUUUAGGUCUAGGGCAAGCUUUAAAUUAUAACAGUUAUAUCUAAACUUGAGAGAGAACUUAGAAUGUGCAAAUUAGGCAGAGCAACUAUUCAUCAUAUCCAUGCUUAAGUUUUUGUUUAGAUACAGAUUAGCAUAGCCACUUUAUUUAUUUAUUAAACACACUAAGCAAAAGACAUAUAUAAGCAUAAAAUCUUUAUUUGGUUUUCCCAUAGUUUAUGUGUAUUUUAAUAUUCUAAAAUAAUAUAAGUAUAAAAAUAGAUAGAAAUACUUAUCGAGGUAAAUGGGGGUGCUCUCCCCCAAGCUGAAUUUUGACGUAAUUUCUCUUAAUGUAGCUAGCAGGUGGCAGAGGUGUAUUUGAAAGUCAGCAGUAUUCUGACAGCGAUUAGAAUGUCCUCCGUCUGCUAGUCUUCUUGAUUCUUAAAUUCUGUGGAGCUCAAAUAGACAACAAAGCUUGUGGAACUGAUUAAAUGUUAGCAUAAAUAUCUAGCCUUUAUUAUGUUGAGACUCCUUAAUAAUUGUUACUCCCUGUUUUUAUAUUUUUGUUUUUAUAAAGCAGAAAAAAAUAUUUAUUUUAUUUUUAUGCCACCAUAGUGAAUGUACUUAUGGGUUUUAUGCCACUCGUCUACUCAUAUGGGGCUUACUGUUUUUUACAUUUUUAUUUUCUUUUAGGAUAGCACGAACAUAAUUAACUAAGUAAACUAUUUGAAAUAAUUGAAAUAAUUGAAAGGGAAAGGGUAACUACCAAGUUUACCUCUUGGCAAGGCGUUCGGUGUUUUUAAGUCCUCCGAACAGGACUAUCCAUUUUCUUAAUCGUCCUGAGGUUCGUUGGGUGGCGUAGUCGGUACUUCCGGUAGCGCCUCCUCUUCAUGUAUAGUUAUCUUCAUUUUCCAUACCUGACUCGGUGCUUCAAUCUCCUCUGGAUAAUUCUGUUUAAACUCCACGUCUUCUGACCUUACAACUUCUCCUUCAUAGUCUGCCCAUCCGUCCUUGAUGAUCUGCCUCCUCUGGUUGCGGUUGCGUCUUUUCUUUACCUGCUUAGAUUCUUCAAUGAUAUAGUUAGGGUCAGUAAAAUAACGGCGUACCUUCUCUGAGGGGAAGUGCAUAUGGACUUUUCCGGUUCCAAUGUAGAUAAUUGCUUUAACGGUGCUGAGGAACGGUCUUCCAAGGAUGAUGGGUGGAUCAUACUCGUCUUCUCCCAUGUCAACAACUUGAAAGUCUGUGUAGACAAAGUGAUCGUCUAUUUUGACUGGGACAUCAGAUACUAUCCCUUGAACUUCUCAAAAUGUCUGAUCUGCCAUCUGGAGCUGAAUGUAUGUUGGUCUUAGUGGCAUGGUCCCGAACAAGAGCCGAUAAGUGACUGCGGCCAUUAUGUUGACGCCCGAUCCGGUGUCGCAAAUCGUCUUGUAGAAGUUAUAUCCAUUUAUGGAGCAGUAGAUGCUUGGCAUUCCUGGGUCGUCCUUCUUGGUCAAAAACGGUGACUUAAGUUGGUGAUCUUGGCCUCCAUGGACUACAGUGACCAUCUUAGCUGACUCGGUCCACACUUGCUUGUUCCUGUUCCUCCUGUUGGUCCUCUUCCCUGAUUCACGUCUGGAUUGAUCUGGAAUUUGUGUAGUCUUGUUCUUGAAGAAAAAUGUCUCCUUCUUCCCUUUGACGUAGAAACUGAUCUUGGCAGCACUAGCGUAGAUGAUAGCUCCCGUGGUGUUCAAAAAUGGCCUUCCUAGGAUGAUAGGUGCUCUCUCAUCAUUUCCGGUCUCAACCACUACGAAGUCUGCUGGGGCAUAUAAAGUACCAACUCGGACACAAAGGUUCCUCACUAUUCCUUUUGGAAAAGUUAUCGUCUGAUCUGCAAACUGCAAACACAUGGUUGUUUCUAAUAAAGGAUAUGUAAAGAAUUUUUCAUAGAGUACCCUGGGUAUAAUGUUGACGCUAGAGCCAAAGUCACAGAGUGCUUCUGGAACGUCC